AGAUCAGCUGUGAAGAGGCCUUCUCCUUCAUAAUUUGGUCCUGCUAGAAUUUCGCCAUGGGGCGAAAUGAUGACACUACCUCCAGCCCAAACAAUAGAAUCUGGAGUGACAUCUUCUUCUGUAGGACUGUAAAGAUACUCAGGUGGAGGUGGGUAAUCUUUCCUCCGACAGAACUGGAUGGGUGAAAGAACAUAGCAUCCACCCUCAAUAGCGAUGUGUCUCAUUGUGGCUACCCAUUUAUCCCCGGAAUCGGCAGUAGGAGCACAAUAUAUCUCAAUACCUAUAUAUAUGAACAUUGGUAUUCUGUGAUCAAUCAAUCCCAUAUCAAAGCCACAAUGUAUUUCAAGACUGCUUAGAUUAAAACCCUAAUAAUGUAAAAGGGUGCUGGAGGUCCUAUUUGGUAAUUGUCUUCGGAACAGUUUUGAGAAAUAGUUUUUGAAAGUUGUUCUUUAAUAGUUUAUAAAACAUAAGAAUAUUUGAAACCUAAAAUAUAUUCAACUUAUUAAAAAUAAUUUUUAUAUUUAAUACUUUAUUUUUAAAUAUUCUUCAUAUUUAUAUAAUUAUUUUUUAAAACAACCUUAAAAACAAAUGAAAACAAUGAAGAAAAAAGUUUAAAAAAUAUUAUCUGAAAACAUUUUGUUUUAUGUUUCUAAGAAAAAACAAAAAGCGGUAUUCUAAUUGUCAAUUGUGUUUUCCUAAAUUUUUUUUGGAUAACAAAAGAUUCCUCUAAAAUAUAAUUGUGAAACAAAGCCAAACUAUUUCAAGCCAAACCAUACUAGUUAAUGAAGAAAAAAAAAUGGUAAAAGAUGUACCUUUGCCAUACAUUGAUGUCCUGAAAAGAGGCAUUCUAUUUUCCCAACAAAUGACCGAACCAAGUUUUCCAUAUGGAGUGUCAUAAAUUGGAGUUGUCGAGCAAUCUCCGAAACCCCAGAAGAGCCGCUCCCAAUAUGUUGGCAUGAGUUUCCUAUGUUUUCCAAGGUAAUUGCCUUCAGGAUCAAAGAAGAGAACAGUGCAAUACAAUGUGUAUCCAUCUCUCUCAACAACACCUGUCACUAAGUAGACUUUGUAUUUCGCAGCCAUUGAUGCCAAUCUAUCAACUUCAGGUCCUGAAAAUACAUUAAUAUGAGAUCAAAGAUGAGACAUGUAAGCUGAUGGUUCAUCACAAAGCAGCAUAAGUAGAUUUUGUUUCAAUAACUUAUUUAAGUGGUUCAGUCCUCUAGCUAUUUAAGGGAGAAAGAGAGGGGUAACUGACCCGGCACAUUAAUGGCAGAAGCAUGGUACUUGCGGAAGCUUUCUUUCCCUCUAGGAGACUGGUCCGCGAAGUUGUACCCACGGGGAUACCCACCGAUAAAUGCCUCAGGAAACACAACCAGUUGGGAUCCCAAUGCAGCUGCCUCUUUCAGAAACCUCUCAGCCUUAUCUGCUCCCAAAAUCACAUUGCAAGAAUUAACAAUUCAUGACUUAGGAAGUAAAUUAAUUGGUUGAAUAGAGAAUGAAAAUUCACCUCAAGAUAUCCCAAAUGACUUUUUGGUUGCUGAGAAAACUUAAGGAAAAGGAGACCUAAAUAAAACUCGAAACUCACAUAUUUUCAGCUGUUUUGUAACUAAGAAAAAAGAAACCACCUCAACCAACUCAUCCAAAUAAUUAUUGUACAAGCAGUAAUUCCUUGAUUGGCAGCUGAAAAUAUGAUCAGGGUUCAAUCAUCCCUUUCUUUCUUUCAGUUUCCCAGCAACCAAUCAGCUCACUGAUUCUCUUACAGAAGUUGCAGAAUUGAGAGAAAUGGCACGUUACCUAGAGUGGCAGGAGUAUCAUAAAAGAUACUAGAAGCUUGAACAACGGUGGCUCUAACAGUUGAAGACAUUGCAGAAAUCGUAUGUUUUUUCGUUUCCCCUUUGUUUGAGGAUUCCUCACACUGCGUUCAGUAUAUAUAUAUCGCCCAUGAACAAGAGGUUCCUCUGCCAUUACUUGAACAAGACGGAAAGGCUUUGAAAAGUCUGACUUGGUUUUCUAUACUCAUGGUGAGGUUUUAUCCUCAUCACAAAUUUUUAAGUUAUCCGCAGACAUAGUGGACCAGCCACAUGACUUGUACAAAUUGAAAAUGACUGUCACAUGGGAUUUUUUGUAAUUUUUAAAAAUAAUUCCCAAAUGUAGUGGAAAAAAUAAUUCUAAAUCUAACAUAGUUUUUGCAAGAUAGAAAAGAAAAAAAUAAAAAUCUUUAUUUCCUUUAAAAAAAAAUUAUAAUGAAAGAAUCGUCUUUUGAAAAGACAAUUUCUCAAAUUUUUUUUUAAAAAAUAAAAUCUAUCGGUUAGAAAUUGUCUCUUGAAAAUCGUCAGAGAUGAUUUUCAAAAAUUCAUUUUUUCAUUUUCUCUUUUUUUUUUUCAAUAAUAUUUUACUAAAUAAUAUAUUUAUACAAUUAUGAUUUUUUUCCUUUUAAAAAAUUAUAAUGAAAAAUUCUCUUUGGAAAAGAUGAUUUCUUAAAUUUCUAAAAAAUAAAAAUAAAAAUCUAUAGGCUAGAAAUCAUCUCUUGAAAAGACGAUUUUCGGAAAAAAAAAAAAAUUAGGGAGAAAUUGUCUCUUUCUCCAUUGAUUAAAAAAACUGGAGAAAUCUUCUCAAGAUGAUUUCUUAAAAAUAAAAAGAAACAUAGAAAAAAAAGUCAGUCAAUUUUCAAAAAUUUUGUUUUCUAUUAGGAAAUAUAUAUUUUACCAAAUAAUAUAUUUAUACAAUAAUAUAUAUAUAUAUAUAUAUAUAAAUUGAUUAAUUUUAUUUACUAAAUUUAAUAUGUAAAAAUAAUUAUAAUUAUUGAUAUAUUUAUCAACAAUAAUAUUUAUAAAAAUAUAAAUUAUGUUUAGCAUCCGAUAUUUAAAAAUAUUAUUUUAUAUUAAGUUAGACAUUAAUUUUAAAAAUAUUUUGUUCUUUAUCUUCAGUUUUAUCUUUAAAUUAAUUCCAUUAAUUGUAACUAAUAAAUUAAUUUAGUUUUAUAUUUUUAUUAUUUAUAAUAUAAAUAAUAUUUUAUCUCAUUCUCUUUUUUACUAUCUCACCUUUCUCUCACCUAUUUAUUAAUGGAAUCAAAUUGAAUAAUUUUUCAAUCAUUUUUCUCCAACAAAUUGAACAUGAGAGAUAAAUGAUUAAAAAUUAUUAAUGUCAAAUGCAUUUUUAAAGUAAAUAAUUUUUAAAUACCUCAUCAAAUAUUAUUCUUUUAUUAAAACUUACAUAAUAUAUAAUAAAUAUUUUUUAAAUACCUUGGAAACUUACAUAAUAUAUAAUAAAUAUUAUUCUUUAUUUCAAACUUAUGUUAUUUAUCAUAUAUAUUAAACAAUUUUUAAACACCUUAUAAAAUAUUAGUAUUCUUUAUUUGUUCUAACUUGCAAAUUAGACAUAAUCAAAUAUUAUAUAUUUUUUUUCAAACUUAAGAAUAUAUAAUAAAUAUUUUUUAAAUACAUUGGCAAAUAUUUUUUUUUCUUACUUACAAAAUUAAAAAUAUGUUGUACAUUAUUUCUUAUAGGUCUUAACGACAUAGUUUGGUUAAAAAAAAAAAAAAAAACUAUCAAUAAUCGUCCUAAUGUCAAGCUCAAGUUGUUUAAAAAUCGCACAAAACCUAUUAGGAGCCUUGUACACCCUUGUAUACUUGACACAUUUCUCUUGUAUAAUUAGUGUAACAUUGUACAAUGGUGCAAAUUUCAUAUCCCUCCUAAGUUGUGUCUAUAUAGGUGUGUUAACCAUGUUUCCAAUGGUUUGGUUGAGAAAAAAAUGACUUAUGGUCAAAUUUUUUUCUCCAAACAUCAUUAUUGGGAAAAUCAUUGGAAUUUCCAUGUGGAAGUUAAAUAAAGUGCAUGACAUGGGUAUACAAUCCUUGGGUGACAAGGAAAAUAAAAAAGUGGUUUAGAAUCAAUUGAAAUCUUUCACAAAUGGUAGUCUUGUAUACCCUUGUACACUUAGUAUAUUUCCCAUCUUUAAUACCUUUGUAUAGUGGCACAAAUUUCAUAUCCCUCCUAAGUUAUGUUCACAUAAGUGUGUUAGCCAUGUUUCCAAUUAUUUGGUUGAGAAAAUGUUGGAUGAAUUAGGGUCAAUUUUUUUUUCCCUAAACAUCAUUAUUGGGGAAAAUAUUGGAAGUUCCAUGUGAGAGUUAAAUAAAGUGUAUGACAUGAAUGUAUAAUCUGUGGGUAACAAGGCAAAAAAAAAAAGAAAAAAAAAGGGGUUCAUAAUUGAUUGAAAUCUUUCACAAAUGGUAGCCUUAUACACUCUUUUGCACUUAGUACAUUUCUCUUGUACAAUUAGUGUAAUACUUUUGUACAAUGGCACAAAUUUCAUCUCCUUCAUAAAUAAUGUAUCCACAUAGGUAUGUUAACCAUUUUCUCAAUGGUUUGGUUGAUAAAAUGUUGGAUGACUUAGGGUUAAAUUUUUUUCCCUAACAUCAUUGUUAGGGAAAACAUUGGAAUUUUCAUAUGAGAGUUAAAUAAAGUGUAUGACAUGAGUGUACGAUCCGUGGGUGACAAGGAAAAUAAAAAGAAGUGGUUCAAAAUUGAUUAAAAUCUAUCACAAAGGGUAGUCUUGUACACCGUUAUACACCCUUGUACACUUAGUACAUUUCCCUUGUACAGUUAAUGUAAUACCCUUAUAUAGUGGCAUAAAUUAUAUAUCCCUCCUAACUUAUGUAUUCACAUAGAUGUGUUAACUAUGUUUCCAAUGGUUUAGUUGAGAAAAUGGUGGAUGACUUAGGGUCAAAUUUUUUUCGCCAAACAUCAUUACUGUGGAAAGUAUUAAAAUUUUCAUGUAGGAGUUACAUAAAGUGUAUGACUUAGGGUCAAACUCUUUUAAAUAUUUUUAUUAUUUUCAUAUAAAAAAAUAGUACUAAACAAGGUUUUCAAUUUUCAUUUUUAAAAAUAUUUUUCAUUUUUAAUUAAAUGUAUUUUUAAAAAGAGACAAUAUAGAAAAUAAAAAUUAUUUUAAGAAAUAAAAAAAUAGAAAUAAAAACUAGAAAAAUAUUUUUAAACCAGACUUAAACAUAAUCUAUUUAAUUUUUAACUACUUGUUUUCAUCUAAAAUGAGUAAAUAUACUUUUCAACCCUUUUAUAUAAUAAAAAUUCAAUCUUUACUAUGUAUUGAUAUAAUCCACUUCCAAAAUUAAGUCAUAUGAAAACAUUUUAAUUGGAUAUUUAAAAUAAAAACUCUCCAUCCAUCCUUUUUUUUUUUUUUUCUUAUUUUGAUAAAUUUUUAAUUAAUACAAAUCAUAAAAAAAAAAAAAAAUACUUAGUAAACAAAUUUGCAACAUUUUAUAUCACUUAUUAUUAAAAGUCAUGUUCAAAUAGUUAUUAAAAUAAGGAAGGAAGAAGAUUAAAAAAAAAAUUGAACUUUUUAUUUUAUAAUAGUAAAAAAAAAAAAAAAAACUUUAAAAUACUUUUUAGUAUAAAAAAAAGAAAAGAAAAAAGAAAAUAGUGAAUAGAUUUAUUUUAAAUAGCGUUUUAAUCAUUAAAUGAUUUACUUCUAAAAAGUAAAGGAUAAUUUUUAUUUAUUUAAAUUAACAGUUUUAGAAAGUAUUUUCCAUAAUAGUUUUUGAAUUAUUAAUAUAAUUUUUGUUUAUUUAUAAUUUAAAAAUAGAAAAUAAUGUUGAUUUUUCAAUUAUUUAUAAAAGAGUUUUAAAAAACAAUGAAAAAUCCAAAAAUGGUUAAGUAAGAAAGAAUUUGUUGGUAGUGGCAUGUUAAUAGUGGUAGAAUAAUAAUAAAAAAAAAGAGUCAAAUGAUUAUUUUUGUCCAUUACUAUCUCAUAUCCUUGUAAUCAAUUAUGGGUGACAGGAGGACCUUAGCUCAAUUAUCAAGUAGAGCUAGGUCGGAAACACAAUUCUCCCAAUAAUUUCCGGGCAUGAUAAUCAUAUUUAAAUAAAAAAGAGGGAGCUGCCUACAUGCAUGGAUUCCAUUGUCUUUAGUGGUGAGUAAGGCUUUCCAAGAUCAAUACACACACACACACACACACACACACACACACACACACACACACACACACACAUAUAUAUAUAUAUAUAUAUAUAUAUAUAUAUAUAUAGAGAGAGAGAGAGGUAAAAACUAAGUCUAACCCAGGGAGGAAAAUAUCGAGUAUCGGUGGACCUUGACAUGAUAUAUGAGGGAGAAAUAUCGGUCCCUUGAUUUUUUGACAAUUUAUCGUGAAUCUUGCUGACUUUUUGGAAUUUAUCAACAUUUUACCUAUUUAUCACGAUAUUUUGGACCGGUCAAUGCGACCUCUACAGUCAAAUAAAUUCAUUUAUUUGAAUACCAAAAAUAUAAAAAUUAUCAUGAUAAUUUUCUUCAUAGUAUUUUUAAUAUCAUUAAUAUAUUAAUUAAGUAUAAAAAAUUAUACAUAUAUUAUCAUUUAUUUUAUAUCAUUUAAUACAAUGAAAUUAAAUGAAUUAUAAUUUUAAUAUUAAAUAUAUUUUUAAGUUGGACAUAUUAUAAUCAAAUAUCACAAUGUUAUUAUCAAAUAAUAUUUGAUAUAAUUUAAUAAUAAAUGUAUACUUAUGAAAUUCAUAUUUUUUAUUAGCAUAUACAAUAUUAUUAUCAAAUAUAAUAAAUUAUAUUAUAUAUAUCAAUUACAAUUCUAUUAUACUUUUAAUUUUAUUUUUAAGAGUUUUUUCUUACAUUUUUAUAAUUUCUGAUCAAUUUUAGGUUCAUCGAUAUUUUAUGUCAAAAUAUCCGUCGAUGUAUCUGUAAAAUGAAAGUACCGAUAUAUCCGUAAUUACCGAUAUUUUCAUCCUUGGUCUAACCUUGUGUAUUGGCCCUUCCAAAAUUUGAGUGAUUCAAUGGCAGCUCUAGUAAAACAUAAAAAGGAAGAACUAUGUUUACCCUCAUGUUCAUUCAAACAAAUAUAUUGUAUAGGAAUUCUAAUUUUCAUAUUUGAUCACCCCAAACACACAACCAAUAAAAUUAUUCUUUAAAUAUGUAUUUUAAUAGAAACUAAAAUGAGAAUUCUAUAAUUACCCCUUUUUAAAAUCUUUAAUAUGAAAAGUCAUAAUUUAAUGUAUUUGAUGGCUCUCACAUCUGUUUUUUUUUUUUUUUUUUUCUCCUCUACGUCACUUUCUCCAUAUAAUGUCUUUGAUAUCCUCUCCAUAUCAUGUCUUUGAUAUCCUACCUUUGGCAUUUUUAUUUAUUUAUAUAUGUUGAAGUGACAACACUUUCUCUUCCCAACCUCUUUACUUUCAUAUUUCUUUUUACUCGUUUAAUAUUUAUUAACUUUAUUUAAUUUUUUGGAAUAAAUAAAUAAUGAGAAUAAAUUAAAUAUAAAUAUAAGUAUGCAAGCAACAUAAAAUGAAAAUUUAUCCUAAAAAUCAUACACUUGAUACUUUAAAAUAUUAAUUAUAAUAUAUUUGAUAAUUUAGGAUUUCGAUUUAAAAAUUAUGUUUUAUUUUUUAGAGGCUGGGAUAUAAGAUUUCCAUUAACCAAAGAUUUUUUAUAUGAAUCCUAAAUAAUAUGUUUAUUUUGCAAAUUCUUAUCAUAUAUAAAUAAAAUAAAUAUAUUUUUAUCAUAUUAUUUUUAAUUUUUAAUAUUUUGUAUCAAAAUCACAAUUAAUGAUAGUGAUUUUGGUUAAGAUAGAGCCCUUAAAAACAUAACAUGUUGUAAAAAAUAUAGAGUUUAUUAUUUAUUUAAUGAUAUUUCAAUUUCACUUUUAUCUAUCCUUAUUUUAUGCAUUAUACCUUAUGAGCAUUCUAACUUGACAUUUUUUGCAUUGUUCAUGACUUGGGUGAAUUAAGAUUUACAUGGAACAUCCAAGUCAUGGGUUCUUAUAAGUGGAUGAUUUGUUCAUAGUCGCUUUAUGGACUUAAGCAAUCCAUUUGAUGUUGUAGUGCAUUACCUCUUAAUUUAAGGGAUGACUAGUUUUGACCAACAAGAUGGGACCCUCAUAGUGAGUGCACUAAUGUAUAUGAUUGCAUUUUAGAUAAAACCUAUGGUGAGUCAUGAUGUAAGAAUAUCAGGUACUCAUGACUUCACCAAGUUGCUAUAUCGCAUUUUCUAUCAACCUUGAAAGAAUAUUGGGUUUGUGCCAAAGUUUGUAGUGACUUUGACAUAUGGGUGAAAUCCAAAAGUGAUAAUAUAUUCCUUAUGGAUUAGGUCACUAUAAAUAGAAUUAAGUAGCAAUAAGUAUUCUCAAUAGAGGAAUCAGAAUAUCUCAUGGAGUUUGAGACAUUAUGUCCCUUUGGAUGAUCCUAAGGACACAUGAUCAUGAAAUCUAUAGUCGUAGUAAUUCCUUGAGUGGAAUUUGAAAUAUGCUCUUAUGGGUUGGAGUAUGUCAAUUGAUCACAUAAUAGGAGGAUAUGUAACUGAAGAAUGAUAGAAGUAACCUUGAAAGGCAAAUAGUAUUCACCUUAUUAGAUUAUGAACAAUACUUCAUAAAGAGACUAUAUACAAUGGAUAGUAGGUUAGGAACCCAAGUAGUGCAAUCGACUCUCUAUGGUAGGAUGUUGAGUCAACUUUAGAAUUGGAUUAUGAGGGAGCCAAUACUAUUCUAUGGGUCAUAGUGGUACCGACUCAAGUUCAUAUAUCUUAAUGGCAUAACUUAUGAGGGUUGGAUUAGUUAAUGAUUCAAUUAUGUGCAUAAGGGCAUUUUGGUAAAUAUGCAUGGCUGAAUAGGAGUUUGUUGGGACAAAGCCCUAUAAAGCAUGAUAUGAUGUAAUAGAUUAAGUUUCAUUAAUAAAUUUAUUUAUUUAUUAUUCUAGUCCCCUUGUGUUAUCCCAUUUGCAUGAAUUGGUUAUUUGAGCAUUUACGUUCAUAUCACUUGCAUUGUACAUGACUUAGGAGUAUUAAGAGUUGAAUAAAAGAUCCAAGUUAUGGAUUCUUUACAAUAUGAUAAGUGAUUAGAAGUCUAUUCAUGGAUUUAGCAAAUCUAGUAUAAACUAUAGUGUACUACUACCUACUAAUUAGAGGGAUGCCUUGUGAUGGUCAUCGGGAUAACUUUCUCAUGGUAAAUGUGUACAAUUACAUAUUAAAUAUGACCUACGAUGAAUCAUGAUAUUAGUUGUUGGAUAGUCAUUAUUACCCAAGGUUUUAUACUACAUAAAUUCUUAAGCUUAAAAGGAUAUUAAGUCUAUACUAAAAUCAAUAUGAAGUUUUGACCUCUGGUUGAGAUCCUAAUGUGGUCACAUAUUCCACAUAGAUUGGGUUAUUGAAGGAGACCGGUAACAAUAGGCAUUUUUAAUAAAGGAACCAUAAUAUCUCAUGGGAUUAAACUUCAUGGGUGAUCUUAAGGGCAUGUGAUCAGGAUAAAUGUUACUAUAGCAAUUCCUUUAGUAAAAUUUGAUAUAUGCUCUUUGUGGGAUGGAGUAUGUCAGAUGAUCACUUAAUAGGAGGAUCUAUAACUCAAGGAUUAGAAAGGUAAUCUUGAAAGGUUGAUAUCACUACCUUGUUAGAUUAUGAAUAUCAAUUCAUGGGAAGUCUACAUUGUUAGGAUAGAGCCCUUAAGAGCAUGACCUGAUUUAAUAAACUUUUGAAUUUAAUUAUUCCUUAAAAAUUUUCAAUUCACUUUUAUCUAUUCUCAUUCCAUGUAUUCUAUCUUGUAAGCAUUUUGACUUACAUCUUUUUCAUUGUACAUGACUAGAGUACAUAAGGUUAUCAAGUUGUUAUGACUUCACCAAGCUACUUCAAUAUGUUUCCUUUAGAGAAUAUUGAGUUGGUGCUAAAGUUAGUAGUGACAUUGACCUACAAGUGAGAUCAUUAGUUGAUUAUAUAUUCCUUAUGGAUUAGGUCAUUGUUUAUCGAUGCCAAUUACAAUAGGUAUUUUCAAUAGAGGCACCAUAAUAUCUCAUGGGAUUAAGACAAGUGUCCUAUUGGGUGAUCCUAAGGAGGUGUGUUUAUGUAAACUAUGGUCAUAAUAGUUUCUUAAGUGGAACUUAACAUAAACUCUUGGAGAGUUAAGAUAUGCUAGUUGAGCACAUAGUAAGAGGAUUUAUAACUCAUAGAUAGUAGAGGUAGUCUUGAGAAGAUGAUAGCUUUCACCUUGUUAGACUUUGGACACCACACUACAAGAAAAAAGGUCAUUAUUGACAUAUAUCAUCUUGACUUAAGAUAAUAUAUGUGAAGAUUGUCUAUUUAAAUGAACAAUUAUGACAUAUACAACUUAGUUUAAACCAAUAAUGACAUGUAUAAUAGUUAUUGCAUUUUUCCAUGACUUAUGAUGAUGCAACCUUGACAAAUAAUUUAUAAGUCAAUCUAUAAUUAAUAUGUUCAUAUGUCAAGGUACCGAAAUGAAAGCAAUAAUGACAUAUAUAUAUAUAUUUGCUAAAUUUUCCUUGGUUUAAUGAUAUGCAAUCUUGACUCAAAAUUUAUUAGUCAAAGUAUAGUUAAUCUUUUCUACCUAAAUAAAAGUAAUAAUGACAUAUAUGCAUUUGCUAAGUUUUUAUAUGGUUUAUAAUGAUACAACCUUAAUAGAAAUUUAUAAGUUAAUAAAAAUUCAAUAAAUUAAUAUGUUAAGAUUAGAAUCUUUGGUUGCGCCACUUUAACAUAUAAUUUGUAAGUGAAAAUAAGCCUAUUUUAUUUUAAUUUAUUAAGGUUGAGUUAUUGAAAAAGAAAAUCCUAAUUUAAGGCAAUUUUAUCAAAUUUUGGUAGUUUUUACAAGUAUAUUUAUUAUUAUUUUGAAUAGAAACUUGUGAUUAAAAAGGAUAAGAUAAUGUUUCCAUUUAAAAAAUAAUAUCAAUGUAUUGAAAACUAUAUCUAUAAUCUUAUUUUAAUAUUUUGGAUAAGAUACUAAGUUAUGUCUCUAUAUUUCUAAUUAUUGGAAUUAAAAUAUAUUGCCACUAACUUGUGUUAGGGUCUCACAAGUAUUAGGUAAUUAAAUUAUUAUUUAUGUAUUUAAUUAGACAUUAAAUCUACUAAGAAUAACUUAAUUAGUAUUUAGGCAUUCAUUAUAACUAAUUGCAGGCCCACAAAAUCAAUCCAUAGACCCAUUUCUUUUAAAAUGUUUUAAGCCCAUUUUAUUUAGUUUGGGUCCAUUACAUUUAUACUUUUUCUUGAGCCAUAAAAAAAACUCAAUAUAUAAAUUUUUUUCCUCUCUAUUCCAUUUACAGUCGCCCCAUCUACCCCAUCUACCCCAUCUUCCCUUUUUCUCUUCUUUUCUUACUUUUUUUUUUAAUUCUUUUUUCUUCUUCUUUCUUCUUUCUUUUUUCAUCCUCUCAUCCUCAUAUUCAUGGUAGACCCUACACCGCCACCUCCAUCUCCUGUGUUGUUACGAUCCAUGAGUCCUACACCCACCAUGGCACCAUCUUUCUUAUCACCAUUGUCGUUCCCAUGUUCGCUACAACUCAGACAUGCUUCCUGAUGUUUUGCCACAAUCUCGACGUGGUUGUUGUUGUUUCGCUUUAGCUCGGACGCUAUUCUUGAUGUUCCGUCUCCAUCAUAGCCACCAUUGUUGCAGCCCAUAGCCUUGGUACCUCCUGCACUACCCAUUGACUUUUGUUGGAUCACCAUCAGCACCAUCUCCAUGGUUGCCACUUCCUUCUUCAUCUUAGAGCUUCAAGAGACGUAGGUAAGUUUCCUUGGAUAUCUACAGUACUUGUUGUGGUAGUUUUAAUUUAAUUUUUAUAUGGGCUUGGGUCUCAUUUGCUUUAUAAUUGGGCUUCAAAUUAUUUGGUACAUAGGCUUGAUGUUAUAAUAUUUUAUUACUUGGGCCUUGUGUUUCACUUGGUUGAGCCCAAUAAUAAGAGUAUCAGGCACACAUAAGCAGGUUGGUUCUUUGAGAACCAUUGAGUUUUGUUGAACCUUAGGAUUUUUAAGGCCAUGCUUCACCAUUGAUUGGGCUUCAAGUAAGAGAUAAGUAUGGAAGUUGCAGUUACUGACCUUAGUGUCUCUACUCCUGCCCAUGGUUUCAACAUGUGGGUCAAUUGAGGGGUUUGGUGAAGCUCUCCAUAUCUUCAAGACCUCUCUGGUUGAAGAAUAGUCCAACGGCCAAGUGACUAUGGAAAAAACCACAUGUUUGGAGUUAAGUUAAUGUUGGAUAAGUAUUAAUGUACACACAAAAUAAUGAAAAAUCGACGUGGUUGGGGCUGAAGAGCCACAACAUCAUAUAUAUUUGGUUCUGAUGGAGGAGUUAAUUAAUUGAUAUUACCAUGAAGGAAUUUCUAGUAGUUUUAAUCUAUUUAAUCAUACCAUCUAAUUGAAAAGAUGUUUUUGUCCUUUUCUUUUUAUUUUUAAUAUUCUAGAUGAUAUUCUUUGUUAAAAAAUUUAGAAAUAAUACAUCUUUGUAAUUGAGCUAGCUACUACAAAAUUAUAAGUGCUCAUUUCAUUCAUCAUCUCAAAAUUAUGUCUAGUGGCCUCAACUUUGAGUCAGUCAUUGAGGGGCUUAAUUUUAGGAGGAGAAUUAAAAUGUUCUCUUUUUUUUUCUUCUUCUAUUUUUUUUUCUUGAAUAUCCACUGUGUUUUACAUUGAAUCUAGAAUCACAAAGUCAAUUCAAUUACAAUUGAUGAUAUUAAAGGUCAAUAGGUGUAUUCAUUUUAUCUUUGUGAUAUCUAAAGUUAGUAUAUUUAUUGUCCUAUGAAAAAAAAAUCUUUUAAUUUUUUGGUAUUUGUUACUUACUUUUCUAUUAAUUCUAUGUUUAUUCUACUAGGUAUCUAAGAAAUACAUCAAGAAGAAGACAAUGAUGUAGAAACAAAGAUCACCUCUUAUGAAGAUGAUGUUGUACUUUUCAAUUUAAGUUUGUAUAUUAUUUUAAUUGAAUGUUUUUAGCUAGAUUUUGUUUGUAUAUAGAAAAUAGAGAGUAACUUGAACAAGAUUUAUGGAAUUGUGUUCUUAAUAUUUAAUGUAUAUGUAAUAAUUUUUUUUCCUUAAAUAGUAAUUUAUUUAAAUUAUUUUAAAGACUUGAUUGUAAUUAUCAUAAUUAAAAAUAUACCAAAUUUAAUUUCAAGAUAGGUUUCAUAUGGUAUAUAACAUGUUCAUUUUCCAUUAAAAACUAAAAAUUAUAAUAAAAUAAUAUUAAAUUUUUCAUAAGUUAUAUUGACAUAUGGCUCAUGCUCAAUAUUGACAUGUGUAGUAGCAACUAUGACAUAUGCGAUACCAAACAUUGACAUAUAUAAAGCAAUUAUGAUAUAUAUAAAAUCUAACCUUGACAUAUAUAUUUAGAAAUCUUGACAUAUGUGGGAUUAAUCAUGACAUAUAUGACGUCUGACCUUGACACUUGUUGGAGUAACCUUAACAAAAGAGUAAGUUGACCUUGACAUAAGAUCAAGUAAUCUUGUCAUAUGUUAAAUUCAACAUUGACAUAAGUAAAUGAAACAUUGAUAGAUAUCAUACUAUUAAGAUUUCAUCAUUAGUGGAAAUAAAGAAAUCUUGACAUAUGGAUAUGUCAAGGUAGCUUUAGACUUUUCUUGACACUGGCAUAGAUGACAUAUACGAAUAGUAACCUAUCUUGACAGAUAUACCUUAUCUUAACGGUGAAAAACUGUCAACAAGGGCCUUUUUUCUUGUAGUGCCAGUUCAUAAGGAGACCAAAUGCAAUGGAUAGUAGGUCAUGGACUUGAGUACUUUGUAGUGGAGUGAAGUUGAUUCUAUGUAGUAAGAUGUUAAAUCAAUUUUAGAAUUGAAUUAUGAGGGAGUCAAUACUAUCCUAUUGGUCCCAAUGGUCCCUACUUGAGCUCAUAUGUCUUAUUGGUAUGGUUUAUGAGAAUUGGAUUGACUCAUGGUUCACUUUUAUGAGUAAAGGCUUUUUGGUAACUAUGCUAGGUUGCAUAGGGGUUAGUGAACAAAGUUUCUAGAUUGGGCUAAUUGAUUAAUUAAAAGACUUUGUGGGUUAGUUAAUUAAUUAUAAUCUAUUUUAGCUAGAUUAGGUGACCCAAGCCCUUAGUAGGCUCAAGUCACUUAAACCAAUUAGGGAACCUUAUAAAUACUCUUUUAGGGGUGAAGUAGUUGUCUUCUAUAAUGUAGAGAGAAUAAAGAGCCACAACUUCCUCCCUCACAACCUUCUCACUAGUUAAAUGCCAAAAUCAAGGUAUAGUCAAUGCAAUAGAAGAUCUUAGGUUUUUAAGACCUUCAACUACUUUGUUCAGAUACUUCACUGCAUGGAUUUGAUUUGGGAACAUCCAAAUCAAGGUAAAAGUUUUCUAUCUUGAUAUCUAAAUCCUAUUAUUCAUUUAAAAUGCAUGUUUCCCUUUGUGCUUAGGAUUUAAAGAAAACUUAGGAAGAUUUGCAUGUAUCUAACAUGAUCUAGGUAUAGGAAACAAAAAUAUCUAGGAUUCUUUACAAAAAUCCAGUGGAUAGUAGGUUAUAGGCCUAAACUUUAACUUAUUAUAAUUAUAUAAGAUAUUAGAGUGUAGUUGAUUCUCUUUAAUGGAGUGUUGAGUCAACGUCAAAAUUGGAUUUUAAGAGCCAAUAUUUUCCUAUGGGUUCCAGUAGUCUCCACCCGAACUCCCAUUUCAUGGUGGCACAUUUGUUUGAGGAAUUUUGUGUUUGUAGUUCACUAAUGUGCAUAAGUGGCAUUUUGGUAAAAGUAAAAAGUUGCACUAGAUCUUGUGUGCAGUAGGACUAAUUAAAUUAAUUAGAACGGAAGUGAGAUGAAGUAAGUGACCUAAGGCCAAUUUGGACUCAAGUCACUUAAGCCCAUAGGGAAGUCUAUAAAUACCACCUUAGGGGUGAGAGCUUCAAACUUUUGUCAUUUUUCUUUUAGAAAGAGAAAGCAAACCCUAACCACCUUUAAGUGAGAGAAAAAGAGAGAAGCUUUCCCUUCUCUUACGCGAAGGUUUGUUGUGAAAGAAAAGAUCGGGUGCAAGAUUAUUAGGUAAAUGACUUCUAUGACACAUUCUAGGGAUUGGAUUGAAUAUGGGAACAUCCAAAUCAUAGGAAUGAAUUCUAAUAUCUAAAUCUAGUAUAUUUUAUGGAUUUUAUAACUAUAUUUUUCCAUUGCAUUAGAUCUAGAGAAGCCUAGAGAUAGUUAGAUGGACUUUAUAUGAUCCAAGGUUAAGGAACAGAUUAAUUCGAAGUUCCCAUCGAAGUUAGUGAACAAUAUUUCUAGAUUAUUAGGUUGAUUAAUUAAUUUAAGCCCCCAAUUAGAAACCUUUUUAGUUUAAAUUAAAUGGCUCAAGUCUAAGGUAUGCUCAAGUAACUUAAGCCUAAUGGGAAGCCUUUAAAUACCUCUUGAGGGGUUAGGGUGUAGACCCACAUUUUUCACGUGCGUUCCCACUUGAUCGGCGAGACUCGCUUUUUAUUUGGUGAAAAAUUAAUUUUGGAAAAUUCGGAAUCGCCAUUUAUUUUAUUUUAUUUUAAAAGGGAAAAUAAAACAAGAAAUAAAACCCUAAAAAAUGACUUCAUAGUUUUUGGAAAAGCGUGUCUUUAAAAAACCCGAGUCUAGGUCUGAGGAUCAGGUUACUUAUUGAGAAGGUAUCUCUAGGAGGUAACACCCCUCUAAGCCCUAUAAAAGUCUCUACUGACUAAGUUAAGGGAAAUGUGACAAUUAAUUGAUUAAUUAUAGAUACCUAGGUAGGCUAGGUGAUUUCGAAAAAUAGCAUGCUAAACAAGAAAACCGAUCACAAAUCAUAAAGAAGAUUUAGGGUGCGUACCUGGACCACUUCUUAAGUGCUAUCACAAAACAUCAAAGGUUACUUUAAAUAGUAUAUCACCCAACAUGCACUUUAUCAUAAAUGAUCGAACAAUGUAACAAAAUCAAGACACCUAAGCACUAUCAAACAUAGGCAUAAUUCAUAAUGACAAUCAUAUUUAUAGAAUUUAGAAAGUGGGUGUUAGGGAGCGUACUUAGAUAGCAUAGAUAACUCAUAAUACGCUUCCUCGAGACAUGGAGGGUUAGAUAAUAAAUAAUAAAAUAAGAAAUUCUAGCAUGCUUGUUAUUUAAUUAGCAUGACAAAAAAAAUGAUCAAAGUAUACUAAAUCAUCAAUUAUCACACACAUCUUGUAUACAAUUCUUAAAAAAAAAAGAUAGAUAUGAUUACAACAAAUAGCAAGAGUGGUAGCAAAAAUAAGUUUUGAAAAGAUUUUCUUAUAUAGGGGUUUCACCAAUUCCCCAAUCGAUAUACACGAAUUUAGCCUAGAAUUAUCCAAUUUAUUUGGGACCACAAGCUUUGAUUCGUGUUUUGUUCAAAACCAAAUUUUUUAUUGAAAACUGAGAAAGAUGCGAACCGAUUAAAAAAAUGGUUGCAUAUUAUUUUAAGAGAAUGAGAUUUUGAUUCUAAAGACUCUAAAUGUACUUUUUUUUAAAUAGAUUUUCAAAGGGGUCUUUUGAGAAAAGUGUUUUGUUUUAAAAUAAAAGAAAUUAAUUUCGAAAACAACAAAACAUAGAAAACAAAAUACCAACAAAAAAAAAGGAAACAAAAAUCACAAAAUAAAGAUUUAGACAAUCAUGCCAAUUAAAGUAGUGAGAGUAGGGCCAACCUUCAUGGGUUUCCAGUGGCCUUCAAAAAAAGGAUUUGACCAACAAUCACUAAGGCAACAAAAUUAUGACUUCCUAAUCAAACAAACUAAUAAAAAUAUUAUCCAAGACUAACAUUUAGAUUUCAAAAAACACAUGAAUUAAGAUAAAAAAAAAAAAUCCAAUCAAGGAUUAAAGUCAACAAACUUAGCAUAUGGAGAUAAUAAUGUGGGAUUGAUUAAGGUAAAUUAACAUUCUAACAAAAUAUGAUAAAUCAAAAACCAAAAUUUAGCAAUCUUGAAAAUAUGAAAACAAUAACAUGCAAUUAACUAGAUUGAUUAUCUAAAAUUCCUAAAAACUCGAACUAAAUAUUAAUAGAUCAAAACCAAAAUAUGCCAUGCUCAAAAUAUGAAAAAUAAUAACACGUGAUUAACUAAAUUAAUUAGCUAAAAUUAUAAUAGUCAACUACAAAAUUGGAUAUAAAUGGAUUAAAAUCAAAAUUAACGAAAUAAAAAACGCACAAACACAUUCAAACUAAAAAUAAUUAAUACUAGAUUAAAUUAGAAUUAAAAACAUCAACAUCAUCUAAUAAGAUUGGCUAAACUAUUAAAUUGAAAUUGCAAAUACAUUUAAACUAAAGCAAAUAAAUAAAUUAGCAAAUUAAAACUAAACUACAAUCGGAAUUAAGACAAAAAAACAUGAAAUUUGUCUAAGAGGUUUGGUCAAACAAUUGAAUUAAAAUCAUGAACGCUUUCAAAUUAUAGAAUAAAUUAAAACUAAACUAGAUUGAGAUUAAACUCUAUCUAAGAAAAUUAGUUAAUUAAACUAAUAAAAUCAAAAUCAACAAUCAAAACUAAACUAAAGAAUAAAUUAAGACAAAACUAAUUGGAUUAAAAUCACAAACACAUUUAAACUAUCAUAUAGAUUAAAAUAAAUUAGCAUGGAACUAAUGAACUACAAUCACAAAAGAAGAAAAAAAAAGUCUAUUCUAAAAAAAAUGCGCAAAUUGAGAUUUAAAAGAAUUGAGCACAAAGAAUUAAUUAAAUCAAUGAACUAACAUCUAAAUUAAAAAAAAAAAAAUCUGUCAAAAACUGACCUGUGUUGUGAAAGAAAAAAUCCUCUCUUUGUGCGUCAAAGUGGCAACCCGAUCUUUGUCUGAAGUCUUCUGCUGCUCCCCAAAAACUCUUGUGCGUGUCCUUUCUGAAAAAAAAAAAAUUCCCCCUUGAUCUGUUCUCCUCCUCUUAUUUAUAUGGCAGCCCACUCCUAUGGAAUAUUUUAUUUCCUUUUUGGAGAUAUAUUUCCAACCUUAAAGGAGAUCCAAAUUUCCAAACUUCUGAUGGCACUUUCUAUUUCAAUACCCAUUGUCUCUCAAUGUUGUAGUCCCCAAUCUCCCUUCUAAAAAUGUUGUCAAAAUCUUCCCUGCCUCAUCUCUUGUCGAACCCUUGGAUCCUAUUGGCUAUUGUUGAAUCUGAGUGCAAUGUCAUUUGCAGAUGUCAUGAACAACUCAUCUAGCAAGCCUCUGCUGCCCCCUAUUGACCCUACGCCAACAAACUCAACUUCUCACAUCAUAUGUCAUUUUGUACGUGGGACUCACUGGAUNNNNNNNNNNNNNNNNNNNNNNNNNNNNNNNNNNNNNNNNNNNNNNNNNNNNNNNNNNNNNNNNNNNNNNNNNNNNNNNNNNNNNNNNNNNNNNNNNNNNCCCCCAUGGCAUUUCUUAUUCAUUCCAUCAUCAAUUCUCUCCACUUCUUAUCCUUUCUUCCAAGUGCUUGGUAUUCAAGACCGUUCAAGUCAUCAAGUGAUUUGUUGUUUCUUGUGAUUUGAAGUGCUACUAUCACAAGAAAGUGAUCGUUGUAUCCUGGGAGACGAUUGUCAACAAACCAUAAGCACCAGUGUGGGGCAAAUUUAUCUUAAGGACAUAGAGUCAAACUUUAGCCUCGAUCAACCAUUUGUACGAUUCAAUAUUUACUUACCUUCUCAUUUAUUUAUUAUAUGUAAUUAUUUGACCAUACAUUUGUGAUAAUUCCAGAAUAACAAUCUUAAGACGAAUUUCUUUUUAAUCUUUUGCUUCUGUCUAUGUUUUUAAUUCAGUUAAUAACAUGACCUUUACAAAUAUUAUUGAUACCCCUGUUGUUACACCUACUACUACCCAUGGUGAGAAACCAGAGAAAUUCACUAGGUUGGACUUCAAGCAGUGGCAACAAAAGCUGUUGUUUUAUCUCACAACACUUAACUUGGCUAAAGUGUUGCAUGAAGAUGCACCUACCUUAAAGGAGGAAGAGACUAACAAGCAAAUUGUGGCAGCAGUUGAAGCAUAGAAACAUUCAGAUUUUCUAUGCAAAAAUUACAUCCUCAAUGGACUUGACAACACGAUGUAUAAUGUGUAUAGUCAAGUGAAGACAACUAAGGAGCUGUGGGAGACUUUGGAGAAGAAAUACAAGACUGAAAAUGCUAGCAUGAAAAAAUUCAUAGUUGGUAGAUUUCUAGAUUACAAAAUGGUUGACUCCAAGACAGUGAUAAGCCAAGUCCAAGAGCUUCAAAUAAUUUUGCAUGAAUUACAUGCUGAGAAGAUGGAAUUAAGUGAGUCCUUUCAAGUUGCAGCGAUUGUUGAAAAGUUACCACCAUCUUGGAAGGACUUCAAGAAUUAUCUGAAACACAAGCGCAAGAAAAUGGGGCUUGAGGACUUGAUUGUGAGACUGAAAAUUGAGGAAGAUAUUCGUGUUUUUUAGAAGAAAGUGGGAAAACAUCCCAUGGAGUCCAAGGCAAACUUGGUGGAACCAAAGGCUAAUAAAAAGAGAAAGCACUUUGGUGAAGGUCCAAGUCAAGGAAAGAAUAAAUACAAGAAGUUUGUUGGGAAGUGUUACAUUUGUAAUAAGCAAGGCCAUAGGGCCAAGGAUUGCCGCUUGAAAGGACAAAGUAAUGAAAAUAAAACACAAGUGACUGAGGAAGAGGAGUUGGCAAACAUGCUUUCCGCAUUGGUACUGUUUGAAGCUAACAUGGUAGAUAACCCAAACGAAUGGUGGGUUGACACAAGUGCCACCCGUCAUGUUUGUGGAGAAAGAAACAUGUUCUCCACAUAUGUACCAGUCAAUGGUAGAAAUUUGAUCAUGGGAAAUUUUGCCACAUCUAGGGUUGUGGGAAUUGGAAAAGUGGUGCUAAAGAUUACUUCUAGAAAAGAACUUGUUCUCAUAUAUGUGCUACAUGUGCCUGAUAUUUGCAAGAAUCUUAUUUCUAGUUCUAUGCUUAGCGAAAAUGGGUUCAAGUUAGUUUUCGAGUCUGACAAAUUUGUAUUCAUGAAAAAUGGGAUGUAUGUGGGUAAGGGGUAUAUGACCAAUGGCCUGUUUAAGAUGAAUGUAAUGAUUGUUAAGCGUGAUUUCAAUAAUAAUAAAGCAAGUACUGCUGUUUACUUGAUUGAGUCUUUUACUUUGUGGCAUGAUAGGUUAGGACAUGUUAACAAUAAAACUUUAAAAAGGUUGAUUAACAUGAAUUUGUUGCCUUUUUUUAGCAUUGAUUUUAAACAUAAAUGUGAAGUGUGUGUGGAAGCCAAGAUGGCUAAGCCACCGUUUCAUUCAAUUCAAAGGAACACAGAACCUCUGGAUUUAAUUCAUAGUGACAUCUGUGACUUAAAGUUUAUACAAACAAGAGGAGGGAAAAGAUAUUUUAUUACCUUUAUAGAUGAUUAUACAAGAUACUUUUAUGUGUAUUUGCUAAGAAGCAAAGAUGAGGCCUUAGAUGUGUUUAAACACUACAAGAAUGAGGUUGAAAAUCAACUUAGCAGAAAGAUUAAGGCAAUAAGAAGUGAUAGAGGUGGAGAGUAUGAAGCUCCUUUUGGAGAAUUUUGUUCAGAACAUGGAAUAAUCCACCAAACUACUACUCCUUAUUCACCUCAAUCGAACGGUGUUGUUAGCGCAAGAACCGUACAUUAAAGGAAAUGAUGGAUGCUAUGUUGAUAAGUUCGGGUCCACCCCAAAACUUAUGGGGAGAAGCAAUUCUUUCUGCAAACCACAUUCUUAACAAGAUACCACAUAAGAAUAAGGAUGUAACUUCAUAUGAGUUAUAGAAGGGUCACAAACCCUCUUACAAAUAUUUGAAAGUGUGGGGGUGUUUGGCUAAAGUAGGAGUGCCUAAACCUAAACAAGUUAAGAUUGGGCCUAAAACUAUUGAUUGUGUAUUUAUUGGAUAUGCAAACAAUAGUUGUGCAUAUCGUUUUCUUGUACAUAAGUCUGACAUUCCUAAUAUACAUAAAGAUACAAUUAUUGAGUCUAAGAAUGCGUCAUUUUUUUAGAAUAUUUUUCCUUGUAAAGAAAAGCAAGAAGUAAGUUCAAAUAAGAGAACUUAUGAUACUGUAAAUGGUAAUCAUCAAAAUGAGGAAGAAAUAAGAUGCAGUUAGAGAGCCAAGAAGACAAAGUCUUUUGGCUUGGAUUAUCUAACUUACAUGUUAGAUAACGAACCCAAGACAUUCAAAGAAGCAAUGUCAACACCAGAAGCCCCAUUUUGGAAAGAGGCUAUCAAUAGUGAAAUUGAAUCCAUCAUGCAUAACCACACAUGGAAAUUGGUGGAUUUACCACCAGGAAAUAAACCUUUGGGUUGCAAAUGGAUCUUCAAGAAAAAGAUGAAGCCUGAUGGAACAAUAGAUAAGUACAAGGCUAGAUUGGAGCCAAAGGAUUUAAAUAAAAGGAAGGCCUUGAUUUCUUUGAUACAUAUUCACCAGUUACGAGAAUAACAUCUAUUAGAGUGUUAAUUGCAAUCGCAGCAUUGCAUAAUUUGGAAAUUCAUCAAAUGGAUGUUAAGACAAUCUUUUUAAAUGGGGAGUUAGAAGAAGAAAUAUAUAUGGAACAACCUGAAGGGUUUGUUGCUCCUGGACUAGAAAAAAAGGUGUGUAAGUUGAUAAAGUCCCUAUAUGGGCUAAAACAAGCACCAAAACAAUGACAUUAGAAAUUUGACAAAGUAAUGUUGUCAAAUGAUUUUAAAAUUAAUGGAUGUGAUAAAUGUGCAUAUACAAAGAAUACACAAAGUGAGUAUGUCAUUGUGUGCUUGUACGUGGAUGAUAUGUUAAUUAUUGGUAGCAAUAAUGAUGUCAUUAAAGCUACUAAGAAAAUGCUGACCAAUUAUUUUGAUAUGAAAGACAUGGGUGUCGUAGACGUGAUCUUAGGUAUAAAAAUGGCCAAGACAUCUAGUGGACUAAUAUUAUCUCAAUGUCAUUACAUUGAGAAAAUUCUUAAACGGUUUAACUAAUAUGAUGAUAGUCCAAUUAAGACACCAGUAGAUUUAAAUCUAUAUUUAGCUAAAAAUAAUGGUCGAGUAAUUGACCAGUUGGAAUAUUCUUGUAUCAUUGGUAGUUUAAUGUAUGUCAUAAACUGCACGCGUCCAGACAUAGCCUACGCAGUUAAUAAACUAAGUAGGUUCACUAAUAAUCCGGGAAAAGACCAUUGGAAGGCGUUGAUUAGGGUUCUUAGAUAUCUAAGAUACACCCUAAACUAUGGACAUCAUUAUUUAAGGUAUCCAGCCAUACUAGAAGGAUAUAGUGAUGCAAAUUAGAUAUCUGAUACAAAGGACUCAAAGUCCACAAGUGGAUAUGUAUUCACAAUUGGUGGUGGUGCGAUAUCAUGGAAGUCAUCUAAACAAACAUGUAUUGCAAGAUCAAUGAUGGAAUCUAAAUUUAUUGCUUUAGAUAAAGUAGGGGAAGAAGCAGAAUGGCUUCAUAAUUUUCUAGAAGACAUUCCAUGUUGGCCAAAACCAAUGCCUGCAAUAUGUAUACAUUGUGAUAGUCAAUCAGCGAUUGGAAGAGCACAAAGUAGCAUGUACAAUGGUAAGUCUCGACACAUCCGUCACAUACAUAAUAUUGUAAGGCAGUUACUUGUAAAUGGAAUUAUUUCCAUUGAUUAUGUUAAGUCAAAGGACAACUUGGUGGAUCCACUAACUAAAGGAUUGUCUAGAGAUCAAGUAAACUGCUCAUCGAGGGGAAUGGGAUUAAGGCUUAUCACUAAAGAGUUUCAUAAUGGAAACCUAACCUAGCUGACUAGAGAUCCCAAGACCUAGCUAGGUUCAAUGAGGAACUAAAUUAUGAAAUACUCUGUGAAGAGCACUAGGGAAAAAUAAAUUCCUACCCAUUCCUAUGGUGAAGUAGUGCUAUACAAGAUGUGUUUAGGAUAAGCUAUGCUUUUAAUGAUUCUAAUAAUUUGAAAGAGUUCAAGUGGAGUAUGGUAGAAUAUUCGCACUUGUAACGGCUAAAAUGAACACAACCGUGAGAAUCAAUGGUGAUCUGGAAAGGAAUUGUGUGAAUACUAUUGUCUUGAUUUACAUCAAUAGCUGAAUAGUUCAAGACAUCACAUUCACUGAUUAGCUAGUAAAUCCGAUAGUAUUUCACUAAGGUUCAGAGCCAUAAACUACCUAUCCUGAUGCGAUCACUUUCCAAUUUUGUAUUCUCUUGAUUGUUUAGUUUUCCAUUUGCCUUUUUUAAGUCAAUUUCCAUUCAUGUGGGGGAUUGUUGGGAUAUUUAUAGGUGAAUGGAAAUUAAGACAUACUGUUUCAAUUAGACACAACUCUUCGUAAUGGACACAACUUGUGUCAAAGGAUAUGUCAAGUAUUUAAGACACAUCUCUUCUAAGAGUCACUAGAAAACCUAUAAAUAGGGGGGCCCCAUGGCAUUUCUAAUUCAUUCCAUCAUCAAUUCUCUCCACUUCUUCUCCUUUCUUCCAGGUGCUUGGUAUUCAAGAGAGUUCAAGUCAUCAAAUGAUUCACUGUUUCUUGUGAUUUGGAGUGCUACUAUCACAAGAUAGUGAUCGUUGUAUCCUGGGAGACGAUUGUCAACAAACCGUAUGCACCAAUGCAGGGCAAAUUCGUAUUAAGGACAUAGAGUCAAACUCUAACCUCGAUCAACCGUUUGUAAGAUUCAAUAUUUACUUACCUUCUCGCUUAUUUAUUAUACAUAAUUAUUUGACCAUACAUUUGUGAUAAUUCCAAAAUAACAGUUGAAUCCUCGGCCACAGCCUUUGCGGCAGCUAGAAACAAUUCCAGAAGGAUUCGUGGAAGGACAGUUGUUGAUGUAGAUUUGGAAGUACACACAACAAGACCUCUUAAUAACCGCAACAAGCGUGGAAGAGCUCCAGAACAAUCUUGGCAUGUUCCGCUUCUGCCACCCAAGGAGCCCACCUUCAACUGUAGGAAAAGGGUCACCAUGAAAGAUACCAUCAGAAUUUAACUUCCUGCAGCCAGCUGAGUAUGAUGCCUGGGCCAAUCAUGUAAUUAUGCAUAGGCUUAAAGAUUUUCAGCGUACAAGAAGGUGGGUUAUAAAGACUGGCUUUUGGAGGAUAGAAAGAGAAAUGAAAGAUGGCUCUUGGCAUGUUAUCAGACUCUUUUAUUUUUGCCCUCACAGACGGUGAUCCUCGUCUGCACGCUCUUGAACUCCGAUAUCCGACAUCGUAUGGUGAUGCCACCUGGGCGCUGAAAUGUAUACUCCUCCUCGGAUUCUCUCAGAAACUCACCAAACAAUGGGUGAUCGAAGUAUAUCACCGACACAAGGACUCGUGGAAGUCACCGUCUUUUUGAUCCACGUACACCGCCAGAUGGCCUUUCGGAACCGUCACCGCUAGCAUCUCCUCACCCACCAGAAGGUAACCAGAGAAACGAGCCGGAUCCGAGUUCAACAAACAUGUCUUUUUGGCCUUGGUUUUGAGACGUUGACCCCAGUUGCAGAGUCGAGAAAUUGUCUUGGUCUUGCCAGUCGGUAGCCAGAGACGGUGGUACCCAAAUGGGUUUCGGUGGAAAAAACCAUCCGUAGAACUUGACGACCUGUUUUCCUAGUUUGAAGCCCCUGAUCUUUCUCAUGGUGUAAGUGUUUGGUGCGAGAGAAAAAUUCAGAAGCUAUAAAUUACCAGAAUUUUCAAAAGAAAGAAAACGGUAAGAUUUGGCUCAGGAGAAAGGUCAUGGAGCUUUUUGUCUUAAACCCUUUCUCUUCGUCAACACUUAACGGUGGCAGUGGAGAUGUGGAGGAGGAUGGGUUUUCUAUUCUGAAAACAGAUGGAUAUGGUGCGGCGGACUACUCCAGAAGUGAUGAAGUCUAUAGGCGACCCAUUGAGUUUCAAUGGCGGUGCACUACACCAACAGUUAUGAAUUUGCCUUUUUCAAUACAGAAUUUGCUUCUUCAAGAGAACGUCCAAGAAGUCUCGCUAUCGGUGUGGUGGCUCCUUUUUAUACCAGCAUCAGAAGUCACUGGAACUCCAGCUGUCACUCAUUCUCAGGCAUGGUGUGCAUGUCCUCAUGUUCACGUGUUCUUCACACCGGAUCAUUCUCUCUAGAGACUUCCAGAGAGCCUCCAAAAAAUGCCUGACCUCUAAUGCCAUGCCACCUCACGUGACAGCUCUCACCAACUUCAUCUUUUUGUUUUCACAGGAGCCUCCCAUUCCUAAAUAUGCAAUCGUCUCCUCAUGCAAAACAGAAUAAAAUAAAAUAAAAAAAAAUAAAAAAAAAGAGAAGAAACUAAUGAAAAUCAUGAGAUUGGUAAUAAAAUAAAACAUGAUUUAAAAGAAAAAAAAGAGAGACCAGAUUAUAUAAUUCCAUCAUUCAAUAAGGGGGUCGUAUGUAUAUUUAAAGUCUAAACAAUUCAAGCAAUUUUCUAUUAAGUAAAUAAAAAAUAAAAAUAAAUAAUAAAAGUAAAAAUAAAAAUGAAUAUAAUUAUCAAAUGCAUGCAAUAAUAAUAAAAAGAUUAUACAUAAAAAAGUUAAGCCUCAAUGAAGUGUCUAAGUGGGCCUAAGUGGGUGCCUAAUGAGCCAAGUGCGUCUAAGUGAACUUAAGGUGUCUAAACGAGCCUAGGGUGAGACUAGGUGGGUCUAAUUAAGUCUAACCUAAAGUGCACCUAAGUAAAACCUAAUCAAAAUCAAGACUAUCAAGGAUCAUAAUAAGGGGUCAAAUAAUCCCUCAACCAGAGUUUCCGAGGUGGCUCUAAAAAAAUGGGCUACACGAGAAGUAAUGGGCCACCAAGGAAUUGUUGUAAAGUACGGAACAAAUACCUAAUAAGACAUGUGCUAGAAUGAUAAAAUGGAGGGUCUACAUAGGGCUUCAGACUCUUAGACUUUUACUUCUUCCAUUCUCUUUUACAUGUCUAGAGAGAGAGAACCUAGCCCCUCCACUUUUCUCAAUCUCUACCAUCUAAGUAUCUAGCUUCAAGGAGAGUCAUUGAGGAGAAAACCAAUGGUUUCAUGAGAUUUUCAAUGACUACUAUGCGUUUGAGAACCUUCUUCACCACAAGGCUGUUUUGCUUCAUUGGUGGGGGAUAAGCUUAGGAAAGCAUGUAUGCACCUAACAAGAUCUAGGGAUAUAAAAUGGAGUGAUCUAUUUUUUCCUACAAUUUUAGCUUUCUUACUUGUAGUUUUAAUUGACCAUAUGUAUAGCUUUUCUUGGUUAAAAUUUUAAUUUUUUUGAAUGAUGUACAAUGCACUUAUUUUGUUUUUGAAAAGAAUGUUUUUAUUUUUCUUAAUAACGUACUUUUUUUUUUGAAGGAUAUACUUAAUUUUUUAAGAAAUGUAUUUAAUUUUUCUAAAGAAUUCACUUAUUUUUCUAAGGAAUCUAGUUAUUUUUCUUAGAGAUAUACUUAUUUUUUAACAACGUACUUGUUUUUUUUCAUAUUGUACUUCUUUUAAAAAUGUACUUAUUUAUACUAUCACAAAUAAUUGAAAUUAAUUAGCAAAUUAUACUAAAACAUUAAUGUAUAUGAUUCAUAUACAAUGUACUUAUUUUCUUAGGAAAGCAUUUUCUAAAGAAUGUUCUUAGUUUUUUUUAGGGAUGUACUUAUAUUAUUUAAGGAUAAACUUAUUUAUAUUGAUAGAAAUAAGUGAAAGUUGGUGAGAAAUUUAUGAUAAAACAUUAGUAAAUAUAAUUAAUGAUAUUCGAUAAUAAUAUACAUAAUUUAAGAAUUUAAAAUAUAUUUAAUAUUCAACAUAUAAAAGAACUUAUGAUAUAUAUAUAUUAUUUUGAUGAUUUGUAUAAUUUGAAUAAUUUUUAAAUGGAAUAUGAAAAUGAAAUAAUUAAAAUGUACAAACGUAGUCCUGUAAGCCAUUGAUUAAUGUGCUUAUCGUGAUCAAAGAUUCAGAUAAUGUAUAUUAAUUGAAAAUUUAUUAGCAAAUAAUAGUCAAACGUUAAUGUAUAUAAUUUAUAUACAAUGAACUUUUUUUUGAGGAAUGCAUUUUCUAAAGGAUAUUCUUACUUUUUGGAGGCAUGUGCUUAUUUUUUUAAGGCUAAACUUAUUUAGAUUGGAGCAAAUAAGUGAAAGUCCAUGAGAAAUUCAUGAUAAAACAUUAAUGCACAUAAUUUAUAUAUUAUGUACUCAUUUUUUAUUUUUUUAGAAAUGUACAAAUAAUGGAAAGUUCAUUAGCAAUUUAUAGUAAAAUAUUAAUGUACAUAUUUUUUUGAAGGAUGUAUAAUAUACGUAUUUUUUAAAGGAAUGUAUAUAUUUUUUUUCAAGAUAUAGUUAUUACAUACCUAAGACUACAUUUAUGUUCAUAUUGAAAUUAAAGAGCUUUCAUAAGAGAAAGUGUAGCCACUUGAUCAUAUAAAAAAAUAAAAGAAAAGAAAAACAGAAAUAAAAGGGUAUAUAUCAAACACUUUCAAUUAUGAUUUAUCAUAUCAAAGAUUUGAAAAAGGGACAAUUCAUUUAGUAGUUAUUUAAAUGCGUAUUUUAGAAAUAAUUUUAUCCAUUGUGUGUUUGGGAUGAAAUGUGAAAGUUGGAAUCCUAAAAAAUAUACUUAUAUAUUUUUUAAUUAAUGUAUGUAACCAUAGUUCUCCCAAAAUAUGGCCAGGCUUCAUCAUACUUCUGUUUUGAAAUGUUAAAAUUUAAAAAUAAUUUUUCAUGAAUCACUUUUAAAUGUUUUUUAUAGAAAAAAAUUAAAAUAUAAAGUAUGAUGUAUUUUUUCAACUUUGAAAAAUUCUCUAAACAUAUUUUUAAGUCAUAAAUUAACACCAACUUUUGUCACUUCUUAUUCUUCUAUAUCAAAAGACUAACAAUAAUCAUGUUAUUUAUACGCAUAAAAUUAAUUAAAAUCAUUUAAGAUCAUGAUUUUUUUUAAAAUUUUUGUUAUUUAAUUAUAAAAAAAUUAAUUUUUUUAAUGAGAAGAAAAAAAACAAGGCUUAAUAACCAUAUUUAACAUUUUUAAAAUAAAUAAAUAAAAGCAAAGGUAUAUCCAAAUAAUACCUCAUUUGCUCAAUUCAAUUAUCGCAUGCCCUAAGUAUCAAAGUAGUUGACUAAGAGUGAGUUUGAUAGUAACUUUAGAAAGAUUAAAACACUUCUUCGAAUUACCACCAAAUAUAUUUUAAGGCACGCAAGGAAAAGUAAUCUCUUCUAUUAUUAUUAUUAUUAUUAUAAUUAUCAUACUGCCUUAUAGAAAGGACUUCUAUAAUUCAAAAUAAUCACAUGGUAAAAAUAGAUUUUAUUUGUUUGUAUCUUAUAAUGAUCUUAUUAUAUAUAUAUAUAUAUCUUAUCCUUUAUACAUGCAUUUUUUUUUUCAGUUUUGGUCGUAUAUUUUUAAUUUAAUAUUAAAAAAAAAAUUUACGCUUUUUGUCAAUGUCUCAAAUUUCAAAUAUGUUCAUGCUCUAGAAAUUCUCAAGUUGUAGUCUUGUAGCCUAGAAUGUGAAGUGAGAGUUUGAUGAAAAACGAAAAAAACAAAGAUAUAAAAUAUAAUUUGUGAGUAAGGAUGAAAAUAUCAGUUUUGACAGAUAUAUUAGUAACUCGAUUUUAUAGAUAUCAGGGUAUAUUAGAAAAUAUUGGUAAAUAUUUUGACACAAAAUAUCAAUGAUAAAAAAUUGAUCAAAACUCAUGGAAAUUAAAAAAAAAAAAACUCUUAAACAUGAUAAAAUAAACAAUAAUAUAUUUAUUAAAGUUUUUUUUUAUUAUUGUAAAACUUAAAACACAAAAUUAUCAACAAAUAUCAAUGAAAAAUUUGAAAAAAAAAAUCAAAAUUAAUAAAAACUCAUAAAAUAUUAGUAAAAACUAAAUAUAUAUAUAUAUAUAUAUAUAUAUAUAUAUAUAUAUAUAAGAAGCAAUAAUACACAUAAUGAAGUUAUUUAUUAAAAAAAUUGAUAUAAUUUAAUAUAAUUAAUGAUAUUUGAUAACAAUAUAUCUAAUUUAAGAAUUGAAAAUAUAUUUAAUAUUCAAAAUAUAAAAGAAGUUAAUAUAUAUAUAUAUAUAUAUAUAUAUAUAUAGAUAUUAUGAUGAUGAUUCGUAUAAUUUGAAUAUUUUUUAAAUGGAAUAUGAAAAUGAAAUAAUUAAAAUUAAUUUACUUAUUAUUAUUUUAUUUUAUCAGUCUAGGAAUGCAACUAUUUUUAAUUUAUGUGUGUUGCAUAUUUAAAAAAUGUUGAACUAGCUUAGUUGGCCAAAGCCCCAUCCAUGCGCACCCGAGACCCAGGUUAAAGCCUUAGUGUUGUUUCCAUUAAAAAAUUUCAAACGUUGACCCAAUAAUUUCAAUAUUGACAUUUUCAUCCUUGUCUACAAGUACUUGUGUUGGGAUCCAUGCAAUAAUUAAUGGCGGAAAAAUAGAAAAACGAGAAAGAAGAACACAAAGAUUUAACGUGGUUCAACUAAUUACCUACGUCCACGGGAAUAGGGAAAGAUGAUUUUCACUAUGUUAAAAUUAAGGUUACAUAAAAGGGUAUUUAUACUAACCCUUAGGAAUGAAAAUUCAAAAAACACCCCUGAACCCUACACCCCUCAACCUAUCGUUCACCUCACAACAAAAGAAAUACAAGCCUGAAUGACAAAUUCCGUCGCUAUGCUGCCAUUCCACUCCACUUCGCUCCCGCAUUUUGCCCAUUUUUCUCCAUAUGUCUUUUCGAUCAAAUAUGAGCCACAUACUACAACAAUCUCCACCUUGGCAAAUAUUCACUCCCCCCUUAGGAGACAAGAAACAUUGCUUAUAACUCCACCUGGGACAAUAGGUUGGGGUAUCUCCCAUCUAGCAACUAGAGACAUUAAUCAAGUUCAAGCAAUGCUUGAACUUUUCUGUGGUAACAGGCUUUGUCAACAUGUUUGCUGUGUUCUUAGAGGUGUGGACCUUCACAAGUAACAGUUCACUAGAAGAAACCAAUUCCCUGAUCUUAUGAAACCUCACAUCUAUGUGUUUGGUCCUUGCAUGAUACACCUGGUUCUUUUCCAAAUAAAUGGCACUCUGACUGUCACAAUAUAAUUGAACUCCACCUUGUUGAAUACCCAACUCCUUAAACAAACCUGUAAGCCAUAAUGAUUCCUUUGCAACCUCAACUAUUGCCAUAUAUUCUGACUUAGUAGUAGAUAGUGCAACUAAAGACUGUAUCAUAGACUUCCAACAAAUAGGUCCCCACCAAGGGUGAAUACAUAACUUGUGGUAGACCUCCUGUCAUCUAAGUCACCUGCAUAGUCUGCAUUAACAUAUCCUCUAACUGAAGAAUCACUUUGUUGUUUGAUGAACACGAUGCCAUAGUAUAGACCCGCAUUUUUCAUGUGCGCCCCCACUCGAUCGGCGAGACUCGCUUUUUAUUGGUGAAAAAUUAAUUUUGGAAAAAAAGUCGGAGUCACCACUUAUUUUAUUUUUAUUUUAAAGGGAAAAUAAAACAAGAAAGAAAAACCCUAAAAUGUGACUCCAUAAUUUUUGGAAAAAGCAUGUCUUUGAAACACCCGAGUCUAGGUCCGGGGAUCAGGUUACUUAUUGGGAAGGUACCUCUAGGAGGUAGCACCCCUCUAAGCCCUAAAGAGGUCUCUACUGACUAAAUUGGGGGAGAUGUGGCAAUUAAUUGAUUAAUUGGGGAUACCUAGAUAGACUAAGGUGAUUUAAAAAAAUAACAUGUGAUUACUACCAAAAAGUGCUAUUUUGUAGACCUAAUUAUAAUGGUUUUAAGCACCUUUGAGUAGUAAUCAUAUUCAUUUAACCCAAUUAAUUCAUUAAGGUCCUUAGUAAUUGGUUUUAACCUUUUUGUGGCAAGUUGACAUGUUUUUAUCAGCUUAUGAAUCGAUUCAAGCAUGCCAAUUGAUGGAGGAGCUAUUUGGGUGAGUUAAGCAAGGAUUUUGUACGUUUAUAGGCUUGAAUUUCAAGUGGAAACACGAGCACAAGCAAUGGAGAAGAGGAAAACAGAGUGAAGAAAACAGCUGCAGUCUUCCUUUGAACUUUUGAAGCACUUUCCGAAGUCUAUUUUUUGUAUGCUAUAUACCAUUUGAAAGCUUAGGAAGUCAAGAAUCCAACGCUUCAAACCGUGUAUGAUUUGGAGCUGAAAUGAGGAAGAUAUGGCCUUCGGAAGGCAACUGCAUCAUGUCAAAUGACCAAUUUCGCAAGGUGAAUUUCACAUUGCGAAAAUUUCGCAAGGAGAUUUUCUUCAUGGUGCGAAAUUUUGCCACUUCGCACCAUGAAGAAACACCUUGCGAAAAUUUCGCAAGGUGGAUUUAGGCACAUUGCAAAAUUCCUUUGAAUCCCCUGUUUUGAGACGUUGUUGAUGUUAUUCCACUACCGGUUCUCCAAGAUAUUUUGCUUGAUUUUUAGCUUUGUAAAUACCUAUUUUACCCUUGUAAUCAACCAAUGAAUAGGUUGCUUUUGUAAUAGCUCUUGUAAUUUAGCUUGUUAUUGUCUUUAAAUAGAGGUGAAGAGCCUCAGACACGCAUCAUCUAAUCUUGUAACCUGUAACUUUAUAAGUUAUAAGAGCACUUUUGUUCAGAAGCUUCUUUUCUCUUUUCUUUCUCAUUUUCUUAGUAGCCAAACACCCUUGGAGGAUGAAAUCCCCAAGGAUGAGAGGCUAAAACCUUUUAGUUUCUUGAAGUAAUGGAUGCCAUGUGAAGCUCCCGUGUCAGGAUGGAGAUUUCCAAGCCAUGAAUGUAAGUAGCUGAGCGUCAUAAAUGUUUUCAUUCAAAGUAAAGCUUUUAAUCCCUCUGACUUGCUUUGAAUGGCCAAUACUUGAUAACCUUUUGGUCUCAGUGGAUUCUUAUUGUUAAAUCCACUGACGUUCAUUAGUUAUCUCCUACGAGCCAUUGUAUUGCAAGUCGAGGAGAUGACCUAUAUCAUUAAAAGGGCAUUUAUGAGGUUCAGCUACCCUUUUUGUAAGUUUUCAAGGACUAAAACUCAGUUGUUAAACUCAUACCGGUUCGGGAAGUAAGCAUCACCUUAGUUGCUUCCCCAACUCGAGGUGAAAAGUCCCAAAAUCUCCAUUUUUACACAGUGAGUUAAGCAUGACUAUCCAAAGCUUUGAGAAACUUCUUUCUCCAUCUUUUAACCUAUUUUCAAGUUAGUUUAGUUUACAACACCUUUAUCUUUUUAUGUUUUCAUCUUAACCUAAUUUUUAUUAAGAAAAGUUCACUCCAUCCUCCGAACUUCACCAGUUAAAGUAAAAACCCUUCCCAGUGUUCGAUCCUAGAGCCACUAUGCUAUAGUAGCUUUGCUACUUUAGUGUAAGGACCUUAGGUUAUAAAUUUUGUUGAUACCUUACAUGCAAGCUACCAAGAGGCGGGUUAUCAAAUGGCGCCGUUGCCGGGGAAGGUGCUACUUCACUGUGAAUAUAUCAGCCGGAGGUAACUUGUGAGACUUCUCAUGAGUAAGGUGAAUUCUAUCUCCUUUUUCAUUUACUAACUUUUUAUUUUAGUUUUAGAACAUUUUUAACUUAGUUUAGAUAAGUUUCUUUUAGCUUUUAACUUUCAUUUUUAGUUUAUUUUUCAUACUCUGUUUUUCCUUCCGCAUGCUCUGUUUUUUUUUUUUCUUUUUCUUUGUUUUGUUUGUUUGCUUUGUUCCAGCUGAAUCCGUGCAUGCCCUAUUGGAUUAGAGACCAAGAGGGAAGGUUAGUGCGGAUAGAGACUCCACGAGCUAUUGAAUUAGAGAUUAUUUUAGAAGUCAUGGAGAAUCAGCCAGAGGAUCAACAUUCACAACACGGGCAGGGGAAUGAUCCGAACUUGUAUAGGUCCAUGAGGGACAGGAUGCACCCUCCGAGGAUGAGUGCACCAUCUUGCAUCAUUCCUCCUACAGAGCAAUUGAUUAUCAGGCCACACAUCGUGCCUCUGCUUCCUACUUUCCAUGGGAUGGAAAGUGAAAAUCCAUAUGCGCACAUAAAGGAAUUCGAAGAUGUGUGCAAUACUUUUCAAGAAGGGAGAACAGCUAUUGAGCUUAUGAGGUUGAAGCUCUUUCCAUUCACAUUAAAGGACAAAGCCAAGAUAUGGCUCAAUUCCUUGAGGAUGGGAAGCAUAAGAACAUGGACAGAACUUCAAGCUGAUUUUUUGAAGAAGUUUUUCCCUACUCACAGAACAAAUGGAUUGAAGAGACAAAUCUCCAACUUCUCAGCACGUGAGAAUGAAAAAUUUUAUGAAUGCUGGGAGAGGUAUAUGGAGGCCAUCAAUGCAUGUCCUCACCACGGCUUUGAUACAUGGCUUUUGGUGAGCUAUUUUUAUGAUGGCAUGUCAUCUUCAAUGAAGCAGAUAUUGGAGACAAUGUGUGGGGGUGAUUUCAUGAGCAAGAACCCUGAGGAGGCUAUGGACUUCCUAAGUUAUGUCUCAGAGGUUUCCCGUGGAUGGGAUGAGCCCAAUAGUAGAGAAAUGGGGAAGAGGCCAGUUCAGCAAAUGUCAAGAGGGGGGAUGUACAGUCUGAGUGAAGACAUGGAGAUGAAAGCCAAGGUAGCUGCCAAUGGCUAGAAAAAUAGAGGAAAUGGAGUUGAGAAAAGUUCAUGAAGUCCAAGCUAUUUCAGAACCUCAACAACAAGCCAAUCCUUGCUCCAUCUGUCAGUCAUUUGAACAUAUGGUGGAAGAAUGUCCCACCAUUCCGGCAGCAAGAGAAAUGUUCGGGGAACAAGCUAACCUGAUUGGCCAAUGGAAGCCAAAUUCAAAUGCUCCCUAUGGCAACACGUACAACUCUAGCUGGAGGAACCACCCAAACUUUGCAUGGAAGCCAAGGCCAAACCCAUAUCAGUCACCAGCCCAAUCAAGCCAACAGAGUCAAGGUCAAUCCUCAGUUGAGCAAGCACUCGUAAGCCUUAGCAAGGUUAUGGGUGACUUUGUGAGUGAGCAAAAAUCCAUCAACUCUCAACUAAAUCAGAAGAUUGACAACGUAGAGAGUACAUUGAACAAGAAGAUAGAUGGGAUGCAUAAUGAGUUGUCUCAGAAAAUUGACAACAUCCAAUAUUCCAUCUCAAGGCUCACAAAUUUGAACACUGUCAAUGAGAAAGGGAAGUUUCCCUCUCAGCCUCACCAAAAUCCUAAGGGGAUACAUGAAGUGGAAUCCAAAGAUGAGGAUUCUUCAAAGGUGAGGGACGUGCAAGCUAUUAUCACUUUGAGAAGUGGUAAGGAAGUGCAUCAGCCGGAGCAUGAUCAGAGGAAAGCCAAAGAAGAUAAGGCUGAUAGAAAAGAAGAAAAGAAGAAUGAACAAAAGGGAAAGGAAGUUCAGAUGAAAGAAAGCAUCAUUCCUAGCAUGGAUGAGGAACCUCAAAUUCUUUUAAAGGAAGGCAUGAUGAAGAAGUACAUGCCUCCUCCAUUUCCUCAAGCCUUACGUGGGAAGAAACCGAUCAAGAAUGCUUCUGAGAUUCUUGAUGUGUUAAGACAAGUGAAGGUGAAUAUUCCUUUACUUGAUAUGAUCAAGCAAGUACCCACAUAUGCAAAGUUUUUGAAGGACUUGUGCAUUGUGAAAAGAGGACUCAAUGUUACAAAGCAAGCCUUCCUAACCGAGCAAGUGAGUGCUAUAAUCCAAUGCAAGUCUCCAAUCAAAUACAAAGAUCCGGGGUGUCCUACAAUCUCAGUCAAUAUUGGAGGAACCCAAGUGGAGAAAGCAUUGCUUGAUUUGGGGGCAAGUGUUAACUUACUUCCAUACUCUGUAUACAAGGAGCUGGGGUUGGGAGAACUCAAGCCAACAUCAAUCACCCUAUCCUUAGCUGACCGAUCAGUGAAAAUCCCCAGGGGGGUAAUAGAGGAUGUAUUGGUUCAAGUUGACAAAUUCUACUAUCCAGUAGAUUUUGUGGUGCUUGAUACGGAUCCCAUUGUCAAAGGGAUCAACUAUGUUCCAAUCAUCCUUGGAAGACCAUUCCUUGCAACAUCCAAUGCAAUCAUCAAUUGUAGGAAUGAGGUCAUGCAACUCACUUUUGGGAAUAUGACAUUGGAACUCAACAUCUUCCAUCUAUGUCAAAAGCACAUCCAUCCUGAAGAAGAUGAGGGCCCGGAAAAAGUGUGUAUGAUAGAUACCCUGGUGGAGGAGCAUUGUAAUCAGAGUAUCCUUGAUCAGUUUGAAGAGAAUUCAGAUGAAAGCCAUGAAGAUCUUGAUGAUGGGUUAGCUGAACCCAUGGGAAUGAAUGCCGUUAUGUCAAACUGGAGACAAAAGCCAGUGAUCCUCCCUUUGUUCAAGGAUGAGGAAGAGAUGAAAGAAGCUAAGGAUGCAAUCCUUAAGCUUGAAUUAAAGACCCUUCCUGCCGAGUUGAAGUAUGCUUACUUGGAGGAAGGCAAUAAAGCCCCGGUGGUAAUUUCUUCUUCUUUAACCGUUUCACAAGAGGGCAAUCUUCUGAGAAUCCUUAGAAAGCACAAGAAGGCCAUCGGAUGGCAAAUUUCUGAUUUGAAGGGGAUAAGCCCAUUGAUUUGCACGCACCAUAUUUAUAUGGAGGAGGGAGCUAAGCCAACUCGUCAGCCACAGAGAGAUUGAAUCCUCAUAUGCAAGAGGUAGUAAGGGCUGAAGUGUUGAAGCUUCUUCAAGCGGGCAUCAUUUACCCCAUUUCNAUAGCACUUGGGUGNNNNNNNNNNNNNNNNNNNNNNNNNNNNNNNNNNNNNNNNNNNNNNNNNNNNNNNNNNNNNNNNNNNNNNNNNNNNNNNNNNNNNNNNNNNNNNNNNNNNAAGCUUGAAUUAAAGACCCUUCCUGCCGAGUUGAAGUAUGCUUACUUGGAGGAAGGCAAUAAAGCCCCGGUGGUAAUUUCUUCUUCUUUAACCGUUUCACAAGAGGGCAAUCUUCUGAGAAUCCUUAGAAAGCACAAGAAGGCCAUCGGAUGGCAAAUUUCUGAUUUGAAGGGGAUAAGCCCAUUGAUUUGCACGCACCAUAUUUAUAUGGAGGAGGGAGCUAAGCCAACUCGUCAGCCACAGAGGAGAUUGAAUCCUCAUAUGCAAGAGGUAGUAAGGGCUGAAGUGUUGAAGCUUCUUCAAGCGGGCAUCAUUUACCCCAUUUCGGAUAGCACUUGGGUGAGUCCAACCCAAGUUGUUCCAAAGAAGUCCGGGAUAACCAUAGUCAAGGGAGAAAAUGGAGAUGAAGUGUCCACACGCCUCACAACUGGUUGGAGGGUGUGCAUUGACUACAGGAAGCUGAACGCAGUAACGAGAAAGGAUCACUUCCCUUUACCUUUCAUGGAUCAAGUCCUUGAGAGAGUAUCUGGGCAUCCUUUUUAUUGCUUCUUGGAUGGGUAUUCCGGGUAUUUUCAAAUAGAGAUUGAUGUGGAGGACCAGGAGAAGACUACCUUCACUUGUCCAUUCGGCACCUAUGCUUAUAGGCGGAUGCCUUUUGGAUUAUGCAACGCUCCUGCUACCUUCCAAAGAUGCAUGCUUAGCAUCUUCAGUGACAUGGUUGAACGAAUCAUGGAAGUCUUCAUGGAUGACAUAACUGUGUAUGGGACUUCUUUUGAGGAUUGUUUGUCACAUCUUAAAGAUGUUUUGAAAAGAUGCAUAGAGAAAGACCUUGUACUCAAUUGGGAGAAGUGCCAUUUUAUGGUAAAUCAAGGUAUUGUUCUUGGGCACGUAAUCUCAAAGAAGGGUAUAGAGGUAGAUAGAGCUAAGGUAGAACUAAUUGUGAAGUUGCCACCUCCCACCAAUGUAAAAGGAAUAAGGCAAUUCCUUGGGCAUGCCGGGUUCUAUAGGAGGUUUAUAAAGGAUUUUUCCAAGAUUGCCAAACCUCUUUGUGAAUUAUUGGUGAAGGAUGCCAAGUUUGAGUGGGAUGAUAAAUGUCAAAGGAGUUUUGAGCUUCUUAAGCAAUUCUUGACAUCAGCGCCCAUUGUGAGAGCACCAAAUUGGGAGUUGCCAUUUGAAGUGAUGUGUGACUCAAGUGAUUAUGCUAUUGGGGCUGUUUUGGGACAAAGAGAAGAUGGCAAACCUUAUGUGAUCUACUAUGCAAGCAAGUCUUUGAAUGAUGCUCAAAAGAAUUACACCACCACUGAGAAUGAAUUACUUGUUGUGGUGUAUGCUUUGGAUAAGUUCAGAGCUUAUUUGAUAGGGUCUUCCAUUGUGGUAUUCACGGAUCAUUCAGCUUUGAAGUAUUUGCUAACCAAGCAAGACGCCAAGGCUAGGUUGAUUAGGUGGAUACUUUUGCUUCAAGAGUUCAACCUCCAGAUCAGAGAUAAGAAAGGUGUUGAGAAUGUGGUAGCUGACCACUUGUCAAGGCUCAACAUUGCUCAUGACACCCAUGGACUUCCCAUAAAUGAUGAUUUCCCUGAGGAAUCCUUGAUGCUUGUGGAGGAAGUGCCAUGGUUUGCACACAUUGCCAAUUACUUGGUCUCGGGAGAAAUACCAAGUGAAUGGAGCUCUCAGGACAAGAAGAAUUUCUUUGCCAAGGUCCAUGCAUAUUAUUGGGAGGAGCCUUUUCUCUUCAAAUAUUGUGCGGACCAAAUUAUAAGGAAGUGUGUGCCUGAACAAGAGAAGCAUGGGAUCCUAUCUCAUUGCCAUGGGAAUGCAUGUGGAGGCCACUUUGCCUCUCAAAAGACGGCAAUGAGAGUUCUUCAAUCGGGCUUUUGGUGGCCCUCACUUUUUAAGGAUGCCCAUGAGGUAAGUAAAGGAUGUGAUAAGUGCCAAAGACUAGGCAAGCUUUCAAGGAGAAACAUGAUGCCUUUGAACCCCAUCUUGAUAGUGGAUCUUUUUUAUGUUUGGGGCAUAGACUUCAUGGGACCUUUCCCUAUGUCUUUUGGCCACUCCUACAUCUUGGUAGGAGUUGAUUAUGUUUCAAAGUGGGUUGAAGCUAUACCCUGUAGAACCAAUGAUCACAAAGUGGUUCUCAAAUUCCUAAAAGAAAACAUCUUCUCGAGGUUUGGAGUGCCUAAAGCAAUCAUCAGUGAUGGAGGCACUCACUUUUGCAACAAGCCCUUUGAAGCUCUUUUGGCCAAGUACGGAGUUAAGCAUAAGGUAGCUACACCUUAUCAUCCUCAGACGAGUGGCCAAGUAGAGCUAGCCAACCGGGAAAUUAAGAACAUCUUGAUGAAGGUGGUGAACACCAAUAGGAAAGAUUGGUCUGUUAGGCUCCUUGAUUCCCUAUGGGCGUAUAGGACGGCUUAUAAGACUAUCCUUGGGAUGUCACCAUACCGUCUUGUUUAUGGCAAAGCUUGCCAUCUUCCUGUUGAGAUUGAGUUCAAGGCAUGGUGGGCCAUUAAAAAGCUCAACAUGGAUUUAACUAAGGCUGGGCUAAAGAGGAGUUUGGAUUUGAAUGAGCUUGAGGAAUUAAGAAAUGAUGCCUAUCUCAACUCAAAAAUAGCUAAGGAAAAGCUAAAGAGAUGGCAUGAUCAGUUGGUGACCAAGAAAGAAUUUUUCAAGGGACAAAGAGUCUUGCUAUAUGACUCUAAGCUUCACCUAUUUCCGGGAAAGCUCAAAUCAAGGUGGGUAGGGCCUUUUGUCAUCCACCAAGUACACUCACAUGGAGUAAUUGAGUUACUCAACUCAAAUAGUGCAAAGACCUUCAAGGUAAAUGGGCAAAGACUCAAGCCCUACAUCGAGCCAUUUUCCCGUGACAAGGAGGUACUCAUCCUCCAUGACCCAUCACAUCCUUGAGAAAGUGUGGUAAGUUGAUGAGCUUAGCAUGAAAAGCUAAGUGCUCAUCUCUUUUUGUUUUAGUUUUAGUAUUACAUUCUUGUUUACUUUGCAUUUUUAAUACUUUUGCACAUAUUUUGUUUAGGUUUCUUGGUUUUGAUUUUGAUUUUUUUAUGUUUUUAAUGGAGCUUUGAUGUCCAAUAGCAGGUACGAAAGCUCACAAGCUCACAAAUGUGGAGAGAAAGGUGAAAUAGGGGAGAAAUAUAUCUAAGUCCAAGCUUAAAAGCCCAUUUCGCAACUCAAAAAGUGAGUUGCGAAAAUUUUGCAAGGUGAAUUUCACCUUGCGAAAUGCACAUUUUGGCAAGAUGCAAAAUGCAACCUCUCGAGAUUGCACUUUCGCAAGGAGUAACCAGUGCGAAAAUUUUCGCAAGUCAUUUUUCACCUUGCGAAAUUGUUUUCAAAGCAAAUAUCAAAGUGCAACCUCUCGGGAUUGGUUUUUAAGGGGAGUAGCCAGUGCGAAAAUUUGGCAAGGUGAAUUUUCACCUUGCGAAAUUUUUUCUUCAUGCUUACCAAGGUUUUGAUUCUUUUUAAAUUCAUUUUCACAGCUAUCCUGGACCAGCACUCCGCCAUGCUAUCUCAGAUCCACCAUCACCUGGGCAUAUCACCUCCUCCACCUCAGGAGCCACAUCCAUGAUUGGAUAUUUCUAUCUCCAUUUUGUAUUUGUUUUUUGUAGAUGUACAUGUUUUAUAUUCUGAGAUUGUAUGUACCUCAUGCUUCUAUCUUGUACUCAACUCUCUCAGUUUAUAUAAGCAUCAUUUUUUGUAUAUUAUUUCCUCUCUCACGUUUCUUAUGGUUUUUGAAUCAUGUGGAUGCACUCACACGCCUUGAAUACCACAUCACCAUAAGGUAUAUCAUUCCUUCCUUGUAUUUUUCGAUAGAAACAUUGGGGACAAUGUUCAUCUCGGUUGGGGGGAGAGUUGAGGAAGUAAGUAUUUCCUAUUCUAGUUAGUUAUUUUGUUGAUUUAGUAGUUGUUGCCCUUUUUCAAAAUUUUUUUGUUUCAUUCUCUAUGGUUGUUAAAGAUAAUUUCUCAAAAUAAAAUAGGAUAAGUCGAGUUUUAACUUAAUUACUUAAGUCUUAGAGUUUGUUUUAUGCUUUCAAAGUUGAUAAUCUAUUGAAGCCCUCUUUGAUUUCGAACUUAUUUCUUCCAUUUCAAGCUUUACACACACCAUGCACAUUAGAUCCCGGAUUUAUGAUGUAAAACUUUCUCACCCUCUAAGCUUAGGAAAAUUUUGACUUGGUUUAUUACUUAACCUCUUUUUAAUAAUGUUGGGACACCUCAAAAAGACCAAUGAGUCUUAGAAAAAGAAAAAGAGAAAAAGAAAAAAGAAAAGAGAAAAAGAAAAAGAAAAAGAGAAUAAGCUUCUAUUCUUUCCUUGAAACCUAAGCAUGAUCCGAAGGGGUGGCGAAAGCCUUUAAAACCCGAUGCCCUAAACCUUGAUUGGUUGGGAGUCAUCGAUCCUCUGCUUGCUACAUAGGUGAAUUGGUUAAGUUUAGUGAGUAAAAAGAAUUGUGAAUAAGAAGGUGCGUUCCUAACCUAUUAAGAGUUGGUUAAUUUUGCCAAUGUCCGAGAAAAGCUUAGGUUAGGGGGAGAGGAUAGUUGUGCAUACUAUAUCCGGAAGCUAAUCUCAUUAACACUUAGCUCAUUAUGGAAGAGUUUGAUCCGGAACCUUGAGAGUAGAGAUUCUUUUGAUACUUAAUUGCAUAAUCUCCACUCUUUGUACUUUUUGUUUAAGUUUUAGCUUUGACAACUCCUAUUGCAUUUUGAAUCUUCGUAUCUUUAGUUCACCAUGUGAGAUGUGUUUUGAUUUCAGUCAUGCCACUCAAUUAUUUUUUGGAGUGAUUUGCAUGAUCCCUUUUAUGUAUAUUAUUAUAGUUUACUUAGUUUUUAUCUCCUCCAUUGCUAAGGGACUAGCAAUGAGUCGGUUGGGGGGUGUGAUUACUACCAAAAAGUGCUAUUUUGUAGACCUAAUUAUAAUGGUUUUAAGCACCUUUGAGUAGUAAUCAUAUUCAUUUAACCCAAUUAAUUCAUUAAGGUCCUUAGUAAUUGGUUUUAACCUUUUUGUGGCAAGUUGACAUGUUUUUAUCAGCUUAUGAAUCGAUUCAAGCAUGCCAAUUGAUGGAGGAGCUAUUUGGGUGAGUUAAGCAAGGAUUUUGUACGUUUAUAGGCUUGAAUUUCAAGUGGAAACACGAGCACAAGCAAUGGAGAAGAGGAAAACAGAGUGAAGAAAACAGCUGCAGUCUUCCUUUGAACUUUUGAAGCACUUUCCGAAGUCCAUUUUUUGCAUGCUAUAUACCAUUUGAAAGCUUAGGAAGUCAAGAAUCCAACGCUUCAAACCGUGUAUGAUUUGGAGCUGAAAUGAGGAAGAUAUGGCCUUAGGAAGGAAACUGCAUCAUGUCAAAUGACCAAUUUCGCAAGGUGAAUUUCACAUUGCGAAAAUUUCGCAAGGAGAUUUUCUUCAUGGUGCGAAAUUUUGCCACUUCGCACCAUGAAGAAACACCUUGCGAAAAUUUCGCAAGGUGGAUUUAGGCACAUUGCGAAAUUCCUUUGAAUCCCCUGUUUUGAGACGUUGUUGAUGUUAUUCCACUACCGGUUCUCCAAGAUAUUUUGCUUGAUUUUUAGCUUUGUAAAUACCUAUUUUACCCUUGUAAUCAACCAAUGAAUAGGUUGCUUUUGUAAUAGCUCUUGUAAUUUAGCUUGUUAUUGUCUUUAAAUAGAGGUGAAGAGCCUCAGACACGCAUCAUCUAAUCUUGUAACCUGUAACUUUAUAAGUUAUAAGAGCACUUUUGUUCAGAAGCUUCUUUUCUCUUUUCUUUCUCAUUUUCUUAGUAGCCAAACACCCUUGGAGGAUGAAAUCCCCAAGGAUGAGAGGCUAAAACCUUUUAGUUUCUUGAAGUAAUGGAUGCCAUGUGAAGCUCCCGUGUCAGGAUGGAGAUUUCCAAGCCAUGAAUGUAAGUAGCUGAGCGUCAUAAAUGUUUUCAUUCAAAGUAAAGCUUUUAAUCCCUCUGACUUGCUUUGAAUGGCCAAUACUUGAUAACCUUUUGGUCUCAGUGGAUUCUUAUUGUUAGAUCCACUGACGUUCAUUAGUUAUCUCCUACGAGCCAUUGUAUUGCAAGUCGAGGAGAUGACCUAUAUCAUUAAAAGGGCAUUUAUGAGGUUCAGCUACCCUUUUUGUAAGUUUUCAAGGACUAAAACUCAGUUGUUAAACUCAUACCGGUUCGGGAAGUAAGCAUCACCUUAGUUGCUUCCCCAACUCGAGGUGAAAAGUCCCAAAAUCUCCAUUUUUACACAGUGAGUUAAGCAUGGCUAUCCAAAGCUUUGAGAAACUUCUUUCUCCAUCUUUUAACCUAUUUUCAAGUUAGUUUAGUUUACAACACCUUUAUCUUUUUAUGUUUUCAUCUUAACCUAAUUUUUAUUAAGAAAAGUUCACUCCAUCCUCCGAACUUCACCAGUUAAAGUAAAAACCCUUCCCAGUGUUCGAUCCUAGAGCCACUAUGCUAUAGUAGCUUUGUUACUUUAGUGUAAGGACCUUAGGUAUAAAUUUUGUUGAUACCCUUACAUGCCAAGCUACCAAGAGGCGGGUUAUCAACAUGCCAAAUAGGAUCAAAUUACAAUAAAGGAGAGUUAGGGUGCAUACCUGGAUGGCUUCUCAAAUGCUAUCAUGAAACAUAAAAGUUAGUAUAGAGAUACAUCACACAACAUGUGCUUUUGUCAAAGAUAAUCAAGCAAGCAUCAAAUAUAUAUCAAGGCAAUAAAACAGGAUGGCAAGCAUGGGCAUAGUACGCAAUGACAAUCAUAUUCAUAGGGUUUAGAAAGUGGGUAUUAGGGAACGUACCUGGAUAGCAUAGAUAACUUGUAACGUGCUUCCAUAAAACAGGAGAGGUUAGAUAGCAAACAAUAAAAUAAGAAGUCCUAGCAUGCUUGUUAUCUAAUUAGCAUAGAAAAAAAAAAAAUUAUCACAGUAUACAAAACCAUCAAUUAUCACUAAUAUCUUCUAUAUAAUUUCUAAAAAAUAAAUAGACAUGAGUUCAUCAAAUAACAAAGGGGGCAACAAAGAUGAGUUUUGAAAAUUUUCCUUAUGUAGGGGUUUCACCAAUUCCCCGAUUGAUAUACACGAAUUUAGCCCAGAAUUAUCCCAUUUAUGUGGGACCACAAGCUUUGAUUCAUGUUUGAUUUCAAACCAAAAUUUUCGUUAAAAAUCGAGAAAGAUGCAAAUCGAUCAAAAAAAUGGUUGCAUAUUAUUUUAAGAAAAUGGGGUUUUUGAUUCUAAGGACUCUAAAUGAAUUUUUAAAAUAGGUUUUUAUAAGGAAAAUUUUGAGAAAAGUAUUUUAUUUUAAAAUAAGAGAAAUUAAUUUGAGAACAAUAAAACAUAUGAGAAACAUUGUACCAAGCAAAACAAAUAGAAACAAAAUCAUAAAGUAAAAUUUUUGGCAACCAAGCAAACUGAAAUGGUGUGAAUGGAGGCCAAUCUUCACAAUUUUCCAAUGGCCUCCAUGAAUCAAAUAUAAACGAACAAAUGUCAAAGAAAAUAACUAAACAGCCUUAGAUCAAAUAAAGUCAACCAGAUAUCAAUCAAGAACUAACAAAGAUUAGUCAAGCCCAUAAAUUGAGGAUAUAAUCAAUAAUUAAAUUAGAUUAGUCAAACACACAAACCUAUGAUUAAGGUAAUGUUAAAUAUAGUACCAUAAGAACUUACAAUUCUAAAACACUUGAAUUGAGUAAGGAUCAAUCAGGAACUAGAGCUUAACACACUUAAAACAUGGAUAUAAUGACAAGGGGUCAGAUAAAUUAAAUAAUUAAAAUUCUAAAGACUCAUAAAACAAAUAUGAUGAAUCAAAAAUAAUAAUAAUAAUAAAAAUAAAAAAUAACUGAAAUUAAUAAACAUAGUGAUAAUGAUAUAGAACCAAAUGAAUUAAUCACCUAAAAACCUAAAGCAUCACAUGAAUCAACUAAGAUGAAAAUAAAAAAAAAAAGAAUAAAAUAACAUGAUGAUAAUGACAUAGAAUCAAAUAAAUUAAUCCAUUAAAAUUUUAAAGCAUCACACGAAUUAAUUAGGAUGAACCCAUGAACUAAAAUUAAAUAAAACAAGAUGAUGAUGACAUAAAACCAAAUAAAUUAAUCGACUAAAACUUGAGAGACUCGAAAACUUAAUAGAGUAAAAAAUUAGCAAACAAAGCCCUAACUUUCAAUCUAAAAAAAAAACUAAUAAACUAAUGGAUAAAAAAAAAAGAAAUCAAAAACUCAAGAACAAGGAAACUCACUUACCUUUGGAAGAUGCAGCCUACUCGCUUUGGGGAUCAAUGGCGUUCAUGGUUCUCUUGAAGAUACCAUGAAGAUCUUUAUGGAAAUUGAGGCAUGGACCCCUUAAAAUGCAACCUGCUGCCACUUUUCCUUCAAAAAAUCUCACCAUCUAAAAGUGCAACUUGCUUCCAUUUUUCUUUCAAAAAAAUCUCACCCCCUCAAAAUGCAACUUGCUGCCACUUUUUUUUUUAAACAAAUCUCACCCUAAAGUGGCAAUCUGCUGCCACUUUUCUUUUAAAAAAUCUCACCCUAAAGUAGCAGUCUGCUGCCACUUUCCUUUCAAAAAAAAUUCACCCUAAAGUGGCAGCCUACUGCCACUUUCCUUUCAAAAAAAAAACUCACCUUAAAGUAGCAGCCUGCUGCCACUUUUCUUUCAAAAAAAACUUCACCCUAAAGUGGCAGCCUUGGAGAAUCCCCACUGUACGGUUGUGUUCCAAAAAAAUUGAAUGCUGCCACUUUUCUUUUCAUCAAACUCAUAGUGCGCCCCAUGGAGAUUAAUAGAAAUCCCUUUUCCUCAUUUUGGAUGGUCACGCCCUCUCUCCUAUAGUGCAUGUGCAGAUCCAAGGAUGCAGCCCGUGAAGUGAUGUAACGAUUCCUAUUGAGUCUGUUAGUGUUGCCAAACCAGAAAGUACCCAAUUAUGAAUGUCCAGAAGAUGCUGAGGACAUGCAUGUCUUCCGACAAUGAUGUCAGUUCAGGACAGCGAUAAAUUUGAAGACGUUAGUAAAGGGAGGCUGUCCAUUGAGUGUGAUAAUGUUAUCAAAUUUAGGGCAGCAAUUUGAAUCCCUGAAUAGAGAUAGCUUCCAAGGCUUCAAGUGGGGUGAGAUGUUGAAUCACUUGUGAUAGAGAGAUUAAGCUACUAGCACAUCACUGAGAGAAUAUUAAUCUAUGACAAUUCCCACUUUCGAGUUGCUUUAGAGAAGUAAGGCGUCACAACUACAUUACCAUCUAGUAUUUUGCUUUGACUUGGCAACACUUACAUCUUUUUCAAUCAUGCACGGGGCUGUUUUGAAGUCCAAAAGUGCAAGUCGUUUUUGGAUGGCGGCUGGUUCUUGUUUGCUGUUCCUUGAGAUCAGUUUUAUUGCCAAUCAGAAUGAUGAGAAUGGUCUUAUCAGCGUGACCACGUGACUCUUCCAACCAUCGGGGUAUGUGGUCAAAACUUUGGCGUUUAGUUAUGUCGUAAACCAGCAUUGCGUCAACAGCACUCCUGUAAUACGCACUUGUAACGGCUCCGUGUCGUUCUUGGCCAGUAGUGUCCCAGAUCUGAGCCUUGACACUCUUGCGUCGGAUGACGAGGGUUCGAGUCUGGGACUCAACCCCGGUUGUAGCCUUGGAAUCCAAACUGAACUCGUUCCUAGCGAACCGAGUUUACGACUUGCCCACUUCGGUGUCUCCGAUCAUAACCACUUUGAAAACGUAGUUGAUCUUUUGGCUCGAAUUGCCAUAGCUUCCACCACUCGCCAUCACCGCACCACUCCGUUCUCUCUCUCUUGAACACUCUCUGUCUGGAUUCAAGAUCAGUCACAGCCUUCCUUUUCCCAUCCUCAAUUCUGUCCGCUGGGAAACCGAAUUGCCACCAUCAAACAGUUGGUUCCUUGCAGCCGCUGAAGCUUGUCAGCAUCACCAAGAGACCAACCAAUUGGGUUGUAGGAGAAGUCAAUCUGUUUCCAUGUAAUCUGAUCCCAAACUCCAAUCCCAUACACGUGGCUUCAAUCUUUACCGCUAGCAAUAAUCCUAUAAUCUGAAUUAAAACCCAGAGCUCCGACAAUUUCCUUUCUUUAUGGCAGCCAGAUUUGGAUCCGAUCUCGACUCUCCUUUGAGAUUAAGCAAUUUAUCAAUGUAUAAUCAGGCCGCUGUGGACAAAUCCAUGCUUGGUAGUCAUGCUUAUUGAUGAUAGUCUAGAGAUGUGGAAAUCAAACAAUUCUGAUGAACCCUCUCCCAUGCGUGAUGAGGCCGAUGAUGUGUUAUUCCAGAUUCAUCUCCGGAGAUCCCUCUAAUUAGAACGUUCAGAAUCCCCCAGAAACGAGAGCUCUCCUUGCGGUCUCCUUCUCCAGCAGCGUUCAUCCCUCCCCCCCUUUUUUUUUAUAUGCUUCACGAACUUCAUCACAUGAAUUACCACAAUCAUCAUCCGUCACUUCUGCUCCAUAGCAUGAACCACAAUAUUUUCCAUUGCGUUCAAGCCUGCCACCAUGUCCUUGUAAUAGCUUCUCAAUCCGGGGCCACCAAUUCCAUCUUGCCUAACUGCUACCACAUUACCAUGGGCGUCAAUGGAGAGAGAGUUUUGACCAGCAUGGGCGCUCGUACCAUUGGAGAUGCAGCCUUGAAGAUUCCCCCAGUGUGACCUGCUGCUGGUGCGUGUCUUCUAUGGAAUCUGUGCUGCGUGCUGGUCCUCUUGAUGGUGAGGAAUACGGCUGUGUGCUUGUCGUCUCCCUCCUAGUGGCAGCCCCCCACUUUGAGAGAAUUUGUGGCCGCUCCUUCCUAGAGAAUCCCUUAGAUGUUUCGUUUCAUCAUUUUAGCCGGAUCCAUUGCAAGCAAGGAAAUUCAUUGAUGAUUUGCUCCCCUUUUUAGGAAAGAAAGCUCAGAAUUCUGAUGCAUGUGUAGAAGCUUUGCAACUUAUUCGAGAUAUUAUACCAGUUUCAGUGAGUGAAACUUCUCCAAAAAUCUUGAAUGUCGUUUCUUCUCUGCUAAUUUCUGCUGGACUGGAUAUACGUUUGGUUAUUUGUGGCCUUCUUGGUGAUCUUGCUGAAACUGACCCUUAGGUACUCUCUGUGGCAAAUCCCAUAAAUGAAUUGGAUGUGACCUCUGUUACGGAAACGAGUGGCCUGGAUUAUGACACCAUAGUUUAUGCUUAUGAAAAGAUUAGCAUGGAGUUCUUUAAUAAUAUCUCAAAGAAUCAGGCACUGGUCAUUUUGUCGCGUUGUAUAUAUGAUAUGUCAUCCAAUGAACUGAUCUUAAGGCAUAAUGCAUAUAGGUUAUUGGUCUCUUCUGCUGAACUCUCCGUCCAAAUUCCUAAACUUGAAGUGAAGAGUGACCAUGAAACGCCCGAAGCAAUAAUAACAUUCAUAGCUGAUGGUUGUUGGAUUUAAGCAUGUAUUCAGCGCAUGAUAAACAAAUUCCUUUUGAAGCAUAUGGCAGAUGUAAUGGGCAAGGAAAAUUUUGUUCAGAAGGAAUGGGUUGAUUUACUGAGAGAAAUGGUGCUGAAGCUUCUAGAGGUGCUAAAUCUUCACUCAUUCAGGAUCUUGUAUUGUCUGAAUGUGUUAAUAAAAUUGGACCAAUGGAAGAUGCUGUGAAGGCUCUAUUUGCCUAUGGGCUCCAUCUAACUAGUCGGUAUAGGUUUUCUGAAUGAGAUGACCAUGGGAAUGGCCAAAUUUGGGAUUUCCGUAAGGUAAGAUUACAGUUAUUGCAGUUUAGAGACAGGCUGAAGACAUUUCUUGGGAUAAAUAUGGGUAGGUUCUCCGUGAAGGAAUACAACAAAUUUCGCAUUAUGCUUAUCAAUGAAGCUGCUGCUGCACUUGCUGAGAGUGGAAAAAUUGGGGCCUUAAACCUCCUUUUCAAGCGUCAUCCUUAUACACUCACUCCUUCCAUGUUGGAAAUUUUAGCUGCUGUCCCUGAAAUAAUUCAAGUUCAAACAUAUGGGCAACUCCCUCCUGGGAGGUCUCCUCCUACCAGUUUUGCUCUGAGGGAAAAAGAUUGGGUUGAAUGUGAAAGGAUGGUAGGCUUUAUCAACAGAUUACCCGAGGAUAAAGAGGGCAGCAUUCGCAUCAAAACUGAACCCAUUGCGAGGCAGAUCUUGGGAUUCUCUUGGCCAUAAGCUGAUGAAUUUUCUAGUUGAUACAAGUGCUGAAAUUUUUAUUGGUCAGACCGUUGACCUCAAAGAGCAGCAAAAUGCUCUUGGAAUCAGUCAGGAACACAUUGAAAGCGCUGCAUCACUGGAGGAUUAUGCUACCAUGAAUCCAGCCAAUUAUUUCACCUUUGUCUCCCAUAGUGCUAGAAGGUACUCUACCAAGAGGUUCUGGAACGCUCAAAUAUUUUAAGUGGAGGAUUCUAAUGCUUCAAUAGCACUCACCCUAUGACGAAUACUCAGUUUAUGAUGAAAGAGUGGAGUUUCUGGCAUCCACCUAUGCACCGAAUGCAGAAUCAAUAUUUGCUCCUCUCAUAGGAACAAACGGUUUUCACAACAAAGCAAGUGAUCAAGAUGAUGCAGGCUGCAAGAAUUUCCCGAAAGAAUUGCAAAUGGCCAGACUAGACGAUGAAGCUGUUCUCCAAAAACUGAGGCAAAUGCCAUUGGAAGUGGGAAAAUUGAAACAGAAUUUAUAAUGCUCUCCUUCCCUCAUGUUCAAAGGCUGAUCUGAACAAUACUGGAGUCGCCUAUGCAGCCAUGCUAGACAUUAGAAGCUUUAUGAGGUUACAAUAAAACCAUUAACUGUACACAUAAGUUCAUUUGCAAGAAUUGGGAACCAAUUUAGAAGGUCAAGUAUAUUCGCUGUCAACAAGAAUGAUGCCCUCCGAUUUAAGAUCUCUACUGAGGAGGAACCCAGUUUGAUCAAAAUUCUAGGAUCAAACAACAGAGUCAAAGUCAAAUCAAGAGCAACGUUCCAACUUGUCAUGAAGACCAAGAAUAGUAAUUGCUUUUGAGCAAGCAGUGAAAUUAUUUGCAAUCAGACAAUCAUCUUCUUCUUCAAGAAAUGCUGUAAUGAAAUUCUUACCAGUUGUGUCUGAUUCUUCAAAACAUGAAGUUAGCAAACAGAUUGUUCAUAUAUAAUGUCAGUUGGCAUAAAUGUAGUGUUCAAUCACCAAGCCACAAAGAUGAUACAACCGAACAGUUGCAGCAGGAAAACUUGGUUGUUUAUUCAAAAUCAAGUAAAUCUCUAGGUCCCUCAUACCACGAUUGCUCCCAAUCUUUAGGUCUUGGCGUAGACAAUUCCUUCCUUGUCUAUGUGGACAGAACAAUGCUUGCUGUUCUAGUUGUUGUCUUUCACCAUGGUCUGUAGAAAAAAUGUCCAGAAAAACAACUAAUGAUCAGUAGAAGUGUAAAAGGGAAGAAAGAAAACUACUGCUAGAUUGGAUCAGUCAUCUUCUUCAUUAGAUCAUUACAAACAGUUGGCUUUGAAAAAUUUGAAGUUAAUCAACUACAAUCAUGACAGAUAUUUAUUUUUCCUAAAAGAAUGUAAAUGUAUGGUUGCUCUUUGAGUACAGCUCUCUACAGCACAAAAAUAAACAAAUACUGUGGUCAAAGCUGUCAAUCAAAAUCCCCCUAUCCAGAAUGCAUGGCAAUGGCUGAUCCAAAUGGCCAUGUACUAGUACACUUACUAAGAUUUCCUUCAAGAAUCAUGUACAAGUGACCACCACUGUUCUCGGUGUCCAGAGGCAGUUUUCCAUACUCAUCUCCUUCUCCAUGAGGCUCAUGUAGUUAUUGGAAGGAUUCAAUAAAUAAUCUCGAAACCCAUGAGCGUUUUUGGCCCAAAGAAAUUCAGCAUAUGACAUAAUUUCGUGUAUAUAUAUAUAUGGAGAGAGAGAGAGAGAGAGGAAAAGUUUAUGAAAUAACCAUGAUUACUAGACGGGAAAAGUGUGUUUUCAUCUUUUGAUAUGACUAUAUCAGUAAAUGAGUACCAACUUUUCCAUCUCAUAGUUUGUGAAUGGAUCAUAGACUGAAAAUGAAUUAUAUGUAAUCUACUUAAUUUACCAAAGGUAAUGAAAUCUAAUUUACAAUCAAAUUAAUUAAGACACUAGGAUACCAAUCACUACUAUACGUACAUAAAUCAUAUUACAUUUCUGUAACAUUACUUUUCUUCAAUACUUCCCCUGAUCAAGUUACAUAUCAAGAACUGAAAAAAUUAUAAGGCAAUCAAAUGAAACAAACCAAGAAAACAACAAUAUUAAAAGAGUUAUGAAAUAUCACCAGAUGAGAUCCAACAGUAAAUUAAGAAACUUUAUACAAUCUUGCUUACCUUAGGGCCAUGUCUGGAGGAGUUCCAAUUGUAGGCCUAGGGCCAAUGUUGAUAGGCACAUGCCCAGAUCUUAAAAACCCUCAAGAUGAACAGUAGCAGCUACUCUAGGCGCUCCUACUGCACAGGCAAAAAACAAGUUAGUCAAUGUUUCUUGGCUAUUGGCUUUGGCUUGGACCUUGGUGGUUAUGUCAAUUUUAGAUAAAUAUGUUAAUAAUCCAAUGACUAUAUUCCAAGAUUGAUGAUAUAUAUGCAAUAUAUCAAUUUGGAAAUGCUGAUAUAAACAUUUAAGGAAUUUAAAUUAGUCAAUUUUCAACAAUCUAGCAUUCAAAAGUGUACAAAAUGAUUAUAACUUGAAAGUUUGAAUAUAAACUGAGGUACAAUAUUCCUAGAGGCUCAAGUCUCCCUAGAACAAGGCAUCACAUCACAUAUUGAUGUGGCCUUAUGUUUGAGGUAAGCACCUUAUCUACUGGCGAGUUCAUCCUUAAUAAGCUUUUUGCAAGAAAAUGGAGACCUAAAAUUACUCUAAUACUUCUUUUCUUGAAUAUUAAAUUUUCUUAAAAGUGUUAUCGAUUAUCAAACAUUUAUAUCAAUGGUGGAAACUAGUUUGCUACCAAAGUGAAGGUCAAAGUCCUAAUUAUCAUUUUGCUAAACAAUGUAAUAUAGUAUUAUACAAUUAUUGCUUUUAAAAGAAAAUUUACAAGCCACCCAGCAAAAUUUAUGAUUAUACCUUUUUCCAACUUCACUCACGCCAUUGAGCUUUAUAAUUUGAUGAAACAAGCCUAAAUCAAAAAACUAUACAAAAAAAAUAAAGAAUCGGAGAAAACAAACCUGUAAGCACUAAAUUUUGUACUUUAAAAGAGGAAAUAGGAUGCCAAUUGUAGGUUUAAUUUAAAGAAACCUUAAAAAAUAUUUUUAAAAUUAUAGGAAAACCCCCGUAGCUUAGAAAAGAUUGGGGCGAACAGUCUACCUUUUGGCGAUGUUCACAUCUUGAGAGGAAUGACUUCUUUCUUAGUAGAUCUGAUGAUGGUGUUGAUCUUUAGGAAGAGAUGAUUAGAAGGCUACGUCGAAUUUUAGUGAGUGAGAGAUAAAGGAACACCCAAAACCUUAAAGCAAAAAAGGAAUUAAUAACUCAAAUAGAUUCCAUUUUUUCCUUAUGACGUGCUUACCUUAGUAAGGUUUUUAUGGCAGUGAUACCAUUUGGAUAAUUAAGUCAUUGAUUUUGAUGGAUCUUUUCCAUUUGAAUUUUUAAUAUAUAAACUUAAUCUUUUUACUUGGGGUAAUAUAUUUGGUAUUUUAGGAUUUACUUUUUAAUAAUAUGCUUUUAGUAGAUGGUUUAACUAUGUCCUAGUGUAAUAAGUAGUCUUGCAUUACAUUAUCUACUAUGGAGUAGGAGUGUGUUGCUUGUUCAAGGGAUGUAUGGGAAGUUGUUUAUUUGAUGAUAUACUUUCAACACUUAGAGUCACGACUUGAGCUAAUAAGUUUAUCAAGAUCUAAGCAUUGAUGGUGUUGCUACUCUAUUGUAUGCAAGGAUUCAAUUAGUCACAUUGUAGGACAAAACACUUAUAGACAAUUGAUUCUACUACAUUCAAGAUAUUGUUGCUUAAGGGGAGGUAGAGUCAAAACAAGUAGACAAUUGAUACAACUACACACACAACAUAGAGACAAAACACAUGAAUAAUACUAUGGUUGAAUAAAUUAAUUGGAUGAUGAGAUGAUAAUUAUUUUGUCAUCAACAUAGUGAACAACAUAAAUUAAAAUCUUGAAAUGUCACCUUAGCCAACCUAGUAGAAAUGAUUCAUCAAAAUAUUUGAAUGUGAGAUCUUAAAUUGGUGUUUGACCAAUAAAUAUGGUAAUAAACAUAUAUUAAGUAUAUAUGAAGUGACCAAGCUAAGAUUUGUAUCAUGUUAUUGUAGGGAAUCCCGAAUCUCUUUGUUCCUUAUCCUAUGAUUAGGCUAGGUACAUGCGAAUCUUUCUAAGUUUUUCUAAAUCGUAUGAACAAUGGGAAAAUUAUGUUUUAAAAUAAUAACAAGAUUUAGAAUUUGCAUUAGAAAACAUUACCUUAGAUUUGGAUGUUCCCAAAUCUAAUUCACGUAGUAAAGGAGAAGAUCGAAGUUUUCAGAGGUCUUGAACACCCAAGAUCUUCCACCAGAUGACUUUUCCUUGAUUUUAGAUCUUAAUUGGUGAGAAGGAAGGAAGACUAAAAAGGCUAUGGUUCUCUCUCUCUUUGAAUAGUGAAAGAUGGCUCACUUCAAAAAAGUAAUGAAAACCUUAUCAUUUAAGGGGUAUUUAUAGGGUUCCCUAAUUGGGUGUAAGUGACUUAAGCAUACUAAAGGCUUGAAUCAUUUAAUUUCACUCAAAAUGAGUCUUAAUUGAUUAAUUAACCUAACGUAGUUAUCUAAUUAAUUAAUUAGCUAAAUCUGGAGACUUUGUUCACUUACCCCUAUGCAACCUUGCAUAGUUACCAAAACACCUUUAUACGCAAAAGUGAACCAAGAGUUGUGUCAUCAAGGUAUAUGAGCUUAGGUGGAGACCAUUGAGACCUAUAGGACAGUACUAGCUACCCCAAAAUCUAAUUUUGAAGUUGAUUUAACGUUCCACUAUAGAGAAUCAAUUGCACUAUAAUACCUUAUGUAAAUAACAAUGAGAUGCUAAGUGGUCGAGCCCAUGACUUAUUAUCCAUUGCAUUCAAUCUCCCUAUGAACUGGUGUUUGUAGUCUAAUAAGGUCAAAACUAUCAACCUUUCAAGACUACCUCUACUAUCUUUGAAUUACAAAUCCUCUUAUUAUGUAUUUAAUUGAUAUAUCUUAACUCUCCAAGAGUCUAUGUCAAGUUCCAUUUAAGAAACUACUAUGACCAUAGUUUACAUGAACAUACCUCCUUAGGAUCACUUAAGGGGACACUCUAUCUCAAUCCUCUUAGAUUUCAUGGUACUUCUAUUACAAAUACUCAUUGUUAUAGACUUGCAUCAAUAGUGAACCAAUCCAUAAGGAACAUAUGAUUAGCUUACGAUUUCAUUAGUAGGUCAAAGUCACUACUAACUUUAACACAAAUUCUAUAUUCUCUCAAGGUUAAGAGAUAAAACAAUGAAGCAACUUGGUGAAAUCAUGACUAUUUGAUAGCUUUAUGUCAUAAUUCACCAUAAGUCUUGUCUGAUGUGUAACCAUACACAUUAGUAUACUCACCAUGGAAAACCCAUCCUGAUAACCAAGACCAACCAUUCCUCUAAUUAUGAAGUAGCGUACUAUAACCUCUAAUGGGUUACUUAGGCCUAUGAAUCGGUUGUGAACAAGUCAUCUACUUACAAUGAAUCCAUUUCUUGAAUUUUUUUUUGCAACUCUUAAUGCACUCAAGUCCUGUACAAUACAAGAUAUGUAUAUCAAAAUGCUUACAAGGUAUAAUGUAUAGGAUUAGGAUAAAUAAAAGUGAACUAAAAAUUUAUUAAUAAAUAAUAAAAUUUUAAAUUUAUUACAUCAUAUCAUGCUUUUAUGAAACCUUUAAAAUACUAAGAGCACCCUUUCAUAAUCAUGAAUUUAACUUUAGUUUCAACUUCUAUCAAAGGCUAAAUGAGAAAAGCUAUCAUAGAGGAGGCCUCAGCCAAUGGGUAAGAUGCACUGUUAUACCAAACAAUAAGUGGAAAAUGAAAUUUUAUUAAUACUUGAGACAAAGGAAGAUUUUACACUCAAACCAAGCAUUUAUUUAUAAUGAAGUGCAGUCUCCAUACGCACAUGUGGACUUAUUGGAAAAUCAUACAAAUUAUUGAAGGACGACCUUAGCUAGGCUAACAGUCUCCUAAAUAGGCCAUCUUUUAUAUGUCUUUGCAUUCAUCCAUCUCCUCAUUGUCUUUGAUUUUAGAUGGUGAGGAUGUGAAAGUAACAGGAAGCGGUGGACGAUUGUUCACAGUGAGGCUUAGCACAUCAGCUCUCGAAUAAUGUCCUACCACAUCGAACUGGAACUUUGCUUUAGGAAUCUCUCCACGAACAUCUACAUAUCAAGUGAUCAUAAAAAUAUUUCAUCAGUCUAUGAUAAAUAUCAUAGAAUAUCAAGUCUUCGAGAAAACUAAGUUUGCAGUCCUCUUAAACCUAAAGAAUCGACUCAUUUGUCUUAUUUGCAUACUGAAAUAUUUGGAUAUAUAACUGGAGAAGUUAGGGCCAUACCAAGAUCAGCUGUGAAGAGGCCUUCUCCUUCAUAAUUCGGUCCUGUUAGAAUUUCCCCAUGGGUCGAAAUGAUGACACUACCUCCAGCCCAAACAAUAGAAUCUGGAGUGACAUCUUCUUCUGUAGGACUGUAAAGAUACUCAGGUGGAGGUGGGUAAUCUUUCCUUUUCCAUUUUUAAAAAUAAUAAAAGCAAAGGUGUUUCAAAACAAUACCUCAUUUGCUCAAUUAAUUAUCACAUUUCCUAAGUACAAAAGUAGGCAAGUGAAUUUUUGCUCAAGUUACAAUAAUGCUCCAAAUCCUUAUCCAAGACUUUGAUCCUAUUUCACAAUUGUUUUUUAAAACAGUUUUUUUCUUGGGAGAAUUACCCAAAGGGGUGGGUUAGAAAAAAUAAUGACUAUGAAGGCUCACUCUUUUAGAAGACAAUUUUACCCUUUAAUAUGUUUUUUAUAUUAUUUAUAAAUAAAUUGAGAUUGUCAAUGAUGUGGGGCUCAUACAUAAUGAUAAGUACAAGUUGAUAAAUGAUGUGGGACUCAUACAUGAUGAUAAGUACAUGUUGAUAGGCAAUCAACGGUACAUUUUUCAACUUGAAAAAAUUGUUAUCACUUUUGAACAAUUAACUAUUUAAAAAUUUGUUAUUUUUUUUUAAAUUGAGAUUUUUUAAAGAACCUUAUAAAAAAAAUAAUUUUUAAUAUCUCAUAAAUAAAAACCAUAUCCUAAAGUUAUUAUAUCAUUUUAUAUAUAAAACAUACAAUUAAAAACUUUGUUAUCAUAAUAUAAUAAAUAAUUAUUUUUUACGAGCACUCAUCAAUUGAAUAAUAUAUAAAUAUUCAAUUGACUAACACACACCUAUUAAAUGGAAUAACUCACAAUUAUUCAUUGGGUAAUAUAGCACGUGAAAAAAUUAAAUAAAAAUAAAUUACAUUAUGUUAUAAUAUAUUGUAAUGAUAGUGUAUUUAUAUUGUAAGUAUAAUGCAUUUAUGUCGUACCUAUAUUUUAUUAUAAAAGUAAUAAUUUUAAAAAUGUUUAUUCAUACCCUAUUGGUAUUAACACAUCGUAUUAAUAUAUUAACAACAUUUAUUUAGUGUUUUGAAAUUAUUUAAUAAUUUUUGUAUAUAUAUAUAUAUAAACUACGUGAAUUCAAAUUAGUAUUUCAUUUGAUUUCAGAAAUUAUUUAUGAUAUAGGUAUGUUGUGAAAUAUGGUAUGAUCAUACAAAGUUACCAUUUUCAUAAAAAAAUUCAUAAAUUUCUUAAUUAGGUUUUAUUGUAAUGUAUUGUAAUGUAAGUGUAUUUAUAUUGUAAUUAUAACAUAUUUUUGUUGUACUUGUAUUGUAUAAUAAAAGUAAUAAUCUUAAGGAUCACCUUUUAUACCUUAUUAAUAUUCAACAUAUCAAAUAUAUUAACAUCAUCCACUCGAUACAUUGAGAAAAAAAAUUUAUAUAAAAAUUUAAAUAAAAAAAAACACUAUGCAAAGGAAAAAAAAUCAUAUAAAUUUUUUUAAAUUAUUUUAUUAUAAAAAUAAAAAAUGAUUAAACAUUUUCUAUCAUUUUCUUAUUAUUUUUAGAGAAUUUGAAUGAAAAAUUAAACAUUUUAUCUUCCUUAAAUUUAAUACAAAAACAUAAUUUAUCAAUUUAAACUUAUAAUAUAUAUAUAUAUAUAUAUGAAAAAAUCAUCAUUUUUAUUAUAUAAUUAUAAAACUUAUUUUUUUCUUCAUAAAAUUAAAAAUUAGAAUAAAAAUAAAAAAAGGUAAAAAAACAAUAAAUGAUAUUUUGAAAAUAUUUUUUAAAAGUAUUUUUGUUUUAAAUAGUAAAUUUAAAUAACAAAUUAUAUAUAAUUGUAAGGGUUAAACCCAAAAUUUUGAUUUAAAAUUUAAAUAUCAAUAAUUACAAUAAAUGUGGGACCCAUGUACCAUAAAUGUAUUAACAAAUAAAGUGAAGUGCUUUAAAUGUUUUGAAUUUUAAAAGUUUUAGUUAAAGGACAGUUUUGGUAUAUUAAGCUUACUAAAGUCCUCCCCAAUAAUUAUUAAAAGAUACCACCCUUUCUAGUAAUUGUUUUGCCCAGCCUACCCUUUUGGAUAAUUCUCCCUUUUUUCUUCUCUACAACAAAAAAAAAAAAUGUGUUUGAGAAUUGGAAAAUAAGGUGUUUUAAAAAAAACAUAUGUUAGUUGUUUUUAGUUUUUCUUCAUUAGCUUUUUUGACGGUUGUUUAAAAAAAAUAAUUAUAUAAAUAUGAAGAAUUAUUAAAAAUAUAAUAUUAUAGACAAAAGUUAUUUUAAAAUUAUAUGCACGAGUUUUGGAAAGUCUUGCAAAAUAAGCAAAACUAUAGGAAAAAUAUGCAAAUAAAAAAUUGUAUUAAAAUCAUCAAGGGCGCACAAUAUUUGUGGAAAAAUAUUCUUUGCCGAAGAAUAUUUUUUAAAGAUCAAUUGAAAGCCUAAAGCAGCUUUUUCCCAAUUGAAUUUAUUGAAUGGUGAAGAACACGUGUGUUGCAAUUUUUUGGAUUUGUAGAGCGUAUUUUAUAAAGCUUUUUUCUCUUUGUGAACCUUCUUUUCAUAUGUGAAAUUGUUUUAUUUUUUUUUAUCAUUUUCAUUGAAGGAAGUUGCUGAUAUUUACAGAUAAAAUUAAAAAAAUUAAUUUUAGAAUUUCUAAGAUUUGAUUACUUAAUUAAAAAAAAAAAAUUGGUUUCUUGAUUUUAGCAACUUGUCUUCUUCAUUUAAGGAAGUUUGCUAACAAGAGCAUAUUUACUUCUCAUUUUCUUUUGACUUCAAUUGGAAGACUUGUUUCAUUUGUUUACAAAAUUUGCCAACAAGAAAAUAUUUAUUUCUAAUUCUCUUUUGAUUUCAAUUGUUUGAUUUGAUUUGAUUUUGCAAGACUUUAUUUUAUAGCCUUCCAAAUUUCGCUACAUGUCAUUUUUUGAAUUGAAUGCCACGUGUUCAAUAUAUAUGACUCGUCACUUAUUAAGCCCAAAUUUUGUUGAUCUAAGGAGUUACAAUUUUGAAGACUAAUUUGGUAGUAUUUUAAUCCACUAAAAUUUUUUAUGUCUACAAAUGCCCCCUCUUCAAAACAGAUCACACACAUGCAUUAUCAUGUAUAAGAAGUGAGUCUUGAAGUUAGCCUUUUGAAUCUUCAAUAUCCUUCUUUGAUUUUUUUUUUUCGAAGAAAUAUUUAAAUAGGAAAUUUCCUAUUCAAAAUACUUUUCUUCAACUUUUUUCGAACACUGUUUUAUUUAUUUAUUUAUUUUUCUACCUUGUAUCAAAGAAAAACCUUGUGUUAAUGGGAAAGCUUCUUAUUUGAACAUCUAUUUUCUUUUCUCAUGGUAUUUUCACUUCCAAUUUGUCAUCCUACAAGAAGUCCUUCACCCUAGCUGGUUCAAUUGCAUCUUAGACUUGGUCACAUGCCUUUAACUUGUAAUUCUUCCUCCACUUUCUUUUUUUUUGUUUAAAAAAUAGUACAAUAUAUUUGAGCAAGACCAUAAGCAAGAGAAUAGAGGUGGUGAAUGGAGCACCAACUAACCUUAGGGCAAGAUCUUGAGCAAGAGAAGUAAGGUGGAGAGUAGAGCACAAACUUCUCUAAAGCAUGGUAGGCAUACCGUCAUGGAGUUGUCUUCUGCAUGGAGCAUGGUAGGGUAUUAUAUAUAUGAUAGGGUGGGCCAUCAUGUAACAAUGAAGAACAACAAUCCAUGGUGUACAAUUGGGAACAACAAUUCAUGCUAUCAAGCUUCAACCUUUUGUUAUUUUUUGUUUUUUUUUUAAUCCCUAUCUCUACCCCCGACUCCAAUUUUUUUUUCAAGUUUCUAGAUUCCUUUUUAUUCUUUCUCAUUUUAUUUUUUUCAACUCCUUUUUUUUUCCUCCCUUUUUAACCAUUGUUUUUAAGGAAGAAAUAGAUUCACCAUCCCUUACCACGAGGUCAAUCUCCAUCGCUUGCAAAGACAAAUUUGCUUUUUGGUGUUUUUUUUUCUUCAAAAAUUAUCUUAACAUUUUAAGAUAUAUAUAUAUAUUUAUAUAUUUAACAAACUUAAAUAUCCAUAAUAAAAUAAAUAUUUAAGGCUCUUGACUUAUUUAAAUUGGCUUGACUUGGAUACUUAGUGGAACCAUACUUAACACCCAUGUAGAUGAGCUAUAAUCUUGAUGGCAUGUUGUGUUAUAUUUUCGACACUUAAUGUGGCUUAAGAGUUAAAGUCUUCACUCAUGAAAAUUAGCUUGGUUUGGAUGCACAAUGGUCUCUAACUUCUUAAUGCUUAAUUAAACUUGGAACCAUAUUUAACACCCAUGUAGACAAGUCAUAAUCAUGACAUAGAGCACUAUUUUAUUUUAACUCUUAAUAUGACUUAAAUAUUAAAGUCUUCACUCAUACAAAUUAACUUGGGUUAGAUGCACAAUGGUGUUCAACUUGGUAAUAGUUAAUUAAAAUUGAAACAUUUAACACCCAUGUAAACAAGUCAUAACUUUGACAUGGAACAAUGUCGUAUUUUUAGCUUAAUGUCGCUUAAGUAUUAAAGUCUUCACUGAUGUAAAUUAGCUUGUCUCAGAUGCAUAAUAGCAUUCAACUUUUUAACACUUAAUUUAAAUUCAGACCAUAUUGAAAACCCAUGUGGACAAGACAUAAUGAGAAAAUAAAGGGCUAAUCUAAAUAGAUAAAAAUACCCAACAGGGAAGGAGGGGGGUGAAAUGGAGUUUAAAAAAAAAAAAAUUAAACACAAUAAAAUUAAGUACAAGAAGCACAAAUAUAAAGAGAUAAGUUAUAGAAAGCAAACUCAGAUUUAUGGUGGUUUGACACUUCCUUGCCUACAUCCACUCUCCUCAAGCUCCUAACCGAGUGAGGGUUCCACAUAUACUUAAAGCUUCAACCAAACUUCUAAUCACUUUUUACACUUAGAUUUUGGCUCCAAUGGGCUCUUACACAUUCGCUUCAAGUCUCUACUCACUUGAAGGUUUUAACACUCAAUUAACAAGUUUGAAACUUUCAACCUAGCUCAACAAUGGCUCAAAUACAACUCAAGGCUAGGAUGAAUCACAAAGGUGCAUUAAAGAAUAUUCAAAUGAAGAUUUAAUGCACUAAGAAAAGAAUGAGAGCUUUUAUGGCAAGAACAAGUAGGUAAACAAAUCAAUGUAGGUGUUCUCUUACUCAUAAAUGAAGUGAAAUUCUCAAUUUAUAGGUUUCUAAUCUCAGAAGCCAAAAAACCAAAAAGUAACCUCAAUCGAUUGAGUUGGGGGUUGACCGGUUCACUAGCCGUUAGAGCAUUAAAUGUGUGGCAGGUGAUCGUUACCCUCGACCGGACCUCGACUGGGAAGGCAAAUCUCUCGACUAGGAAAGAAAGGUUAUUGGAAGAGAAAGAAGGUUUUUUGCAUCUUUUGACCAGACCUCAACCGGGAAGGAGCAAUCGAUCAACCAGUACCCUAGCCAGUUGAGCUGGUUGGCUAGUGCCUCUACCGAUUCACCAUUUUUUACUCGAAAACCUAUCUUUUUCUGGUCUUUUUUUGCUUCUAACACUUAAACAAGGUCUUUAGGUAAAAUAAUAUGUCAAUUUUGAAACGUUUUGCCUAAGGUUCAUUUGAUAGAACUCGGAUUUUGAUGGAAAUGUGACUUGAAUGCAUAAACUGAGUUUUCAAAGAUGCAUGAAAUGAUAUGAAAAUCCUAAGUACACCCAUGCAUUCAUUUUACAUAGUUUUCUAUGAUUAAAAAGUAUUUCAAAAGUCUUGAUCUUGCAUCCAUUAGGUCAUUUGAUGAAUUUCCAAAUUAAUAUAUGAAAUUCUUUAUAAUUCAAACCAUUUAGUAACUUAACCAUGGUUUGUUAUCAUCAAAACAUGAUUAGGAGAACCCUUGGGCUAACACAUAACAUUGUAGCAAUGUUAUAUUUUUGACACUUAAUGCAGUUUAAGUUCUGAAAUCUUCAUUUCUAUGAAUUGGUUCGCCUUGGAUGCAUAGUGGUGUCUAAAUUAUAAUACUUAAUUAAAAUUGAAACCAUAUUUAACACUCAUGUAGACAAGUCAUAACUUUGACAUGGAGUGGCAUUGCAUUUUCGACACUUAAUGCGACUUAGGUGCUAAAGUUUUCACUCAUGAGAGUUGGUAUGGGUUGGAUGCAUUGUGGUGUCCAACUUUUUAACACUUAAUUAAAAUUGGAACCAUAUUUAACACUAUCUAGAUAAGUCAUAACCUUGACGUGAAGCGAUAUUGUAUUUUCAACACUUAAUGCAACUUAGGUGCUAAAGUCUUCACCCAUGCAAAUUAGUUCAUCUUGAAUGUACAAUGGUGUCCCAUUUUUUAACAUAUAAUUAAAAUUGGAACCAAAUUUGACACUUAUGUAGACUAGUCUAGCCAUGAUGUAAAGUAGUGUUCUAUUUUUAAAACUUAAUGCAGCUUCAAUGGUAAAGUUUUUACUCAUGUGAAUUGGCUUGAUUUGGAUGCACAAUGAUGCCUAACUUUUUAACAUUUUAUUAAAUUUGGUAUCAUAUUUAACACCUAUGUAGACAAGUCAUAACCUUAAUGUAGAGGUGCAGUAAUAUUUUUGGUACUUAAUGUCGCUUAAGUGCUAAAGUCUUCACUCAUUUGAAUUUUUUGGUUGGGACGAACAAAGGUCUCUAACAUUUGAGCAUUUAAUUAAAAUCAGAAUCAUAUUUAACACUCAUGUAAAAAAGUCAUAACCUUGACACAUAGUAAUAUGCAAUGUUUUAACAUUUAAUACAACUUAAGUGCUAAAGUUUUCACUCAUGUGAAUUGGCUUGGCUUGGAUGCAUAAUGGUGUCUAACAUUUUAACACUUAAAUUAAAAUUAGAGUUAUAUUUAAUAAUCAUGUAGACAAGUCAUAACCUUGACGAGAAGCAGUAUUGUAAUUUUGACACUUCAUGUUGCUUAAAUGCUAAAGGCUUCACUCAUGCAUAUUGACUUAGCUUGGAUGAACAAUGGUAGCUAACUUUUUAACACUUUAUCAAAUUUGGAAUUAUGGUUAGCAUCCAUGUAGAAGAGUAAUAAACUUGAUGCAGAGUGAUGUUAUAUUUUUGGUACUUAAUAUAGCUUAAAUACUAAAAUCUUCACUUCUAAGAAUUAACUUGGCUUGGAUGCAUAGUGGUGUCCUACUUUUUAACACUUAAUUGAAAGUGAAAUCAUAUUUAACAUCCAUUGUAUACUAGUCAUAAACUUGAUAUAGAGCAGUGUGCAAUUUUUUAAUAUUUAAUGCAACUUAGGUGUUAAAGUCUUUACUCAUAUGAAUUAACUAAACUUAGAUGCACAUUCGUUUCCAACUUUUUAAUACCUAAUUAAAAUUAAAACCAUAUUUAAAAACCAUGUAGACAAAGACAUAAUCUUAACAUGGAGCAGUGUAUAACUCUUAGCACUUAAUUAAAAUUGGGAUUACACUUCAUAACCACAUAUUCCUCCUCCUAUUUUUCAAUUUUUUCUUGUGGUGAUGAUUGAACUCAACUAGUUUGUCCAAGUUACCCACAUACCCUUAACAGAGAAGAGAUCAAGUCAAACCUAGUUCAAAGUAUUUUUUUUUAAUAUCUAACUUUUGCCAAGGCUAAUGAUUUUAAUCUUGAAAGCUUGUCUUAACUUUUGACUAUAUAUGUAGUGUUUUCAAGUUUCAAUUUAGCGGCCUAUGAAUUGUACAAAUUGAAAAUGACUUCACUUAUGUGUAAAAAAUAAUAAAAGAUAUUCAUUCAUAGUUUUAGGGCAAUGAAAAGUAAUCGAUCCUUUUUUGCAUUAUUAUUAUUAUUGUUGUUGUUGUUGUUAUAAUUAUUAUAUUACCUUAGAAAAAGACCUUUUCCAAUUAAUCUUUUAUAUAUAUAUAUAAUCUUUUAUACAUGAUUUUUCUUAGUUUUCAUAGUAUUUUUAAAUUUAAUAAUUUUUUUUUUUAUAAAAAAAUAUCUAUACUUUCGGUCAAUGUCUCAAAUGUCUCAAAUUUUAUUACGUACGUGCUCCAGGAAGUCUCAAGUUGUAGGCUUGUUGCCUACAACUUGAGUUUGAUGAAAAAGCGCAUAAACAAAGACAAAAAAUUUAAUCUACAAGUACUUGGAUUCUAUUUGAAUAUAAAAAGAGCCACUCAUAUGCAUGGAUUAAAUAUAUGCCCCAUGGAUAAGUUGUACUUAGCCAUGGCUGAAGCUUUCCACUAUGACUUAAAGGGAAAAAAAAGAGAGGAGAAUAAUGUCAUUAAAAAACUGAUUGCCGUGUGGCUAUGCCUGCCAGUAGAUGGCUGAAAACUAGUUCUAUUCUUUUGUUUUGGCCUCUACUAAUUAACCAUAAUUGAGAGAUUCAAUGGCAACUAUCGUAUAAACAAUGUUUCAUAAAUUACUUUUAAAUUUUGACAGCAAAGACUCAAAAUGUAAAACCAUAAAAAAUUUGUUCUAUUCCCAAAUUUUUUAAAAUAAAUUUUAAAAUAAUAAAUUAAUGCCCAUGACUGUUUUCACAUCUUAUUCUCAUUUCUAUCAAUGCAAUAAUUGUAAUCAUCUUAUCUAUUAACAUGGCCUAGAGCCAUUUCAGCUAAGAGUAGUCUUUCCUUAGCAUUUCCGGUCCAAAGCUUCCAUUUCUUUAGGCCUAGAGGCAUUUUCAGUCCAGAGCUGCUGUUUCUUUCGGCCUAUAACCAUUUUCAGCCUGAAGCUGCCUUUCUUUAGCAUUUUCAGCCCAGAGCUACCUUUCCUUGGCAUAUCAGCCAAAAGCUUCUAUUUCUUUAGGCCUGGAGCCAUUUCAACACAACAUUGGUUUCUUUGGCCGGGCCUUGAGCCCUUUUCAACCCAGAACUGUCAUUUCUUCUAAAUAACUUCUCUUUUGAAAAACUUCAAUUUGCCCUUUUCAAGAAGCUGGUAAAAAUCUUCUAUUUAGCAUUUCGACAGUGAAUCGAAUUCACAUAGAAAAUAAAAAGGAAAAAAAAAGUCUUGAUGGCAUAAACUAGGACAUGACCGGGAUAGUUUGAAAUACAUAAUUUUCUCCAUUCAAAUGCAAAACAUAUUAAAAGAACAUUUGGCACGAUUUUAUGAAGCGAUUCUAUCUUUUCUAAUACUUCAAAGAUAAAUUUUUUUGAAGUAUUAGAAAAAUUAGAAAUAUUUCUUAAAAUCACUACCCUUAAUUAUAUUUAGAUACUUUAACCAUUUCAAAUGCUACAUGUUUCCUUCUACAUUUCCUCUUUAUUUUGUUUUUCUUUUACAUUUUUCCUCAAAUUUUUUAAAAACCAAACAUAGCCUAAAAGAAAAGAUAAUUUUACUUAUUUUGAAAGUUCUUUAUAUAUAUAGUUUAUAUGGAAACUUGUUUCAUGUUAAUUUAAUAAAGCAUUUAUAAUAUUGAGAUCGCUCUUUCAUAAUCAUAAAUUAACCUUUAGUUUCAACUUCUACAAGAGGCUAAAUGAAAAAAGCUAUCACAGAGGAGGCCUCAGCCAAUGAGUCAGAUGCACUGUUGUACCAAACAAUAGGUGGAAAAUACAAUUUUAUUAAGACUCUGAGACAACAAAAAUAAAAAUAAAUAAAGGAUGAUUUUACACUCAAAACAAGGAUUUAUUUAUAAUGAAGUAGAGUCUCCAUAUGCACAUAUGACUGCAUUUACAGCAUAAACAAAGACAAGGAAAUUAACAAAUGUUGAACUUAUUGGAAAAUCAUACAAAUUAUUGAAGGAGGACCUUAGCUAAGCUAACUGUCUCCUAAAUUGCCCAUCUUUUAUAUAUCUUUGCAUUCAUCCGUCUCAUCAUCGUCUUUGAUUUUAGAUGGUGAGGAUGUGAAAGUAACAGGAAGCAGUGGACGAUUGUUCACAGUGAGGCUUAGCACAUCAGCUCUCGAAUAAUGUCCUACCACAUCAAACUGGAACUUUGCUUUAGGAAUCUCUCCACGAACAUCUGCAUAUCAAGUGAUCAUAAAAAUAUUUCAUCAGUCCAUGAUAAAUAUCAUAGAAUAUCAAGUCUUCAAUAAAACUAAGUUUGCAGUCCUCUUAAACCUAAAGAAUUGACUCAUUUGCCUUAUCUCCAUACUGAAAUAUUUGGAUAUACAAUUGGAGAAGUUAGAGCCAUACCAAGAUCAGCUGUGAAGAGGCCUUCUCCUUCAUAAUUCGGUCCUGCUAGAAUUUCGCCAUGGGGCGAAAUGAUGACACUACCUCCAGCCCAAACAAUAGAAUCUGGAGUGACAUCUUCUUCUGUAGGACUGUAAAGAUACUCAGGUGGAGGUGGGUAAUCUUUCCUCCGACAGAACUGGAUGGGUGAAAGAACAUAGCAUCCACCCUCCAUAGCGAUGUGUCUCAUUGUAGCUACCCAUGUAUCCCCGGAAUCGGCAGUAGGAGCACAAUAUAUCUCAAUUCCUAUAUAGAAUCGGUGUUUUGUGAUCAAUCAAUCCCAUAUCAGAGCCAUAAUGUAUUUCAAGCCUAUUUAGGCUAAAACCCUAAUAACUUAAAAAAGAGUACUGAAGUAUUUCAAGCCAAACCAUACUAGUUAGUGAAGAGAAAGAAAUGGUAAAAUAUAUACCUUUGCCAUACAUUGCUGUCCUCAGAAGCGGCAUUCUAUUUUCCCAACAAAUGACUGAACCAAGUUUCCAUAUGGAGUGUCAUAAACUGGAGUUGUCGAGCAAUCUCCGAAACCCCAGACGAGCCGCUCCCAAUAUGUUGGCAUGAGUUUCCUAUGUUUUCCAAGGUAAUUACCUUCAGGAUCAAAGAAGAGAACAGUGCAAUACAAUGUGUAUCCAUCUCUCUCAACAACACCUAUCACCAAGUAGACUUUGUAUUUCGCAGCCAUUGAUGCCAAUCUAUCAACUUCAGGUCCUGAAAAGAUAUUAAGUGGUUGAUUCAUCAAACGUGUCUUGUUUCGAUAAUUUAUUAAGUGGUUCAGUUCUUUAGCUAUUUAAGGGAGAGAGGUAACUGACCCGGCACAUUGAUGGCAGAAGCAUGGUACUUGCGGAAACUUUCUUUCCCUCUUGGCGACUGGUGGGCGAAGUUGUAUCCACGGGGAUACCCACCGAUAAAUGAUUCAGGAAACACAACCAGUUGGGAUCCCAGUGCAGCUGCUUCUUUCAAAAACCUCUCAGCCUUAUCUGCUCCCAAAAUCACAUUGCAAGAAUUAAUAAUUCACGACUUAGAAAGUAAAUUAAUUGGUUGAAUAGAGAGAAUCAAAGUUAACCUCCAGAUAUCCCAAAUGACUUUUUGGUUGCUGAGAAAACUCAUGGAAAAAGAGACCUAGAUAAAACUCGGAACUUUCAUAUUUUCAGCUGUUUUGUAACUAAGAAAAGAGAAACCACCUCAACCCAACUCAUCCAAGUAAUUAUUGUACAAGCAGUAAUUCCUUGAUUGGCAGCUGAAAAUAUGUUCAAGCUUCAAUCAUCCUUUUCUUUCCUUCAGUUUCUCAGCAACCAAUCAACUCACAGAUUCUCUUACAGAAGUUGCAGAAUUGAGAGAAAUGGUACGUUACCUAGAGUGGCAGGAGUAUCAUAAAAGAUACUAGAAGCUUGAACAACGGUGGCUCUAACAGUUGAAGACAUUGCAGAAAUCGUAUGCUUUUUCGUUGCCCUUCUGUUUGAGGAUUCCUCACACAGCGUUCAGUAUAUAUAUAUAGCCCAAAAGGUUCUUCUGCCAUUACUUGAACAAGACGAAAAGGCUGCGAAAAGUCUGCCUUGGUUUUCCAUAUUGAUUUAAGUUAUCCGCAGACAUUGUGGACCAGCCACAUGACUUAAAACAAAGGGUUGUUCUACGGUACCCACUCUUCAUUUUGGGGGUACCUACCCACAUUUGACCCCAAUAAAAAUAUGACUUGUGUAAAGUACAUAUCAUUAAAAAAUUUAUAAAAACUUAUCAAACCGGUAAAGAUGACUUGUUGGUGAGAAAUAAUCACAUGCAUUUCAUAUAUAUCUAUAUAUUACAAUUUUUUAUAAUUUAUUAUUAAAUAUCAAAUAUAAUUUGUUAUUUAAUGCAUUACCUAACUCUAUCUAAAAAACGAAAAUCUUACCUACUGCUCUUAUACUCUCUCAUUUCAAGAUCAAGUUCAAAACUUUUUUAGAGAGAAAAUUUAAAAUUUGUAUUAUAUGAAGAAGAUGAAGGAUUUCAAGUGAUUACAAGUGUCUAAGGUAAUAUUUGAUAUUUUUUUUAUCCAAAUAUAAUUGUUGUAGGAAGAAAUGUGAUGUUAAAUAACGAUUUUAGAAUUUUUUAUGAGUUUAUUAUAAAAUUUUGUUAUCAAAUUGUUAUUAAUAUUUUUAUAUAAUUUUUUUUUUUUGUUCAUAGAUUAAAUUUGAAGAUGAAGCUUUAUAUGUCUUGAAGGAUGUCAAGUGAUUACAAGUGUUAAAAGGUAACAUUUGAUUUAUUUUUUUCCAUUUACAUAUAACUAUUGUAGGUAGAAAUGUCAUGUUAAAUGACAUUUAAAUAUGUAAUGAUUUAUAAUAUCUAGAUUUUUUAAUUUUUUUUUGAGUUAUUUUUAAUCAAAUUGAGAGCAUUUAGUAAUUUGUUAUGAAAUUGUCAUCAAUAUUUUGUAAGAGAGGGUACGAACUUUGUAAGAGAGGGUACGAACUUUGUAAGAGAGGCUACGAACUUUAUAAGAGAUGGUACGAACUUUCUAAGAGAGGGUACGAACUUACUAAGAUCGGGUACGAACUUUCUAAGAUCGGGUACGAACUUUCUAAGGGAGGGUACGAACUUUCUAAGAGAGGGUACGAACUUUCUAAGAGAGGGUACCAACUUUCUAAGAGAUGGUACGAACUUUCUAAGAGAGGGUACGAACUUUCUAAGGGAGGGUACGAACUUUCUAAGGGAGGGUAUGAACUUUCUAAGGGAGGGUACGAACUUUCUAAGGGUGGGUACGAACUUUCUAAGAGAGGGUACGAACUUUCUAAGAGUGGGUACGAACUUUCUAAAAGAGGGUACGAACUUUCUAAGAGAUGGUACAAAAUUUCUAAGAGAGAGUACGAAAUUUCUAAGAGAGGGUACGAACUUUCUAUAAAAAAAAAAAAAAAAUACGAACUUUCUAAGAGAGGGUACGAACUUUCUAUGAGUGGGUAUGAACUUUCUAUGAGUGGGUACAAACUUUCUAAGACAUGGUACAAACUUUCUAAGACAGGGUACGAACUUUCUAAGAGAUGGUAUGAACUUUCUAAGGGAGGGUACGAACUUUCUAAGGGAGGGUACGAACUUUCUAAGGGUGGAUACAAACUUUCUAAGAUAGGGUACGGACUUUCUAAGAGAUGAUACGAACUUUCUAAGAGAGGGUACGAACUUUCUAAGAGAGGGUACGAACUUUCUAAGAGAGGGUACGAACUUUCUAAGAUAGAGGGUACGAACUUUCCAAGAGAUGGUACGAACUUUCUAAGAGAGGGUACGAACUUUCUAAGAGUGGGUACGAACUUUCUAAGAGUGGGUACGAACUUUCUAAGAGAGGGUACAGACUUUCUAAGACCGGGUACGAAAUUUCUAAGAGAGGGUACGAACUUUCUAAGAGUGGGUACGAACUUUCUAAGAGUAGGUACGAACUUUCUAAGAGAGGGUAUGAACUUUCUAAGAAUGGGUACGAACUAGAUAAUGUAAUUUUCUAACUACUCUAUCUUUUAUAUUUCAGUUUCUUCAUAGAUACGAUGGACAAAGGAAAAGGAAAGGAAUUUAUCAUUGAUUUGAACGAUGAAGACUUUGAUUACCAAUAUGAUAGCAUUGUUAAAACUGAGUCCGAUGAAGAGGCCAUUCUAGUUUCGGACAAGAUUUUUAAUGAUUUAACUGUUGAAGAUGUAUGGAAUAUGGAGUUUAGCUUAGUAGAGGAGGCAGAAGAAUUUUAUAAUUUAUUUGCUAAAGUUACCGGAUUCAGUGUUAGAAAGGAUGAUGUGAAACGAGAUAAAAAUCAAAAUAUAGUAUCUCGUAAGUGGGUUUGUUCGAAAGAAGGAUAUCGACAUAGAGUGUGUUUAGAGAAUGAAAAUCGAAAACGAGAACCUAAGGCAGUAACUCGAGUUGGUUGUGAGGCAACAUUUUGGAUUGUGUUUAACAAACAAAUGAACAAGUGGGUUGUGAAAGAGUUUAUGGCUGAUCAUAAUCAUCCUUUGGUGGGACAAAAAAAUGUCCAAUUCCUUUGAUCCCAUAGGGUCAUUAAAAAUGCAGAUAAAGCUCAAUUGAAUGCAAUGCGAGGUGUUGGCAUGGGAACUAGCCAAAUUAUGGAUUACAUGGUGCAACAAUCAGGUGGAUAUAACAAUGUUGGCUUCACAAAAAAAGAUCUAUAUAACCAUGUUGAUGCUGAUCGUAGAGUUCAUCUAAGAGAUGGUGAUGCAGAGGGUGCUUUGGCUUAUUUGUGUGGAAAGUCUGAAAUGGAUCCAUCAUUUUAUUACAAGUACAAUGUUAAUGAAGACAACCAUCUAGCAAACCUGUUUUGGGCAAAUUCUACUAGUAAAUUGGAUUACGGUUGUUUUGGAGAUGUGUUAGCAUUUGAUACAACUUAUCGGACUAAUGCUUAUAAAAAACCGUUGGUCAUACUAGUUGGCAUUAACCAUCACCAUCAAACUAUAGUGUUUGGAUGUGCAUUAUUGGUAGAUGAGAGUGUUAGCACUUAUACUUGGGUCUUGGAGACUUUUUUUGGAUGCAAUGAAUAACAAGAAGCCUCUUUCUGUUAUUACUGAUGGGGAUAAAGCAAUGCGUAAAGCCAUUAAGAGGAUAUUUCCAGACUCUUGUCAUCGAUUAUGUGCUUGGCAUAUUCAACGCAAUGCAUUCACUAAUGUCCAUGUCAAAGAUUUUACUAAUCAUUUUUCUAAGUGCAUGUUCAUGGAAGGCACCGUUGAAGAAUUUGAAUGUGCAUGGAAUGACAUGUUGGAAAUGUUUAAUCUUCAUGGACAUAAGUGGGUGACAGAUAUAUAUGCUAAGCGUUCUAGAUGGGUAGAGGCUUAUUUAAGGGGGCAUUUCUUUGCUACUAUGAAAAACACACAAAGGUGUGAGAGCAUGAAUGCAUACUUGAAUCGUUUCCUUAAAACUCAUUUGAAGCUGUUUGAGUUUGUCAAGCAUUUUGAUAGAGCACUCUCACGUAUUCGUCAUAAUGAGGCAAAGGCAAAGUUUGAGACACACCAUUCUUCAGCUGUUCUAACAACCAAACUCUAUGCACUUGAGAAAUAUGCAGGGAUUGUUUUCACAAGGCAAUCUUUUCUAAAAUUUAGGGAUGAGAUGAAGAAUGCAGAAUUGUUUUUCCCUGUCAGUACAGAAAAUCAUGGAGGUUAUCGUGUCCAUACAUUGACCAAGUUUAGAAGCCCUGACAAGAUUUGGAAAGUAUGUUAUGGUAAUAGUGAUCGGUCUAUGAAAUGUACUUGUAUGAUGUUUGAGUCAGUUGGUUUUCCAUGUCCCCACAUGAUUGUUGUAAUGAAGAUAGAACACCUUGAAGAAAUACCUGAGACUUGUAUUAUGAAAAGGUAGUCUAAGUUAGCAAAGGAAACGGUCCAAGUUCAUCAUGACAAUGAAAGUCAAGGUGAUGCGACUAACAUCAUACGAUAUGGUGCACUCAGCUCUAUGUGCUCACGGAUGUCUUAUUUUGCAUCUCAAUUGGAAAAAGCUUUUAAAGAGGCUAGAUGUGAAAUACAAAGACUCACUUUUCAAAUGGAAGAACUUUGUAAAAAUUCAGCGGAAGAAAGUGAACGAGAAGAUUUGAAAGCUACAAAACACCAUGUUCGAGAUCCUAUCAUUGUGAAGACGAAAGGUAAUCCGGGUAACUUAAAAGACAAAUUUAAGAAACCAAGACAUUGUGGGAAAUGUAAGAAAGUAGGACACAUUGUUCGAAAAUGCCCAGAGUUCGUCAACACUCACAAUGCAUUUAUCAACAUUGAAGAUUCAAUUGAAGAUAUGGUAUGUUCAAACACACAUUCACUAAAUUCAUUAAUUAUUCACUUUAUAGUUAUUUUUAUUUGGUUAAAUUUGUUGAAAUAAAAAAUUAAAUUCUUUAUAUUAAUACAAGGGGACAUGCCUUCAUUACUAAAUCACAACAUGGAAGGUGGAUCAAGACACGAGACAAAUGAAUUUUCUCAAAAUGUAAGUUUAACAUUUUUUAAGUAAUUUUUAUUAUGAUGUGAAAAAUAUUACUUAUUAGAGUAAUUGAAAAAUUAAAUCAUAUUACAGACAACACUUGGCACAUUUCAGAAUGGUCUAGAAACAAGCUUAAAUGAUUCAUAGCUCGGGUUACAUCCACCAAAUUACUUCACAAACCAAGUAAGAGUCAUAGAAUAACUUAUAUACACCACAUAUCAUAUAUCUAUAUAUUGACAGAAGUUCCUAAACAUUUAGUAUUUAAUCAUAUGGAUUUUCUUUCAAAAUAUUAUGUAUAACUGUAAAUAUUUUCAAUGUAGGUCACCAUGAACCACUUUACAUCCGGAAUUUCGGGAGCAAGUUCUACAUAUCAUAACCAAUGAGUUGUACUACAAUGCAAAAAAUUAUGUACAAAAAAAAAUCAACUCUUAAUUGUAUUCUAUACUCUUCUUCUCUUUAUUUUUGCAUGAUUCUGAACUUUAUCUAAUAUUAUAGCUUUCUCACUAUUUUCAUCAUCAAGAAGUAAUUCGAUUGCCAAUUUGUGUCUUAUAGUUGUAGAGUUCCAAUGGGAAGGGGUUGAACUUGAGUCCAUGAAAUCAGAUCUUUGCAUAUGAUUAAUGACAUGGACUCCACAAUCCCACCUAACAAAUAAAAUAAGUAAACAUUUAUCUAGUUAGUACAUAGAAAUAUUAUCUUGAACACAUUAUAUUUGAAGAAACAAUUAUGCUUGCUUACCCAUUGGCUUGCACCUCUACCCAUGUAGGUCUUUCAAUGGGAACACUUGAUAAAUUCUUUAGAUGCCCAUUGAGAUUAAAAAAAUGUGCACACUCUUCAACCUAAUAUUCAUAUCGUUAUAUCUUUUAGCAAAAUAAAACAUGCUAUUUAACAACUAACAUUAAAAAGUAACAAAAUUCAUUAAAAUAUAAGACAUACCACAGUUCUCACAGAUGAAGUUCGCAUGUCAUCCCUUUCUAUUGAUGGUAAUGAAUCCAAUAUAUGAAUAUUAUGUUGAUGAAGAUUUAUAACACACAAAUACCAAUGAUCCGGACAUGUAUCGUGCAUCGGGAUGUAUAUCUAAACAAAACACACAUUUUAGCAUUGAUAAUUAUUUACAACUAUGAUAUGAAUACAACUUCAAAUAUGUACCUUAUUGCAAUCAUUCAUUUCAUCCAUGUGUUUGAUAAUAUGUGUGAACAUCUUGGUAGCAGUUGCCAAUUUUCUACCACCAUGUAAGAUUAUUUGCUAUGCAAAAAAAAAAAAAAAAAAAAAAAAACAUAUAUAUAUCACAAUAUUUAUUAGGUUUAUUUUUUUUCUUUAAUAAGAAAUAUAAUGGAUGAACAUACCGCAAAUGUGGUGGGUAAGUAGCAUCUUGUAGACCGUAUUCCUUUGAAUUUGUUCUCAAAACUAUUAAGUUUGCAUGCAAAUACAUUUAUGAUCUAAAAAUGAAACACAAAAAAGUUAACAAUGUUAAUUAUGUAAUAGAAUUAAUAAGAAUUGGGUUUAUCCUUGUAUUACUCACCACAUCGAGUAAUUCUUGUCUAGGCCCUAAAGUCAAGAAGUCUGCUCGAUUUGCAUGCUCAUAUUGAAAAUUAACAAGAAGUUCACUGCAAAAUAUAAGAUAUUUAAUAAGUAUAACUUUUAAAACAUGACAUACAUAAAGUAUAGUCAAAAUAAUAGGUUUACACACCUUUUGUCCAAUGAAACAUCAAACACAUAAGCAACAACUAGAGACUCAAGUGUACUCAAGGAAUGUGAAUCCUCCACGUUUGGCAAAAUGGACAUGGGGAUUAUCUAUAUUGAAAACAUCUCUAACAAACAUUACUUAUCGUUCACUAUAUUAUUAAGUAUUUAAAAAAUACUACAUCAAUGAAGUAACAUAUUACCUCUAAUAUCUUUUGUGAUCCAACAACUAUGCUUGGGAAUCUCUUAGGCUUUGACAUCUUAUUGGAUUGAUGAAUGUAGGGUGACACCUUGAAUUUACUAGGCUUGCGUUCCAUUGUUGAUCAUGUUUUCUUCAAUUGACAUGGGAGCACCACCAAUGAACUUAGUUGUUCUUCUUGUUUUUCAACAUAUGGAACAUCAACAUUAACCUAUCAUGUAUUUGAACAUUAGUAUAUAUAUAUAUAUAUAUAUAUAGAACUUUGUAAAAAACUAGGUCUUCAUAAUAUGCAAAUACCUUUUCAUCUUGACAUUGAUUGUUGACAAUGGGAGAAACAUGUAACUCCAUGUGACCACAUGAGUCAUUCUCACUCAAUCUCUCUUCUACGACAACAUUGCUCAUAGGAAAAAACAAACGUUUCAAUUCCAUAUAUUUUUCUUCAAAUUCUCUAAAAGUUGAUUCUUUACAACUUUCAUCCAUAUCAGAAACAUUUGUUUGUAGCACAAAUUUUUUCAACUUCUCAAAAGCUUCCUCCAUACCCAUCAAACUUUUUUCUUCAACCUAGUAACAAAUAAAAAUUUCCAAUAUCAUGAAAAAUAAAGUUUGAGAUGAAUAAACUAAUGUAUAUAAAUAUAGUAUAAAAAAGUACCUUAUGCCCUUCUUCUUGUUGUUCAUGAACUUUUGCAUCUUGUUUAUCACCAUCUUCUACAUUUCUCAUAUCAUUAUCUUUAUGAUCACUUGUUCUCUCAUCUUUCUCAACCACCUUCAUUUUUUCAUCAUUUUCAUUUUCCGCACCAUUAUUUUGCUCCAUAUCCACACUUUGCCCAAUUUUUAUAAUCCAUAUCGUGACCUAUAAUUUAUCCAUAAACUUUAUUAUAAUUGCAACAUCACAUAAACAAAUAAGCUUUUCAGUUAGUAAAUGUAUCUUACCUUUGGAUCAUCAUAACCUCCAAGUGUUUUGAUUUUACGUUUCAUCCUAGAGACCUCAUCAUCUCCCCAUUCAUUUAUACGAGGGCUAUAUGCAUUAAAACGUAAGUUCAUACCCUUCUUUGUGGAAAUGUGGUCUAUGUAGAAAAUCUGCAAGAAAUAAAUUCCAAAAUAAUUAUAGAGUUGAAUAUAUCACAAACUCUAUUAUUGUUAAAAAUAUCAUAAUAUAUCAACUUUGUUAAAAAUGUAUUACCAUUAGAAAAAAUAAACAUCCUAAAAUCCCACUGCUUUGUUUCUUGGAUUUAAAGUCGUUUAUGCCUCGUACAAGGAAGAAGAAUACUAUUUGAGCCCAAUUUAUCUUCUUUAUUGAUGCAGUGUCUUGAAGGAGAUGGAGGAAGGAAGGCUUGACACUAACUUUCAUCGUUGGACAUAACAAGGCACCCAAAACAAAUAAUACAAAACGAAUUUUAAAUUCAUCCCCACAUUCCUUUUCUUGCCGUAUUUGGUUUUCUAACAUCAACAAUGGCAAUUUUCUCUUCCCAUCACAAUACAUGUUGUAUAAAUCAUUCCGUUUACUUGUGCAUCUCUCUAUAUCUACCUCCACUCCCUUAGCCUUCAAGCCCAAAAUUAACUCAACAUCCAUUGGGGAUAAUUUAAUGGAAGUGUUAUGCACACUUAAUGUGCAUGAAAGAGUGUCAAAAUUCUCUACCAACCAAUGACAUAAACUAUGAUCAAGUUUAGUACAUUGCAAUCCUAAAAUACCUCCAAACCCUAUUUCUUGUAUGACGGCCUUUUGAAUAGGUUGCAAGUGUUGAAGUAGUUUAUACACCCGAUCAGGCGAACAACGCGUGUGAAGAUACGACUAGAAGUCAUAAAUAUACAUAAGCAUAUAUAUUUUAAAUUGAAAGAAAAUAUUAUCAUAAUUUAAAAACAUAAAUUUCGAAUUUCUUACCUUUGAUGCAUUUUUUGAGUUUUGACCAUUUUGUUUUAUAUAUUCAUGAGGCCAUUUUUUAGACUUCUCUAAGAACUCUUUUUUUUCUCCAUUUGAAAGGGAUUGCCACUUUUUCCCAAUCUCUUUUCGCAACUGUAAUAUUAAAUUAGUUAGGUAUCAUAUAGAGUAUAAAAGUUGACUAAAAAACAUAUUAUGCAAAUAUUCAUGUCUUUUCUUACAUCAUGAUUUAUUAUCAAUUCCUUGUUAUCUUCUUUUCUUGCGAGUACUUGUUCUUGACUGCAAAAAACAUCACAUAAAAAUGAUUAUAUUUUCAACAUGUGAAUAAAUAUCCAAAAUGAAUUAACUAUAUAUGUAUAUAUAUUCUUACAAAUAAUAAAGCCAUGAACCCAUAGGAAGUUUUGGGUUUGAAGGGGGAUCAUUCUCCUCAAAUGAUUGUUUGCUCCUAUUUAAAACACAACAUUAUGAAUGUAAUUUACAACUAAUUAAAACUAUGUACUAUAUUCAAAUAAUUAAGUUACAAAUAUAAAAUCUUACAUAUUUGGCUUUCUAAGUCAAGAUGUAGUAAGACUGCUCAAAAUAAGAUAAACUCCUCUUAUAUUAAGCAACUGUGUAGCCUGCAACAUAGUGAGCAUACCGAUAAGAAUUAAGUUUUGAAUUUGACAACAAGAAUUAAGUUUAAAAAAAAGUCAUUAGUGAGCAUAUGUCCAAAUGUUUUAAGCUCUUUUAUCAUUCUUUUCAUCUCCUUAAGAUCUUGUUUCAUUGUAUGGUUUAGUCGUAUUUUGUAAUUUCCAAAUUACAUUACAAGUCCUCUAAGCUUCGUAGCUGAAAGUACACCAUACUUUUCUUUUAACGCUUCCCACAUUUCAUGAGAAGUUUGAUAUACCUCAUACUCAAUCAUGAGAUCAUCUUGCAUACAACUUAACAACGUUAUGCGAGCUAAAGAAUUUUUUUGUGAGAGAGGCCACAUCAACAAGAUAAAUAUACAUGUCAUGUCUGGCAUAUCAAAUUAUUUACAUGUUAUGUACAAAACAUAAAAGAAAAUGUAAUAAAUAGAAGGAAAACUAAUCUUCUCCCUUGAAACUAAAAGAAACAAUGUUAGGAUUAUACACAGUGUCUUCUAUAACUCUAGAAGUUGUUUUCAAUAACCAUAACCCUCUAAGAUUUUUAUGCCUACUAGAAUUUGAAAAUCUUGCAUUUUGCAAGUUAGGAGAAAUAGAAAGCAUUGUUGUUCGUCUGAUAGCAUUCUUCACGAAGCAUGUUUCCCAGUGUUCCUUGAAAAUAGCUACUAGGUCAUCAAAAGAACUAUUUGUGAAACCAUGAGGCCCUUCUUGAAUGGAUUCCCAUAUAUUUUCAAGAAAUUUUUUCUCAGGUUCUGUUAAUGACAUUUGUAGAAUAUGCAUUUUACGGUUUGACUCUAAGAUAUAUUCCUUUUCGAAACGUUUGAACAUAUUAGCCACAUGAUCCACAUGUUCAUUUGUAGAAUGGCUAGGGUCCCUCUUGUAGUUCAAGAUUGUAUCCAAACACGGCCAAGGUCCACUACCCCUUAGUACUUUCCUAGUUCUCCUCAAUCGUACCAUUUUGCACCUGACCAAAAGAAUUUAAUUUAAUUUUAAUGAGUAACAUAUACUCAUACUUUAAUUAAAUAUUUGAACAAAUGAAAUUUUAAUUAGAAACACACAAUUAUAAAAAAAAAAAAAUGGUUUUUUAUUGUCCCUCAAAUUUUUAUUAUUAUUUUAUACACAAGUCAACAUUCAUAAUUUCAAAUAAACAAUAUAACACUAAUAAAUGGUAUUUUAUAUCAUAUCAAGGUACUUUAUUUGAGAUUUAGGUUCGAAUCCAUGUUGCAUUAUUAUUUCUAACACUAAAAGGUUCAGAAGUCUAGAAUUUUAUUACAUUUUAAAUGAAAAAUAAAAUUAAUUUAUAUAAAAUAUUUUAUUUGAGAUUUAGGUUCAAAUCCAUGUUGCAUUAUUAUUUCUAACACUAAAAGGUUCAAAAGUCUAGAAUUUUAUUACAUUUUAAAUGAAAAAUAAAAUUAAUUUAUAUAAAAUAUUUUAUUUGAGAUUUAAUUUCUAAAAUUUUAUUAAAAAUAUGUGAUAACAAUUUUUUCUAUUAACAUUAAUGUAUUUAAAUAAUUAAAAUUAUAAUAAUUUAUCUUAUCAAAUUAAUAUUAAUUCAUAAAAUAUCGGUAAUAAAAUUCGAAAGUUCAAUUUAUAUAAAAUAUUUUAUUUGAGAUUUAGGUUCAAAUCCAUGUUGCAUUAUUAUUUCUAACACUCAAAAGUCUAGAAUUUUAUUAUAUUUUAAAUGAAAAAUAAAAUUAAUUUAUAUAAAAUAUUUUAUUUGAUAUUUAAUUUCUAAAAUUUUAUUAAAAAUAUGUGAUAACAAUUUUUUCUAUUAACAUUAAUGUAUUGAAAUAAUUAAAAUUAUUAAUAAUUUAUCUUAUCAAAUUAAUUUAAAUUCAUAAAAUAUCGGUAAUAAAAUUCGAAAGUUCAAUGGUAAAUAUUUAAUCAAAAUAUAAAUGGAUAAUUACUAAUGGUAAAGAUUUAAUCAAAAUAAUUACUAAUGGAUAAUUAUUUAUAUACAAAGAGAAAUUCCUAAAAGGCCCUACUACCUCUCACACUCGGGGCUGGGGCAUCAAGAAGCCCUUUUCUCCCUCUAGACCGAGAAUCCCUAAAAAGGCUCCAGCUCCAGUUUACUCUGCCACUCUCAAUCCUCGCAGGUACUAAUCUAAUCAUGUUAUCCUUUUUUUUUCAAUACCCGUUUGAUUCUUAACAAAAUCCAUCCCCCAUUCGAUUUGUUGGAUCUGUUUUAGGGGUCUUUUUGCUUUUGUGCCAUUCGAUUUAAAUUUCAUGAACCCUAAAUCCACGAUUUUUUAGCCAGGUUGAAAUACACAACCUUUGUCUGCAAAUCAUGACCAUAUUACCAAAUAGUAUCUUUUGUUUUUUUAAAAAAAACUGGUCAGAUUUUGCAUCCUUGUGUGUGGCCUGGACUGGUAGGAAAUAUAGGGAAAUUUCCCAAAAAAAAUUCGGUAAAAAUACCAAAAUUUUACUGAUAUUUUUUAAUCGGUCAAAAUAUCAUGUUUGUGCGUGGUCUGGACUGGUAGGAAAGAUCGGGAAAUUUUCCAAAAAAUCAGUAAAAAUAUUGUCUUUCUUAGAAAUAUCGCCGAAAUUUUCGACAUUUCAAUCACUACCAUAUGACAUAAGAUGAGUGAAGUACCUGUUCUGGGAUAGUAGGUAGAGUUGCCUGUAGGGGAGAUUGGUUGCGGAUCCACCAAAGCCCCCUGAUUAUUUUCUUGCUGAUUUCUCCUCUCUCUGAUUUCUCCUUCAAAAUCCCCACUCAGCUCACUCUCUCUGUAAAUAUUCAUUUCACUCGAAAAUUCCAUCUCCACACCCUCAAAUUUCUGAAGCUUAACUCUCUAAAACUCGGGAAAAGUUGUAAUGCCCAUCAAACUAAUAGCUCACCUUUCCGAAAAUAGGCAUCAAGUGUAAUACCCAUCAGACAAAUUUUUGUCUUUGGACAAGAUUAAGCAAGAUAGAAGUGGGAAAUCAGGUGACCAGCAACCUGCUUUUAUUUUUUAUAUAUUUUUAAAUUUUUAAAAAAUAUAUAAACCAAUUGGAUGGUCCGGAUUGAACAUCUUCAUCCAAUGGUCAAAAUUGUUUUUUGGGUAGGUACCGAAGUGGUACUGUAGAAUUUUCCUAAAACAAAUUGAAAAUAAGUAAGUCAUCUGUGAAAUAUAUAUAUAUAGAUUUCAUCUUUUAUACUUGAAUCAUCUCCCCCCUCUUUUUUUUUCCUAGUUUUGGCCUUAUUUUUUUAAAAUAUAAUAUUUAUUUUACUUUUAAUCAAUGGCUCAUAUUUCGAACAAGUGCACCAGAUUUUCUGAAGUUGUAUAUAUAAUAAUCUACAAGUUACAAUAGUGAUUAUAUUUGAAUAAAAAGAGGGACCCGCCCACUUGCAUGGAUUCUAUAUAGGACACAAACAAAUUGUCUUUAGUGGCGACUGAGGAGGCUUUCUAUGACUUGAAAAAAAAAUAAAACAAAAAUAGUCAUUAAGAAAUCAGUGCCAUGUAGUUAGUGUCCGCCACUAUCUACACUUUCUUUAAAAGAACAAAAUUGUCAUUUUCUUUUAUCUCAAAAAUCACUGAAUCGUACAAAAUAAUAUAAGAUAAGAUUCAAUUCAGUCUUUUUUGGCCUCAUAAGAAAACCUUAGCCAACUCAAGGUGACCACUACAGAAUCAAAAUAGGUUUUCUUUUUCUUCAUAGAUAUAUAGCUAACCAUUCAGCUUUGGAUUGCUGGAAUAGAUUCGACUAUUUGUAUCAAUCAGAAGAGAUUCCUCAAGCUUUGGCUGCUAUGGCUCUAAAUGAAGAAGAUAAGGAUCCUAAUUUUUAUGUGGACUCGAGAGCAACAACCCAUAUAACAAAUGACCUAGGUAAGAUUACCCAAGUAAUUCCAUAUAAAUACAAAUGACCUAGGUAAGAUUACCCAAGUAAUUCCAUAUAAAGGGCAUGAUGUAAUUUUUGUUGGAAAUGGAGAAGCUUUAAGAAUCUCACAUAUUGGUGAAGCUAGACUAAAAACUAAACAUAGAGAUCUAAAGCUUAAAAAAUUAUUGGUUAUUCCAAAAAUUAAGAAAAAUUUGUUAUCCAUUGGACAACGUACCUCAGAUAACCCAUGCUCCAUAGAAUUCUCAUCAACUAGUUUUGUCAUUAAGGAUCAACUUCAACAAGUGCUAGCCAGAGGAACUAAGAAGAGAGGUCUCUAUGCAUUGGAGGAAAAUGUGAUUCAAGCCAUGAUAGUUACUAGGUCUAGCAAGGCACCAUAAGAAGUGUGGCAUCAACACAUGAGGCAUCUACAAACAAAAUCUAUAAAGCUUUUGCAAGAUAAGGAUUUCAUUGAAGUAUCUAGUUGGAUGAAAUCAGCAAUAGUAUGUGUUAGAUUUCAAUUAGGAAAAAGUUGUAAAGUUUCUUUUGGCUUAAGAAAUAAAAUUUCCAGCAAUCCUCUUGAAAAAAUUCAUUGUGACUUAUGGGGACUUGCACCAAAUAAUUCGACUCAAGGAUACAAGUAUUAUGUUGUCUUUAUUAAUGAUCAUACUCGCUAUACAUGGCUUUAUCCCUUGAGAAGAAAAUCAAAUUUCUUUGAAUGUUUUUUGAAGUUUCAAAAUCUAGUUGAGAAUCAACUUGAAAGACAAAUAAAAAUCUUCCAAAGUGAUGGUGGAGGUGAGUUUCAAUCAAUUAAAUUUCAAAAUCACCUGAGCAAGUGUGGAAUUUUGCAACAAGUCUCAUGCCCAGGAACUCCAGAACAAAAUGGGGUUGUAGAGAGAAAGCAUAAACACAUUGUUGAAAUGAGUUUAACAAUGAUUUUCAAUGCCAAACUACCAUUGAGUCUAUGGGUAGACGCAUUCCAUACUAUCGUAUACCUCAUUAAUCAGCUGCCUUCCAUGGUGUUGAAAAUGGAGAGUCCAUUCUUUAUGCUCUUCAAACAAUAUCCAGAAUAUAGGAGCUUGAGAAUUUUUGGUUGUCAAUGUUUUCCAUACCUUUGAGACUAUGGGAAGAAUAAAUUCUCACCUAAGACAUCUCCAUGUGUUUUUAUUGGAUAUAGCUCUCUACACAAGGGUUAUAGAUGCUUGCAUCCUUCAACUAAAAGAGUUUACAUAUCUCAUCAUGUCAUCUUCAAUGAAAAUUGCUUUCCUUAUGAUAACUCUCUUGUUAAGAAAAGUCAUUUAUAGUUUCUUAUAGAAAUGGUAUCAUUCUCAACUUCAGAUGUUUCUUGUGAGACAUCAAAAAUAGAUCACCAAACUAAGUCUUGGAAGGAGAACACUGCCAACCAAUCAAGCAACUCCAAGAAGUGCAACCAUUAGCCAUGCACUACUGGGCAAAGAAACCAGUUUAGUGUUGACGGAAGAAUUUCUACUAGUUGCAUUACUAACCAAAAUACAGAAGCAUCAUGUGCAAAACCGAUUGGAACUCCCACUGCUAUCACUGUUGAAAUUUCCACUGUUGCUGCUAGUAAAAAUGACCAUAAUACCGUCAUUACUAUUGAAACUCCCACUGAUGUUGCUCUUGGUUCUAGUGGCCACAAUUUCAACACUGCUACUACUACUGGAACACUCUCCUAGAUUGAGUCUACUAGUAGCUACAAGCUUGCUAAUGUUAGUAAUUUUCCUGAUAUCAGUAAGCACCUAGUAGUUGAUCUCUCUUUUCCUUAAAAAUGGCAGAAAAAUGAGCAUGUUGGUUCAUCUCCGCAAAACAAAUCCACCAGUCACAAUGUUGAUGAUAAAGUUCUUGAUAUUAGCAAGCAAAUUGUUGUUGACAUCUUUUCUCCUCAGGGCCAACACACAGAUAACAAAGAAGCUCAUAUGAUCACCAGAAGUAAACUCAAAAAUGAUCCUAGUUUAAAGUCUUAAAUGGUUACUUUUGCUGCCACAAGAAGUAAUAUUAGUGAGCCAAAAACAUAUCAUACAACAUUGAAAAUUCCCCAUUGGUCCAAACAAUGCAAGAGGAAAUUAAGGUUUUAAUCCAAAAUUGAACAUGGGAUUUGGUUCCUAGGCCUCCAACUACAAAUAUUGUGGGUUUUAAAUGGAUGUUUAAAACAAAGCUAAAGGAAAAUGGAACCAUAGAUAGAUACAAAGCACAAUUAGUUGCUUGAGGUUUUUCUCAAAUAUCAGCUUUGGACUUUGGAGAGACCUUCAGCCUAGUUAUAAAGCAUACUACAAUAAGAUUGAUCCUUUCAUUAGCAGUAACCUUAGGGUGGACAAUGAAGCAAUCGGAUGUUAAGAAUGCCUUCCUACAUGGGUUUCUAAAGGAAAAAGUAUUCAUGGAACAACCUCUAGGAUUUAUAAACAAGGACCUUCCGAAUCAUGUAUGCAAAUUGAAUUGUUCUCUUUAUGGCCUUAAGCAAGCUCCAAGGGCCUGGUUAAAUAAACUAUUUCAAUGUCUUCUUCAUCUGGGGUUUUACUAUGGUAAAAUAGACUCGUCUCUAUUUAUUCUUCCCAAAGGUCAGUCUAUUGUUUUGCUACUUAUCUAUGUUGAUUAUAUUAUAGUCAUAAGCUAUGAUAACAACAUCAUUAGUGACCUCAUCAGCACCCUGAGUAGUGAAUUUUCUCUCAAGGACUUAGGAUCUUUGCAUUAUUUUUUGGGAUUGGAGGUGAAAUAUCUUCUUAAUGGGUUGUUUCUUUCUCAAGAAAAGUACACUAGAGAUCUCUUAGAGCACACAAAAAUAAUGGAGUGUACUCAUAUCAACGCACCCAUAGCUCUUAAGUCCAUCAUCACACCUUCUGAUGAACAACCUAUUGAUCCUACAUGAUAUAGGCAACUUGUUGGAUUCCCCCAAUAUUUAACCUUCACAAGGCUUAAUAUUGUGCAUGUAGUAAACAAGGCCUACCAACAUUUCCAAGCACCCACUAAAGCUGACUUGCAAGCUAUCAAACGCAUCCUUAGAUAUUUGAAGGGAACAAUGGAGCAUGGAAUCAGGUUUUUCAACCAAAGUUCGCUUCGUCUCACUGGUUUUUGUGAUGUUGAUUAGGCGGGAUGCACAAACACAAGAAGAAGCACAUCUAGGUAUUAUAUUUUUCUGGGAGCCAAUUGUAUCUCAUGGUCCUCAAAGCGACAACCUAAUAUUUCUAGAUCAAGCACCAAGGCCAAAUAUCGAUCCCUUGCGUCCAGUGCUGCAGAAAUAACUUGGCUUACUUUCCUUCUCCGUGACAUUGGCAUUCAACUACGUGAACCUUCUCAAUUGCUAUGCGAUAACCUCAGUGCCCUUCACAUGACAGUAAAUCUCGUCUUCCAUGCAUGUUCUAAGCAUAUUUAGUUGGACUAUCAUUUUAUUCGGAAAGAAGUUGCAAGUGGAGUUUUGAUUACUUGUUUCCUUCCAUCGUCUUUACAAGUAGCUGAUAUAUUCACAAAGGCACUCCCUAAGACUUCAUUCCAAGUCUUUCGAUUCAAGCUAGAGUGCACAAGUUACCACUCACUAGCUUGCAGGGGGCUGAUAAAGGAAAGCCAAACUCAGCCAGCAUACAAUCCAUGCCAAAGCAAUCUUUACGUGAGAAGUUAGUAAUGCAAUCUAUCAGGAAGGAAAACUACUCUCAAUAUUUGUAAUGUGGAAAAUCAAGGCUGGAAGGAAAUAUUCACUUACCUGUUCUAUAUAAUAUUCCCUUUUCUAUGCAAAGAAAGUAUGUAUUGUUUAUUUAUUUUUUAGAAAAAAUCAGUAAAGCAUGGUAAAAAUUCAAUCUUUCAAAAAUAGUUUAUGUUCUUCAUGCAUGGAUAAUAAAUCGCAUGGAUAAAUUGUAUUUAGCAGCGGCUGAAGCUUUCUAUAUGACUAAAGAGAAAAAAAGUCAUUAAAAAACUAAUUGCCAUGUGACUACGUCUACCAGUAGAUAGCUGAGAACAAGGUCUAACUUUUAACCUUUUUUACUACCUUUACAAAGGAACACAAAAUUGAGAGAUUCAAAGACAACUAUAGUAUAAAUAUUGUUUCAUAAAUUACUUUUCAAAUUUAAUUUGAUAGCAAAAAUUUAAAAUACAAAAGUAUGAAAAAUUUGUUCCAUUCCCAAAAUUUUUGCAAAUAAAAUUUUAAAGUAAUAAAUUAACACCAUGACUCUUUUCACAUCUUAUUCUCCUUUCUAUCAAAGCAAUGAUAGUAAUAAUCUUAUCUAUAAAUUUUAAAUGAGGGAAGAUCAUUGAAUUUUUAUUUUCUUUUAAUUUCUUGUUAUGUAAUUAUCAAACACAUUUUUUUUUAAGACAAGAAAAAAAUUAGACUGAAGAAAUAUACUUUUGCUUUGAUUUAGUCACUUGGAUUGCAAUUUGAAGGAUGACAAUAAAAGUGUAUUAUUGGAGUUAAAGAUCAAUUGAAAGCUUGAAGUGGCUUGUUCUUGAAUGAAUUUAAUGAAUGGCGAAGAAUACGUGUGUUGUAAUUUUUUGGAUUUGUAGGGGAAUUUUAUGAAGCUCUUUUCUCUUUGUGAAGCUUCUUUUUUUGUGUGAUUUUUUUUCUUCAUCAUUUUUAUUCAAGGAAGUUGCAUAUAUUUAUAGAUGAAAUUAAAAAAUUAAAUUUAGAAUUCCUAAGAUUUGAUUACUUAAUUAAAAAAAAUUGGUUUCUUGAUUUUAGCAACUUGUCUCCUCUAUUAAGAAAGUUUUCUAAUAAGAGAAUAUUUAAUUAUCAUUUUCUUUUGACUUCAAUUAGAAGAUUUGAUUCGUUUGUUCAUAAAAUUUGAAAACAAAAAAAAAUUAUUUCUAUUUUUUUUAUUUCAAUUGUUUAAUUUAAUUUGAUUUUGCAAGACUUUAUUUUAUAGGCUACAUGUCAUUUUUUGAAUUGCAUGUUACAUAUUCAAUAUACAUGACCCAUCACUUAUUAAGCAUAAAUUUCGUUGGCUAAGGAGUUACAAUUUUGAAGACUAAUUUGAUAGUAUUUUGAUCCACUAAAAUUUUUUAUGUCUAGAAAUGCCCCAUCUUCAAGACCAACACACACAUGCAUUGUUAUGUAUAAAAGGUGAGUCUUGAAGUUAGCAUUUUGAAUCUUUAAUAUCCUUCUUUGAUAUUUUUUUUUUCAAAGAAAUAUUUUAAUAGGAAAUUUCCUAUUUCAAAAUACCUUUCUUAAACUGCUUUAUUUUCUUCCUUUUUUUCUACCUGGUAUCAAGGAAAGACUUUGUGUUAAUGGGAAAGUUUCUUAUUUGAACAUGUAUUUGCUUUUCUCAUGGUAUUUUCACUUCCAAUUUAUCAUCCUACAUGAAGUCUUUCACCCUUGGUCGAUUGUAUCUUAGACUUGAUCACAUGCCUUUAACUUGUAAUUCUUGCUCCACUUUAUUUAUUUUAUUUUAUUUUAUUUUUAAAAAAGAAUACAAUAUAUAUGAGCAAGACCUUGAGCAAGAGGAGCAAGGUGGAGGAUGGAGCAUGAGCUAGCCUUAGGGUAAGACCUUGAGGAAGAGAAGUAAUGUGGAGUGUAGAGCACAAACUUCUCUGGAGCAUGGUAGGUAUACCAUCACAGAAUUGUCUUCCACAUGGAGCAUGGUAGGGCUUAUAUAUAUGAUAGGGUGUGCCAUCAUGUAACAAUGAAGAACAACAAUCCAUGGUGUACAAUUGGGAACAACAAUUCAUGCUAUCAAGCUUCAACUUUUUUUUUUACCCCCAUCUCCAUUUUUUCAACUUCUUUUUUUUUUCCUUUUCUUUUUCCUUUUUUUUUUAACCAUUGUUUUUAAGGAAGAAAUAGGUUUUCCAUCCCUUACUACGAGGUCAAUCUCCAUCACUUGCAAAGACAAAUUUGCUUUUUGAUAUUUUUUUCUUCAAUAAUUAACUUAACAUUUUAAUAUAUAUUUUUUUUAACAAACUUAAAUAUUCAUAAUAAAAUAAAUAUUUAAUGUCUUUAUUCAUUCAAAUUAGCUUGACUUGAAUACUUAGUAGAUCCAUACUUAACACCCAUGUAGACGAGUUGUAACCUUGAUGGCAGGUUGUGUUGUAUUUUCGACACUUAAUGUGGCUUAAGAGUUAAAGUCUUCUCUCAUACAAAUUACCUUGGUUUGGAUGCACAAUGGUGUCUAACUUUUUAACACUUUAUUAAACUUGGAACCAUAUUUAACACCCACGUAGACAAGUCAUAAUCAUGACGUGGAUCACUGCUUUAUUUUUAGCUCUUAAUGUGGCUUAAAUAUUAAAUUCUCCACUCAUACAAAUUAACUUGGGUUAGAUGCACAAUGGUGUUCAACUUGUUAAUAGUUAAUUAAAAUUAGAACCAUAUUUAACACCUAUACAAACAAGUCAUAACUUUGACGUGGAGCAGUGUUGUAUCUUCGGCUUAAUGCCGCUUAAGUGUUAAAGUCGUCACUCAUAUGAAUUAGCUUGACUUAGAUGCAUAGUUAUAUUAUACUUUUUAACACUUAAUUUAAAUUUGGACCAUAUUGAAAACCCAUGUGAACAAGAGAUAACCUUGCAGUGAUGUUAUAUUUUUGACACUUAAUGUAGCUUAAAUGCUAAAGUCUUCACUUCAAUGAAUUGGUUCACCUUGGAUGAAUAGUGAUGUCUAAAGUGUAAUAAUUAAAAUUGAAACCAUAUUUAACACUCAUGUAGACAAAUCAUAACUUUGACGUAAUGGCAUUGUAUUUUUUACACUUAAUGCAGCUUAGGUGCUAAAGUUUUCACUCAUGAGAAUUGGUAUGAGUUAGAUGCAUUGUGGUGUCCAACUUUUUAACACUCAAUUAAAAUUGGAACCAUAUUUAAUACCUAUGUAGAUAAGUCAUAACCUUGAUGCAAAGUGAUAUUGUAUUUUUGACACUAAAUGCAACUUAGGUGCUAAGUCUUCACCCACACAAAUUGGUUCAUCUUGGAUGCACAAUGGUGUUGAAUUUUUUUAACAUAUAAUUAAAAUUUGAACCAUAUUUGACACUCAUGUAGACAAGUCAUAACCAUGAUGUAGAGUAGUGUUGUAUUUUUAACACUUAAUAUGACUUUACUGGUAAAUUCUUUACUCAUGUGAAUUGGCUUGAUUUGGAUGCACAACUAACUUUUUAACAUUUUAUUAAAUUGGGUAUCAUAUGUGUUGUUUUUUUAACACUUAAUACGACUUUAGUGGUAAAUUCUUUACUCAUGUGAAUUGUGUUGAUUUGGAUGCACAAUGAUACCUAACUUUUUAACAUUUUAUUAAAUUGGGUAUCAUAUUUAACACCUAUGUAGACAAGUCAUAACUUUAAUGUAGAGGCAGUGUAAUAUUUUUGGCACUUAAUACUGCUUAAGUGCUAGAGUCUUCACUCAUGUGAAUUUUCUUAGUUGGGAUGCACAAUGGUGUCUUAACAUUUUAACAUUUAAUUAAAAUCAGAACCAUAUUUAACACUCGUGUAGAGAAGUCAUAACCUUGACAUGGAGUAUUAUGCAAUGUUUUGAUAUUUAAUAUGACUUAAGUGCUAAAGUUUUCACUCAUGCGAAUUGACUUGACUUGGAUGCAUAGUGAUGUCUAACAUUUUAACACUUAAUUAAAAUUAGAGCUAUAUUUAAUAAUCAUGUAGACAAGAAAUAACUUUGACAUGAAACAGUAUUGUAAUUUUGACACUUAAUGUUGCUUAAAUGCCAAAGUCUUCACUCAUACAUAUUGACUUAGCUUGGAUGAAAAGUGGUAUCCAACUUUUUGACACUUUCUUAAAUUUGGAAUUAUGUUUAACAUCAAUAUAGGCAAGUAAUAACCUUGACGCAAAGUGAUGUUAUAUUUUUAGCACUUAAUAUAGCUUUAGUGCUAAAAUAUUCACUUCUAAGAAUUGACUUGGCUUGGAUGCAUAAUGGUGUCCUACUUUUUAACACUUACUUGAAAGUGAAAUCAUAUUUAACACCCAUUGUAUGCUAGUCGUAAACUUGAUAUAGAGCAUUGUGCAACUUUUUAACACUUAAUGCGAUUUAAGUGCUAAAGUCUUUACUCAUAUGAAUUAACUGAACUUAGAUGCACCUUUGUUUCCAACUUUUUAAUACCUAAUUAAAAUUAAAACCAUAUUUAAAAACCAUGUAGACAAAGACAUAAUCUUAACAUGGAGCUAUGUAUAACUCUUAACACUUAAUUAAAAUUGAGAUUACACUUAACAGCCACAUAUUCCUCCUAUUUUUCAAUUUUUUCUUGUGGUGAUGAUUGGACUUAACUAGUUUGUCCAAGUUGCCUAUAUACCCUUAACAGAGAGGGAAUCAAGUCAAACUUAGUUCAAAGUAUUUCUUUUAAUCUCUAACUUUUGCCAAGGCUAAUGAUUUUAAUCUUACAAGCUUGUCUUAACUUUUGACCAUAUAUGUAGUCUUUUUAGGUUUCAAUUUAGUGGCCUAUGACUUGUAAAAAUUGAAAAUGACUUCAAUCAUGUGUAAAAAAUAAUAAAAGAUAUUCAUUCAUAGUUUUAGGGCAACAAAAAAUAAUUGAUCCUUUUUUAUAUUAUUAUUAUUGUUGUUGUUGUUAUAAUUAUUAUUUCACCUUACAAAAAAACCUUCUGCAAUUAAUAUUAUAUAUAUAUAUAUAUAUUAUCUUUUAUAUAUUUAGUUUUUAUAGUAUUUUUUAAUUUAAUAUAUAUAUUUUUUAAAUAUCGAUACUUUCGGUCAAUGUCUCAAAUUUAAUAAUAUUUUAGAAAGUGUUUAUAAUAUUUUUAACACUUGAAUGAUAAAAAAUUUUAAAUAUUAAAAAUGUUAAAGACACUUUCUUAAAUUACUACCAAACGGGUUCUAACUUCAAAACUAUUUUUCAAAUUCUAAGUUUAGCUUAGUGGUGAAUGCAUUUAGGAUCACCAAGGAGGCCAUCAAGGGACUUCAGAAGAGAAGAUCCCAUAAUUCUAGUUUUGUAUUUGAUUGCAUACAUCCUACCAUAUGGAGAAGGUUCCUUAGGAUGCUUAUUUAUCCGCUUAUGUGAAUUAUGUACAAAAUUGCAUUUAAUAUGCACAUAAAAUUAAUUGAAUUAUGUGGCUUUUUUUUUUUCCUUUUUCUUUUACGCAUAAUAUAACAUAUACAAUUGGAAGAGAUCCCGAGAUUCUGAUUUUAUAUCUGGCUUUAGGGAUCAUAUUGGGGCCUCAAAAUUCAAUAUCACUGUCAGGUUGUGGACAGUCCACCCAGCUGGAGCAGAUCCCCUGGCUUGUGGAUAUGUCAACAAUUGAAAAAGUCUGCACCCAUUUUCAAUGUUCUUAGGUUUCGAAGUUAUCAGCAAACAUUCAUUGUGGACUAGGUACAUGGCUUGUACAAAUUGAAAAUGACUUCAAAUAAUAAAAGAUAUUUAUUCAUAGUUUUAAGGCACGCAACGAAAAUAGAUUUUAUUUGUUUGUAUCUUAGAAUAAUCUUAUUAUAUUUGUAUAUAUAUAUAUAUAUAUAUAUAUAUAUAUAUCUUAUCUUUUAUACAUGCAUAUUUUUUUUUUCAGUUUUGGUCGUAUAUUUUUAAUUUAAUAAUUAUUUUAAGAAAAAAGAUUUAGAGGCCAUUUGGUAGUGUUUUUUAAAAACACUUCUGGACUAAAAAAAAAUGCUUUUGUUAAAAAAUUAAGAGCAUGUUUGAUAGUGAUUUUAGGAAACGUUUUUAAUAUUUCUAAUAUUUGAAAAUUUUUGUCAUGCAAGUGUUAAAGGGCGUUUGGCAAUGCUUUUAGAAAGUGUUUCUAAUAUUUCUAAUACUUGAAAAAUAAAAUUUCUUAAGUAUUAGAAAUGAUAGAAACUCUUUCUAAAAUCACUAUCAAACACAUUCUUACACUUUCCAUCAAUGUCUCAAAUUUCAAAUAUGUACAUGCUCUAGAAAUUCUGAAGGUGUAGGCUUGUAGCCUAGAAUGUGAAGUGAGAGUUUGAUGAAAAACGAAAUAAACAAAGAUAUAAAAUAUAAUUUGUGAAAAAUUAUGAAAAUAUUGAUUUUGAUAGAUAUAUUAAUAACUCAAUUUUACAGAUAUAUCAGGGUAUAUCCAAAAAUAUUGGUGAAUAUUUUGACACCAAAUAUCAGUAGGAAAAAAUUGAUCAAAACUCAUGAAAAUAUUGGGAAAAAAAACUCUUAAACAUGAUAAAAUAAACAAUAAUAUACUUAUUAAAGUUGGUUUUAUUGUAAAACUUAAAAACACAAAAUUAUCAAUAGAUAUCAAUGAAAUUUUUUUUUAAAAAAAUCAAAAUUAAUAAAAACUCGUAAAAUAUUAGUAAAAACUAAAAUAUAUAUAUAUAUAAGAAGCAAUAAUACACAUAACGAAGUUAUUUAUUAAAAAAAAUGAUAUAGAUUUAAUACAAUUAAUGAUAUUUGAUAAUAAUAUACAUAAUUUAAAAUUUUAAAAUAUAUCUACUAGUAACAUCAUGAUUAUUUAAUAUUCAAAAUAUAAAAGAAAUUAUGAUAUGUAAAUAUAUAUAUAAAUUACUAUGAUGAUUUUUAUAAUUUGAACAAUUUUCAAAUAUAAUAUGAAAAUAAAAUAAUUAAAAUUAAUUUAUUUAUUAUUAUUUUAUUUUAUAAGUCUAGGAGUACAAAUAUAUUUUAUUUAUAUGUGUUGCAUAUUUAAAAAUGCUAAACUAGCUUGUGGCCUACAAUGUCAACUUAGAGUUUGAUGAAAAAGUGCAUAAACAAAGACAAAAAAAUUAAUCUACAAGUACUUGGAUUCUAUUUGAAUAAAAAAGAGCCACCCACAUGCAUGGAUUAAAUAUAUAUCCCAUGGAUUAGUUGUAUUUAGCCACGGCUGAAGCUUUCCACUAUGACUUAACACUACUACAAAAAUAAUUUAUGAUGUCACUAUUUAUGGUGUCGCAUUUAAAAUAAUGACACCAUUGAACUUAAAAUUUAUAAAGGUGACACAUCAUAUAAAAAAUCUUCAAUUAGGAUAGUUAGAUGAUGCUAAUUUCAAAUUUACGGUGUCUUUUUUUGGAAGUGACACCAUAUGAAAUAAAAAGUUUUAAAUUUUAUAACUCAAUGGGCCCUUUUUCAAAAUAGUGAGUAGGAACAAUUUAUGAAAAGUCUAUUGUUUCCAUAUAUACAUUAACUAAUAUAAAAGAUCUUAUUGCUUAACCCUAACCAUCGUUUUCUUCUCCUUCUUCUCACACCCAUGGUCGGCACACCCAUAAUUGAUAUUCUUUGCUUCAUAAAAUCUCGGGUAAGUCAAAAUCCCUUAUCUAUCAUCUUCAUUUUUUUUAUUAAUGCAAAAAACUUUGUUAGUAUAAUUGUUUUAUAUCUCUUGAUUUAGUAUAUCUAUGAUGUGGGUUUUGUAAAUGGUGUUUUUUAUCGAGUUCCAUGGAAGUAAAAACUAGGUUUAACAUUCUAACAUAUUUUUUGUUUCAUUGCUAAUAAGCCCCAAAACAAAUGAAAACAAGAAAAAUGAAUUAUUUUUAAAAAUUUUGUCUAAUUGAGAAUGAGAGAUACACUAGUUUGUAGUAAUUUUUCGCAUGAAAUAAUAUUUUAUUGAAGACUUGACUAUAUAGUGUAUUGGUUGUAAUUUUUCACAUGUGAAAAUAUUUUAUUGAAGACUUGACUAUAUUUGAUACUUUUUUCCACCGUGCUAGGAGCUUUUUGGUGAAGUCUAACAAUAGAGAUUGACAUCUACUACAAGAUGAUGCUCAAUUAAUCCAAAAGCACUUAAGUUAUUUAGGGUUUUCUUCAGUUAACCUAAGAAAACAUUCCCACUUUCUUUGUAUUGAGUCACCUAAAUAGAAUAGAAUAUUGGGUAUUAGAGUGGUAAAGGGUAUUAUAAAUAUGACUUUUUUUUUUAGAGUCACCUACAUGGAAUGAAUUAUUGGUAGGUGAACAAAAUAUUGGGGUGAUUGUAAUAGUUGAAUUAGUAAAUGGAAGAUAAGUGUAUGUUGCUUUGUUUAUUCUAUAAAAACAAUAAUUUUAGUAGUUGAAAUUUACAUGCUUUGUUGUUUUAUAAAAACAAUAAUUUUAAUAUUUGAAAUUUUAAAAUGUGAAUGAAAUGCCUGAAAAUAUGUUUUGAAAAAUAGGAUAGUAAUAAAUGUUUAUAGCUCAUUUCCUAAAAAUAUUUUGAUAAAUUAAAAUAAUAUGUGGUUAAAAUAUAUUUUUGUGAAAGUAUUUAAAAAUGAAUCAAAAUAUUAAUAAUUGUUAUUUUGUUUGAAAAUAAUUUAGGAAUAUAAAAUAAUAUUGGGGAUAAUUUUUGAGUUUAAAUUGGGUUAUAAACGGUUAAUUUUUUUAGGAUUGUCUUUUUUGAAAAUAAUCCAAUGAUAAUUUUUUUAAAUAAGAAUGUUGAAAAUAAUUUUAAAAAUAAAAUUUUGUUGGCAAUGAUUUUUCUAAAAGUAUUUUAGGCAUAAAUGGAAAUUUCUUGUAUGAAAAUAAGAGAAUUUAUAUAUAUAUAAUAGACAUAAAAAUAGACUUCUUUGAUAUUUAAUAAACAAGUGAAUUUUUCUCCAAAAAAGGAAUAAAAUAAGAAUUUCUCUAUUUAAUAAAAUAAUUUAUAUAUGAGAUAGUUUUCAAUAAGAAAGUUUUGAAAAUAAAUUUGGGAUAAAAUAUUUUUUAGUAAGUUUUGUUUAGAUAAUUCAAGAAAAAAGUGGUUUAUUAACUUUUCUUAAAAAAUAACAUUCUUCUUUCUUUUUUGAAUUGAUCAUUUUUUUUAGAAAUAAAAUUGUUAGAUUCUAUUUUUUGUAAAUGUUUAAGAAAUUCUAAAAAAUUCUUUAAAAAUAAAAUGACCUUUCUACCACAUUCCUUGUAAUAAAUAACUGUUUUUUUAUACAUAUUGUAAAGUAAAAAAAGAAGUCUUUGUUUAGUUAACCUAAGAAGACAUUCCUACUUUUCUUUGUGUUGAGAGUCACCUAAAUGGAAUAAAAUAUUCAAUAUCAUAGGAGAGUAAAAAGUAUUAUAGAAAUGAUUUUGUUGAGAGAGUUAUCUAAAUGGAAUGAGAUAUUGGUAGGUGAAUAAAAUAUUAUGGUGAUUGUAAUAGUUGACUUAGUGAGGGGAGGAGAAGUGUAUGCUUCUUUGUUUAUUCUAUAAAAACAAUAAUUUUAGUAGUUGAAAACGUGUAUGAAAUGACUGAAAAUAUUUUCUGAAAAAUAAGAAAAUAAUAAAUGGAUAAUAGCUCAUUUCCUAAAAAUCUUUGAUAAAUUAAAAUAACUUGUAGUUAAAAUAUAUUCUUGUGAAAGUAUUUAAAAAUGAACCAAUAUAUUAAUAAUUGUUAUUUUGUUUAAAAAUAAUUUAAGAGUAAAAAAAUAAUACUGAGUUCAAAUAUGACUACUUUGUUAUGAGAUUCAUUAAAUAAAUAAUUGUUGAUUUUACAGUUAUUGCAUCAAAGGUUUUACUCGUUUAAUGAAUUGUACAUAAUUUCAUACUUUCAAUUAUUGUGAUAUUAAUGUUAUUCUCAUUUGAUUUCAGUUUGAUGACAAAUAAAACAUAUUCUCAAGUAGAAUUUGAUGAAAUUAGAGAAGAAUAGAUUACUUUUGUGUUAUAACUAAUCAUGAAUCAUAUUGAUGUAUCGUGAUCAUUCAUGGUAAGUCCCUUAGUUGUUAUAUGAUUGAAUUUUCCAUUGGUAUUGUAUAACAUUACUUAUUCUUUACGGACUAUUUUUAUACCAAAAUGAGAAAAAGGAAAAAGAAAAAAAAACAUUAGUACUUAGAUUUGUUUAUUGUUUAUAACAUCACAUUUUUAUUUUCAAUAAGAACUCUAAAACUCAUUAAACUAUGAAAUGCAGGUAUACACUCUUGGGAGGACAAUAUGAAGAAUAAAAAGAAAGGAGAAAGAGGCAACAAGAUUUAGGUUUUUAGAUAUGACUCUUAUGUCAUACAUUAUAGGACAUAAACAUUACUUUAUUUGGAAUUGAGAAUUUUGGGUUUUUGGAUGCAACUCUUGUGUCAUUUUAUGGUUAGCCGGUUUUAUGCAUAUGAAAUGCAAGUAUACAUGAAUGUUGGGAAGCUUAACAUUUCUAAAUCAUGUUUUAAUGUGUAUUCACUUUUCUUUUUUAGUUUUGGUGGGUUUGAUGUGUUUGAUGUACUAUCAUUUUGUGAACAUUUGAUAUAUAAAUAUUAUUGGAUGAUGUAAUAUGUUACAAAUUAAUUCAUAGGCACUAUGAAAAUAUAAGUUAAAUGUAAUAUGAUUAUCAUAUUUAUGGACAAUUUACACAGGUUGGUCUUAUUUAUUAAUAAGCAUUACAAAAAUCUACAAACUAAUCAACAAAAAACAACCAUAUCUUCCAUAAUCAUUUACAAUGAUGCGACACCAUAAAUUAAAGGUGAUACAUUUAACGUGACACCAUAACUCAAAGAUGAUGCAUUUAAUAUGACAUCUUAUAUAUCUCAUACAACUCUAUAUCAAAUUAAGCAUCACUAAAAAUAUAUGGUGUCUCUUCUGAAUGUGUCACCAUUUAUCUGCUUUGGUGUUGCUUCCAAAUACGUCACCAAUUGAUACCCUCUAUGGUGUCAGUGGAUAAGGUGACGCUAUGUUGUAGUGACACCCUAUGUUUAUAGUGACUUAUUAUAAAUGUCACCAUAUAUCUUUUUCCUUGUAGUGUAAAAAAAGAGAGGAUAAUGUCAUUAAAAAACUGAUUGCUAUGUGGCUAUGCCUGCCAGUAGAUGGCUGAAAACUAAGUUCUAUUCUUUUCGAUAGUUGAGAGAUUCAAUGGCAACUAUCGUCGUAUAAACAAUGUUUCAUAAAUUACUUUUAAAUUUUGACAGCAAAGACUAAAAUUGUAAAACCAUAAAAAAUUUAUUCCAUUCCCAAAUUUUUUAAAAUAAAAUUGAAAAUAAUAAAUUAACGCCCAUGACUGUUUUCACAUCUUAUUCUCAUUUCUAUCAAUGGAAUCAUCGUAAGCAUCUUAUCUGUAAAUAUGGCCUAGAGCCAUAAAGCUGCCUUUUCUUUAGUCCUAGAGCCAUUUCAUGAGCUAAUAGUAGUCUUUCCUUAGCAUUUCCAGCCCAAAGCUCCCAUUUCCUUAGGCCUAGAGACGUUUUCAGCCCAGAGCUGCUGUUUCUUUCGGCCUAUAACCAUUUUCAGCCCAAAGCUUCCUUUCCUUGGCAUAUUAGCCCGAAGCUUCUAUUUCUUUAGGCCUGGAACCAUUUCAACCUAGAACAUUUGUUUCUUUGGGCCUUGAGCCCCUUUCAACCCAGAACUGUCAUUUCUUCUAAAUAACUUCUCUUUUAAAAGACUUCAAUUUGUUUUUCAAGUCACAAAUUUUGAGGCUUUGUUCCAGGUUUGAAGAAGCUGGUAAAAAUCUUCUAUUUAACAUUUCAACAGUGAAUCGAAUUAAAUAAAUAAAUAAAUAAAUCUUGACGACAUAAAGUAGGACAUGGCAUAGUUUGAAACACAUAAUUUUCACCAUUCAAAUGCAAAACAUAUUAACUAAUUUCAAAUGCUAUGUGUUGUUUCCUUCUACAUUUUCUCUUUAUUUUUUUUUCGUAUUUUUCUUCAAAUUUUUUGAAAACCAAACAGAGCCUAAAAGAAAAGAUAAUUUUACUUAUUUUGAAAUUUCCUUAUAUAUAGCUUAUAUGGAAAGUUGUUUCGUGUUAACUUAAUGAAGCAUUUAUAAUAUUAAGAUCGCCCUUUCAUAAUCAUGAGUUAACCUUAGUUUCAACUUCUACAAGAGGCUAAAUGAAAAAAGCUAUCACAGAGAAGGCCUCAGCCAAUGAGUGGAAAAUACAAUUUUAUUAAUACUUGAUACCAAAAAAAAAAAAAAAAGGGAUGAUUUUACAUUCAAACCGAUGAUUUAUUUCUGUUGAAGUGCAGUCUCCAUAUGCACAUGUGACUGCAUUUACAGGAUAAAGAAAGACAAGGAAAUUAACAAUGUUGGACUUACUGGAAAAUCAUACAAAUUAUUGAAGGAGGACCUUAGCUAGGCUGACUGUCUCCUAAAUUGCCCAUCUUUUAUAUAUCUUUGCAAUCAUGCAUCUCAUCAUCAGCUUUGAUUUUAGAUGGUGAGGAUGUGAAAGUAACAGGAAGCAGUGGACGAUUGUUCACAGUGAGGCUUAGCACAUCAGCUCUCGAAUAAUGUCCUACCACAUCGAACUGAAACUUUGCUUUAGGAAUCUCUCCACGAACAUCUGCAUAUCAAGUGAUCAUCAAAAUAUUUGAGCAGCCCGUGAUAAAUAUCAUAGAGUAUCAAGUCUUCCAUAAAACCAUGUUUGCAGUCCUUUUAAACCUAAAGAAUUGACUCAUUUGCCUUAUCUGCAUACUGAAAUAUUUGGAUAUACAAUUGGAGAAGUUAGGGCCAUACCAAGAUCAGCUGUGAAGAGGCCUUCUCCUUCAUAAUUCGGUCCUGCUAGAAUUUCGCCAUGGGGCGAAAUGAUGACACUACCUCCAGCCCAAACAAUAGAAUCUGGAGUGACAUCUUCUUCUGUAGGACUGUAAAGAUACUCAGGUGGAGGUGGGUAAUCUUUCCUCCGACAGAACUGGAUGGGUGAAAGAACAUAGCAUCCACCCUCAAUAGCGAUGUGUCUCAUUGUAGCUACCCAUUUAUCCCCAGAAUCGGCAGUAGGAGCACAAUAUAUCUCAAUACCUAUAUAUAUG
rnacentral:lncRNA from 1 species